AUAGUAGUCCCGGGAGGACUUUGAUUGUCAUAUUCGUCCAUAGAACUCUUACUCUUAUCACUAGAAACAUAGAAAACAAGAUCGAUGUUAUAACUAGUAUUAGUAUAAUCAGCUUGCCAUGUAAUGGUAAAAUGCGUGAAGGAAGAGAACUUUUGACCUGUCUCUUAGCUUGAUCAUGAGAAGUUGAUAUUCGUCCAUCUUUUUCUUGAUUACUUAUGGUAUGGUGUCUGCUGUGACAGGUAUAUUGAGAACAGGAGUAAUCAUUGGUACCCGGCUCCAAUUGAUACGAUAAAAAUAAGGAAACACAAGAAACGCACAAAACAGACCUAGUCUCGGCCAACUUCAACUACAACAAGAAUGGCACAAUAACAAGGCGUUUAGCACUUAUUUCAGCGGACAACAAACUAGAUUAAUGACAUAAAAAUGAAGAACAUGAAGAACAACAACAAUGUAAUAACAAGAACAACAAUACACGGUUUAAAUAACAAGAACACAAACUACAAGAUUAAAAUGAAAACAAAGGAUAGAUAGAUAGACUACACAAAGGUAUAAUCUUAAGACCCCAAGAGCAUAUUCCACUCUUGGACCCUAAACACCACACACAAUGAUUUACCUAUCUCUUACGUGACACAAGAUAGGAUUCCACCUCUCUAGCGCCUACGUUUCCAAGCAAACACAAUCACUAGUGAUUCCACACUAGAUCUUGUCCUAGUUUCGGGUUGCCUCCUAAAGAGAAGAGAGGACUUGUGAUUUUUGGUGUCUUAUGACUUACAACAUCUUCAAAAUCUAAUUAAAGAAACCCUACAAUGUUCUUUUUAUAGUUAUUACAAAAUAUAAGUUAAAAUGACCUAAAAGUCCUUCAAAGAGUGGGCGCCCAUCAAGUGUAAGUUAUACACUGAUUUUUGGUGCAUUAUGGGCCUCAUUUACACUUCAAUUGCAUACACCAAAGCUCGGGUCCAACACGCACUCUCAUAAAUCUAUAUCCGUGAUUAUUCCCGUAUCACCAAUGAUUGUCAUGAGAGACGUGGAACACUUGAAUGGGAUAAAGUGGUCUGUGUGGCUCACACACACGAUAAAUCACCAAGAUAUGGGACAGAAAUGGACAAGGAGAGCUCUUCUUGUUGAGGAAAUGGUAAAAGCAUUCAAGGAACUAGAUAUCCAAUACUGUAUGUUACCUCUUGAUGUCAACAUUCGUAACCUGCCACCAUUAUCGUCAAGCAGAGGUCCCUCUAACUGGACAGUUUGUGCUUAAUUGAUGGAAAACAGGAAUACUCACUUUGAGGUCACACUAAUUUGAGAGUAGGAACUGUAGUCAGAUGUCACAAGGCCACAAAAUCGUCGUAAUUUGAUGUCAUAUGACCACUGAUUCAUUUUUUCUUAGAUGUCACAGGUCAAUACGCAGAUUGUAAUUGCUAAUAAGAUGUUAUAAGACUAUUGUAAUAACAUGUUAUUAGGCCAAAAGUUCAUUGUAACGAUGUUUACACGUAGUAAACAAAAUAUACUUAAUGAAUCUUGAACUCAACUCAACACUAAAAUUUAGUCAUGACAACCCCCAUGGAACUCUAACAAAUCUCGACAAUUUUUUCUUUUAAUCAUAUCAUAUUCCAAUUUCCAAGCUUAUUGUCUCGACCCUCAACUGAUUCAGAUUUUGAGUCCAUUAAAAAGGAAAGCCUUCUUUCUUAGCCAAAAUGGGCAAUGGGAGAGAUUGGCUGAGUAUUGUCCCUUUCAAACAUCCAGCAUACCCCGCAUUUCAAGCGCAUCUCUAUAUCUAACGAAUAAGUCCUUUCUCUAAAGACGGUGAUAUUAACAUUAGGAAAAAAAAUCAGUUGAAUACUAUUUAAAUCACUUUAAUAGUUUGGCCUACCAAACCUAUCACCUAUACCUCUUUUACUUUUGUUUAAAGAAUAAUUAAGAUUUGGUGGGUCCCACAUAACCACCUAGUGAACAAAAGGAUAAUAUGUACAAGAUAUACUAUCACAAAUAAGAAACCACACUACACUUUACUUUCUUGAUUUUCCAAUGGCCACUUCAGUGAAAGUGUGUGGACCAACUUUAUCAACAGCAGUGUCAAGAGUUCUAGCUUGUCUUCUUGAAAAUUAUGUCAAGUUUCAGCUCAUUCCAGUUAACAUGGCUAAAGGGGAACACAAGAAUCCUGACUAUCUCAAAAUUCAGGCAAGUUUUUAGCUGGAAAUCUUAGUAGUUCAAUUCGUUGAUUAUCUGGAAAAAGAAAAAAAAAAGAAGACAAGUUUCUAGUUUGACCAAUGUUUUUUCUUUACCGCUGUCUCAAUUUAUGUGGCAUAGUUUGGAUUUCAAAAGUCAAAUAGUUUAAUUUUAUUGUGAAUUCGGGCAUGAAAUCUUCAGAUUUUUUUAAACAUAAUUAUAUAUUUGUAAAUUACGUAAAAGGUAUUGUAAGUCAUAGUAAUUGACAAUGAUAGAUUUGUUCAAAUUUCAAAAUCCAAAAGGUGCCACAUGAAUUAAGACGGAAGGAGUACUAAUUUUUCUACUCUUGUAGAAUUCUCAAGCACAGUGAAGAGAAUCAAAGUAUAUUUAUGAUGAUUAAGGAGUUGAGUACAUGCUCCUACUUAUAGGAGUUGAAUACUACGUAGUUGUAGAGUCCUAGACUACUUACAAGAGUCCUAGUUAUGGCAUUAUUAAAGACUUAGUGUUUUAUCACUAGGCAACUACAUAUACAAGUAGAUGUUUACUACUACUACAAUACUAGUACAAUUAUAGAUGCAAAGCAUAGGAUAACUCUAACAGAAUCAGCUACCCUAACAGAAUCGUACACUCUCCUUAUCUUUUAUUUGAUCAGUAUCUUCAACACUUCCCCUCAAGCUAGUGAGUGGUGGAACACUCACUCCUAGCUUGCUUCUAAAAUUAGAAAAUGCCUGCUUUGUCAACGCCUUUGUAUGAAUGUCAGCUAGCUGAUCUCUAGACUUUACGAACUGUGUGACUAGCUGUCCUCUCGCCACUUUUUCUCGAACAAAAUGGUAGUCCAUUUCUAUAUGCUUUGUUCUGGCAUGCAUCACUGGACUAGCUGUCAAGUAUAAGGCACUUAAAUUGUCACACUACAGUAUAGGCACUGUCUUAAGAUAUACUCCAAUGUCAUGAAGAAGGUAAAGGAUCCAUGUCAUCUCAGCUGUAGUAGAAGCUAAGGCUCUAUAUUCAGCUUCGGCACUGGACCUUGCUACUGUGGUUUGUUUCUUCGAGGUCCAAGAGAUACAAUUUGUACCUCAAUAUAUGUUAUAACCUGUAGUUGACCUCCUAGUUGUAGUGCAGCCUCCCCAAUCAGCAGCAUCUGAAUAGCCAUAUAACCUGCAGGGUGAUUGUGGGAUAAUUCUGAGCCCAUGAUGUAAAGUUCCUUUGAUGUACCUGAGGAUCCUUUUAACACCUUGAAGAUGUUCACUAUUUGGACUCUGCAUGAAUUGACUUGCUAGAUUUACUGCAUGAGUGAUGUCAGGCCUUAUGAGUGUCAAAUACUGAAGACUUCCCACAAUUCUUCUAUACAAAGAUGCAUCAAUAGGGCUUCCAACAGCUUUAUGUAAGUCAUGUUUCUGUGCAAAAGGUGCAUUUAUUGUUUUUUCCCAUAUCAUAUCAGUCUUAUUAAGCAACUCAGUAGCAUACUUCCCCUGACUCAAGUGCAGUCCACCUGAGAAGUACUUGACCUCAAUUCCCAGAAAGAAAUGUAAAGGACCAAGAUCUUUCAUAGGAAAUUCUCUCCCAAGUUUAGCGACCACCUUUGAGACAUACUUUCAAUCACUUCAUGUUAUAAUUAUAUCAUCCACAUAUAGUAAUAAUAAGAUAGUCCCUCUGUUACCAUAUAAAGUAAACAAAGAGAGAUCUUCCUUGCUACAAAUGAAACCGAGGUGAAGUAAAUACAUACUGAAUCUGUCAAACCAUGCUCUAGGUUCCUGUUUAAGACCAUACAAUUCCUUCUUUAACAAACAUACAUGAGUUGGAUACUUGGGGUCAAUGAAUCCUGGAGGUUGAAUCAUGAAUACUUCAUCCUGCAUGUGGCCAUGUAGAAAUGCAUUUUUGACAUCAAGUUGUCUUAUGCCAUUUUGAAGCAACAGCUACGGACAAAACCACUCUAAUGGUUGUAGCCUUAACCACUGGAAUGAAUGUUUCUUCAAAGUCUAUUCCUUCAAGUUGAGAGAAACCCCUAGCAACAAUCCUUGCUUUGUGCCUGUCGAUUGCUCCAUUUUCCUGCAGUUUAGUCUUAAACAUCCAUUUGGAGCCAACCAAGUUCAUACCUGCAUGUUUAGGUACUAGUAUCCAUAUUUUGUUAUUGUGUAAAGCAUUUAUCUUAUCCUGCAUAGCUGCAAACCAAUGUGGUGACUUCAGUGCUUCAUUUGUUGAUUUUGGUUCCCUCAUGAUCUGUUCUUUGCUUGAAACAAGAGACACAUAAGUUAAAGCAGUUGAUUUUUCCUUAUAUCUGGUGAUCAUAUAAUGCCUUUGUGGUUCUAGUGAUAUCUGAGCUGCACUAUCUUCUAUAAGUGUUGCACCUAUACUAUCAUUUGUGGAUUAGACACAGAGUGAUGUGGGUUGUGGUAUGCUAGGUGGAUCAGUAGCAUCUCCUAUUGCUUCAGCAUUUGAGAUGUCAAACAUUUCAGAAGACUUAUUUUCAGAUAUGGAACUAGAAUCCUUGUUAUCAUCAACAAGAAUGGCUAGAACAGGUUUAGCCGGUGUUGUUUGGUUAUCAACAGUUGGUAACAUAAGAUCAGCAGGUGCUGGUUGAUCAACUAUAUGAGUAGCCUGAUCCUCAAUAGUUGGUUGAGUAGCUUGAUUCACCAUAACCGGCAGCACUUCCCCUGGAGUGACUUUAAUAGAAUCGUGUGCCUGCAAAUUAGUAAAAAAACUCAACAAAGGUAGCUAGGUAAGGUGAGACUUCAGCUUUAGCUUAAGACUAUAUUGGUUGUACAUAAGGUAAUGUACACUCAUAAAAAAUGACAUGCCUUGACACAUAGACUCUUCUUGUUGGAGAAUGAUAGCAUCUAUAUCCUUUAUGUAGACUGUUAUAUCCUAUGAAACAUAUGGAUAAGACUUUGGUCUAAACUUGGUAUCACCCUUAAUGUACAAAAAACGUCUACAUCCAAACACCUUCAACCUGUUAUAGUCAGGUGGUGCACCAUAUAAUUUGACAAAAGGAGUCAUUUUCAGUACUGAGGAAAGCAGUCUAUUAAUGAGGAACAUAGUAGUUAAGAAGGCCUCUACCCAUAGAAAAAGAGGUAGGUUAGCAUGAAGUAGCAUAGUAAGUCCAGUCUCAACUAUGUACCUUUGUUUUCUUUUAGAAAUUCCAUUCUGUUCAGGUGUAUUAGGAUAAGAGAUGUGUCUGACAAUACCACAACUUUCUAGAUGCUUAAUGAAUUCUGUUUUGAUAAACUCACCUCCUCCAUCACAUAGAAAAAUCUUAAUAACUUUAGAGAAUUGUCUUUCGACCAUUUUUUGGAACUUGAGAAAUACAUCAAAAAAUUCAGAUUUCUUUUUCAAUGGAUAAAUCCAUGUAUAUCUUGUGUUAUCAUCUACAAACACUACAUAAUAUCUCAUUUGUUGAGUAGAUUCAACAAGUGCAGACCCCAAAUAUCACAAAGAAUUUUCAAUAAAGGUUCUUUCUCAACUUUAUUUCUCAAGCCAAAUGGCAGUUUACAACCUUUUCCUAACUGACAACUAGAACAGACAGUAUGGAUUUUAUUCCAACUACUGACAUUAAUGCAACUAUUACUACAAAAUCUUUACAAUCUUCAAACUAGGAUGUCCUAAUCUAUUAUGCCAAAUGUUGUCUAAGGUCUUCCAGUUUUGUGUGGCAGUCAAUGCAUAAAGAUUGUUGUCUUCCAAGGCAUAUAGUCCAUCUCUUUUAGAUCCUCUGGCCAGUAGUGUCCUUGUCUUCUUGUCCUUUACAACAAAAUCAGUUUCAUCAAAUUCAAGAAUGCAGGAAUUAUCUUUAGAAAUUUUACUAACCGAGAACAGAUUUUUAGCAAUCUUAGGUACUACAAAAACUUCUUGUAAUUUCAGCCCUGAUCUAACUGUAUUGCCAACCUGUGUAAUAUCUAACUGAGAUCCAUUUCCAACAAUGAUCUUAUCAGAACCUUUAUAGUGUCUAAGAUCACAUAGAGUGCCUGAAUUGUUUGUCAUGUGACUAGUAACACCUGAGUCCACAUAUAAAGUAUCAUCACCACUUGAUGUAUUGUGCAAAUUCACAGAACCAAGUUCUUGUGGAAGUUCAUCAGCAGCCUGGUAAGAAUAGUCCCACUUGUAAAAGCACUUAAGAGUAGUGUGGUUAUUCCUACCACAAAUUUUACAUGACUUAUUUGCAUUCUUCUCCUUAUUCUGUUGCCAUUUUGAUUUCCACCCUGAUUGUUUUGGUUAAUCUGAUUAUAUGAUGUAGCAAGUCUAAAACCCUUUCCUCUGGAUUUAAAGUUUGUUAUUUUCUUUUUAUUUAGAGAAAUCUCCUCUUCCCCUGACUCUUUGACUAGAGACAACCGAGAAAUCCAUGUUGGAGUUUAGUUGUGGCACCUCUUCUUCAUCCUCUCUCAUGUCAAAACCCCUGAGUGCAUUACCUAACCACUAAUUUAGUGUAGGAUAGGGUGUCUUACCUAACAUGACAUUCCUAAACGUCUUGUAUUUAAGAACUAAGCCUCUAGCAAAGUUGAUAACUUUACUGUCCUCAUCAACAAGCUUAUGUUUAGUAGAAAGUCCAUCACAGAUGCCUUUGAACUUUUUGAUAUAUUUAUCAACCUUCUUGUUUCCUAGCCUAACACUCUGCAAUUGUUAUUUGAACUAAAAUUCCUUGUCCUUUGUUUCUUGAAGAUAGUCUUCUUCCAAGAAUUCCCACAUCUCCUUGGCAGUGGAACAACCUACUAUGAGGUACAUGCUUUCUUUUGUCAAGGUACCUGAGAUCCAGCUUCUCAGCUAUACAUCUUUCUCCUCCCAGUCAUCAGUAUUUUUACUAUCUUCUUCAUCUUUCUCAGUAUCUAUGACUACAGUUUUCUCAGCAGCCUUUCCAGCUUAUUUACAGUUGGUUUCUUCUCCUUGAUGAGAUAAGUUAAUCUCAUGACUGGAUUAAUUGCAUCAUUUGUCUUCUCCAUAUGAGAUAAUUUAUUGGCUUAAGUUUAAUAGAACAGGAAGCAAUGAGGUGGUAAAGAGAAGAAGUGGAAAGAGAAUUGGCAGAGGAUGUUGAAGGAGCCAUUUUUAGAUUUGAGAUGUUCAGUUCUUGGUUUUAAUAUUUAAUUAGUGGAAUGAGCUUAAUGCUCUGAUACCAUGUAGAAUUCUCAAGAACAGAGAAGAUAAUCAAAGUAUAUUUUUGAGGAGUUGGGUACAUGCUCCUACUCAUAGGAGUUGAAUACUACGUAGUUAUGGAGUCCUAGACUACUUACAAGAGUCCUAGUUAUGACAAUAUUAAAGACUUAGAGUUGUAUCACUAGGCAACUACAUAUACAAGUAGAUAUUUACUACUACUACAAUACUAGUACAACCAUAGAUGCAAAGCAUAAGAUAACUCUAACAAAAUCAAUUACCCUAACAGAAUCGUACACUCUCCUUAAAGAUUAAGAAGAAAGUUUCACAUUGAUGGUUAAUGAGAUGGGUGGUCUCUUUAUAAGUCUUGGGCAAUCCUCCUCCUCAUGAGCUAGCUUUUGAUGUUGAGUUAGGCCCAAGGUCCAUUUCUUGACAAAGCUAUUUCAUUACAUGAAGUAAUAACUAUGUGUUCUAAUAUCAUAUGACAUCUUCAAUCGGUACAUUUUUCUGCUUUUGUGAUUUCCUCCCUUAAGAGUAUAUGAUGUUAUUGUAACCCUUUGGUUUGCUUAUUUUGUGGCAUCAAAUAUUAGUAAUGAUCAAUAGCUUGUUCAUAAACAAAAGUGUAAUUAUUUUGUAAGUCCUCGCCUAUUGGGCAGUUCAGUAGCAUAGGAUAUAUUUUUCCCUUUACUAAACUUGGCAAACAAUGAAUUUCUUCUUCUUUCUCUUCAUUACUUGAAAGAAUCUUUCAAAAUUAUGUACUUAUGCAUGCAAUAGUAUUUUUUGGCACAACCACAGUUAACUCCUUAAAUAAUGAUUCUUUUUUCUUAUCCAUGGACAGAAAAAAAACGUCUUUGAUUUAAGUUUACCAUGGAAAAUAAAAAGUCCAAGUGAAUGAGCUAUAAAAAAUGUCAAGAAUAACCAAAACAUGGUAACUGAGAGUUAUUCUUUAAGGAAUAAAAGAUACACCAUAUAUAGCAGUGCGAAAAGGGAUCAUAUAUAGCUUGAACACGAAAGUGGUAAAGUAUAACUUUAUUUAUAUAUUUGAAUAUGGUAAUUAAAUAGUUAAUCAAAUUCAGAGACAAGAGGAGUCUGAGGCUAUCUAUAUGGGGUCAGUUAAUAGAGCAAGAGAAAUUCAGGGCUAGGUUUAUGGGAUAUUAGAAUUUGCUGUAAAUUAUAAUUCAGUUUUGUAGGAGGCAGAUGUCUCUAGGAACUUUUGAAGUAAAGUCGAUGGACACAACUAAGAAAGCAGAUUUGAUGUUCAUGAUAGUUGCAACCUAUUUAAAAAAUCGAAAUGGGUAAAACGUGUAAUUCGGUAGUUAUUUCUCUAAUGUGUACUUUGUGAAAUAUGAAGAUGAUACUGUUGUUGAAGGAGAGCAUGAAGGACUAAAACCUUAAAGUUUCCAAACAAGAUGAGGUAUUGCCAUCGGAAGUUUUUUUUGUAUAGUGAUUGUAGAGAAGAUGCAAUUGCAGUACUAUGAUGCUAGGAACAGAACUAGAAGGAGCAGGUCUGUGACAAAGGUGUCAUUAGAGGCAGAGCACUUCAUAAACGAUGCAAUCAAACUGGGGAACCACAAAGAUUCGAAAGCUCCUCUUUAAAAUACUGGGAGGUUGUUUCCAAUAGAACUUCAACUUUUUUUAAAAAAAGUAUUUUAAUGCCUUGAAAUGAACCCAUGCUGCAAAAAAUUGGAUGUGGUGAUUAAAGUUCUGCAAUAUGGUAAGUUAAUAUAACACCAACAAUCUUAAAUUUUACCUUUGGAUCAAGUGAGCCUACAAGUAUCAAUGAAGAAAAAAGUACCAAUUUAACUGAUAAUUGAGGAGAAAUUGUCAAUCUCAUUAGCAAUAAGGACUAUGGAUACAUCUAUCAGCCAAACAUUCAAAAGUAUUAAGCAGCACAGAGAAAUGAUUCGGAGAAUCGUAAAUUAUUGGAUAAUUUAUCCUGGGGAAGUAAAAUAAUACUUUUUUAUCACUACCCCAAUAAUAGGAACAAAUCUAAGAACUGCUUUUUUUCAUCAUGUACAGAGAUAUAGCUUUGUUUAUUUCGGUUAUGAUUUCCAGGGAAAGCAUGAAUUGAAAUGAUUUCGUUGGUAUGGGGUGAAGAUCAAAGAACAAGUGAGAUCAGGGGCUAGGUGUAUGGUGUAAGGGAACUGAGACUUACAAUUUGCUUUGGACAGGCAGAUGUUGCUGGGAACUUUGAAAGCAUAACAGAUUGAGAAUACUUAGGAAGUUGAACAGAUGAUCGUGCAAGAAGUGAUGCCUAGAUCCUGUUACAACUAGAAAAGUUGGUAAGAAUCACAAUCUAUAAUUCAUUAGUAAACAUGUGAAACUCUAGAAUUAGAAAGAAAAAGUAUUCUGAAGGAUCCUAAAUAACUAAAUCAAACCAUAAGAUUAGCAGAGAAGAUGGAUUUUGAAGAGGAAUUGGCUUCCAUGUGAUUUGAUUUUAAAGAUGGUGGAAUAAAUUCAUUGCGACGCUUGAAGAAACAGUGUUUCUCAGAGGAUGCGACUAAACAAGGGAACUGCAAUGACUUGAGAUGUAUCUCUUUGAAAUUUUGCAUAGGAUUAGUGAACAUCAUUUAAGUAAUCAAGUUUUUUAUAGUGUAGUGAGGGGGGUAAAAGUGUAAUUGAACUUUUUGUUUAUGGGUCAUUUCAGAAAAAAGAUGAAUGUAAUAUAUUAUUAUUAUGAAUAUGAAUAUCCAGAUGAAUCAUCUAAAAUUGAAUUAGAUGGUAAAAGUAUAUUCCAUGUUAAUAAUACUAUCGAUUUCUCCUAACUGAAAUUUUAUAGAGUGAAGUGAUCGUAUUGUACUCUCAACAAGACACUUAUAGUUUACUUUACUGACGUACGGCUACAAGCGAAACAAUAUAGUAGAGCACGAAACGAUAUUUAGAUCAGAUGGCAUUACAUUAUUCUUUAAGUUCCAUAGACAUAAUGAGUAAGAGUUAACAAUUUAUGCAGUUUAAAGGGAACAGAGAAUCAUCGGGUAGAAAGUUGUUUUGAGAGUUUUUUAUUUUACCGAUUUCACAAGCAUAAAGAACAUGAGAAAUUCGUAACAGAUUAAGUAAAACACACAAGGGUGGGGAGAAAGUCGUUUUGAAAUUUGAUUAUCAACUUGACUGUUAAACAAAAGAAUGUUUAAAACUUUAAACAGAACAGGUGCAUAUAGUUAGUAGAUGUGAACUUACAACUUGUCUAUAUGGGGAUAUUUUUCAACUUCCAUAAACAUAUUAAGCAAUAGAUAACAAUUUGUGCAAUUUUAAGAGAACAAAGAAUCACCGUGCAUAAAGUUGUUUUGAGAGUUCCUACUCGGUUCCUCUGAAUUUUAGCAUCUAAAAUCAUAAGGGUUAAAGUACCAAUGUUCAUGUGAGGAUGCAGUAAUUUAGCUUUUAAAAUUCCACAAGAGUUAAAAACAUGAGUAAUUGGUAACAGAUUAAGUAGAAUAGAGAAUGAUCGGGAGAAAGCUGUAUUGAAUUUUUUUUAACAAUUCAACAGUUAAACAAAAGAAUUUAGAACAUUCAUGGAAUGAGUAUCUUAGUCGGAUCCAAUGUAGAUAUGUGAACAGAUACAAUUAGUGCGAUAACAGGAAUAUAAAAUUAAUAGAUGUGAACUUAAAACUCAUCCAGAGGGGAGAAUAGUUUUGCUGAUGGAAAUCAAAUCUGUAAUUGUGAGUUGCUAGGGAAUCAACAAGGAUGAUGACAAAUGGAAUUGGCAGGUUCGAAUUAAAGCAGACGGGUGAGCCAUUUGAAUCUAUAUAGAUGUAUUGGAAAUUGACGAUAAAAUACAAUUUGAUUUGCUGUAGUUACGUAUCAUUGGCUGCCGCUUUGGAAGUGGAUCAAAUAGACAGAGGACGUUGAUAGAUUCGAAAGUGUAGCAGAAACGCUAAGCGUUAGAAUCUGGAAAGUUGAUUGGGAAUCGCAAGCGGAAGGGACUGGGGGACUAUGAAAAUCGAAGAUGGUCUUAAUCUAUUUAUCAAUUCUUGGAUCCUAUGUAAACUGUUGUCUAAUCUUAUCAAAACAUUCAAUGUUGACAAGUGUCAUCUUAGCAGGCUUGUUACAACUUUGGCCAACCGGAGGUUUCUUACUUUCAGCUAUACAGACUAUCACCUCCUAAUUAGUGAAGUGAAUUAAGUACUGCAGAUCAAGCCUGUGGACAUCUGUUUCCCCAUGAACUUGAUGCUACCAUACCAUGGAACCUAUUGCAGAUUUGACCUAAAAAAGAAUACCAAAAACCGUUAAGAACAUGUUUUGAUUCGGCAGGGAAUAAGUUUGAUUAAGGAGUAGAGAUAGCGGGUCAUACCUGUUGGCAUUUGUCCAAAUUUUGAGAGUUGGAGGCGAGAAAAUUGUCUGUUAUGGUAGAGAUUGUCGUCCUAUUUUGUGAUGGUAGAAACAUGGAAGAGACGCUUCACUAACGCUUUAGGUUGAAGCGUCUUUUUUUUUUUUUUUUUUAAUGAAAUAAAGUUUAUUUUUUUAAGUUAGGGUAUUUUAGUAAUUUCACUAGUGGGUGCUUUUAAAAUAAUAUAGAUAUAGAUAUAGAUAUAUCUAUAGCUAUAGAUAUAAAUUUAGAUAUAGAUAUAGACAUAGAUAGAUAAGUUUUGGACUUCACAUUAAUUGGGCCACAAUGAAAUUAAUAAGUCUUCUAUUUUCCCACUUUGCCCAAUGACCACAUAACAUUAAUGUUUUAAUGAUAUUAAUAUUAGUUGCGUAUAGAUUAGGAAAAAGAUAUGUUUUUUACUUAAAGUUGUAACGAAAACUCACUUUAGCCAUUAAAUUUAAUCUAUAAUUGUUUAUCCCCUUCAAUAACUUUGAAGUGAAUUAAAUACAACAUCAAAAUCACAAUCCCACUCUCACAAUGGAGAGUACACUACACACGCGUCAUGUCAUUAUCAAAUCAGUGUCAUGUCAUUGUCACGUAAGAAAUUAUAAUUUUUUUUAAAAUAGUAAUUCCACAUACAUACUAUUUUUAUAUAUAUUUUUUAAAAAAAAUAAAAAAUAUAUACAUACAUAUAUAUAUAUAUAUAUAUAUUAUUUUUUUAGAAAAAAAUCCAUUUUUCGUUUUCUUCAUUCCCUCCCUAACCCCCCCCCCCCGCCCAUUCUAGUUUAUAUUUUAGGGAAUUAAUUAAUUUUUAAAGAAGAACUUGAAGAAGGUGGUGAAGAAGACAAUUUGCUCCCUAUUCUUCUUCUUUUCUUCCCUAAAUUAAGAAAAAGUUGAAGAAGGUGGUGAAAAAGGCAAUUAGAAUUAGCUUCCUAUUCUUCUACUACUACUAUUUCCUUCUUCAUUUCUUCUUCUUUCUUUCCUUUCCCAGUUUUGAUGUCUUAUUUUACUACUCAUUGGGUUUUUUGGGUGUUAAAAUUUAGCGAAUUCUUGGAGAAUAAUACCUGAAAGAUUUGAUUUUUAUAUAUUUUUUGGGUUUAAGUUGUUGAUUCUUGAUCUUUAUAGAAAAUUUAUUUAUUGUAUAAUUUGUAUAUUUUAUUAUUGUGUAUUUGAUUGAAGAUUUUUUGUGGAUAAGAGUGAAAAAAGAAGAGAAAUUUUUGAUUGAAGAUUUUUUAUGCCCCAUGAUUGAAGACAUGGGGGUGGUGGGUGUGAGGAAGAAGAAGAAAUUGGGGGUGGGGUGAGAAAAAGGAGAAAAAAUAAUGGUUAAAAUUUUUAAAGUGGGCGCCACUUAAUUUUUUUAAACUUUUUUAUUAUUAAAACGCGCUUUGAUUUUUUUUUUUUGCCACGUCAGCCGUUAAGGGAGAAAAAUAAUUCACUUUCAAGUUUAUAAGGUGGUAAAUAAUUAUAGGUUAAAUUUAAUGGCUAAAGUAAGUUUUCGUUGCAACUUUAAGAGGAAAACAUGUCUAUUUCUUCUAUAAAGUUCAUCACAUAUCUCUUAAUAUGGCAAGUCACUGAUGCAAGCUAUGGCAGUUAUACAUAGUUUUGGUGCUACAUGCUCCCUUCCAUAUAUGACAUUAGAAAUUUAUCAUAGCAAGUUCGUAAGUUAUAAAACAUUUAAUAUUAUAGUUUGCAAUAAUGUCUCAUUGAGACUUAUCCUUCAAUAUCUCACAACAAUUAUGUGCACACAUAUAAAAAAUAGGUAAUUCAUUAAUAUACACUGGAGAUACUUACGCAUCAUAAAUGCAUCUACAAUCAAGACUCAUUCUUUGAAUAUAUUCUUUAAAUGUCUUUGGUUGUAAGUCCUUCAAUAACGGAUUUUCAAUCAUGAGAUCAGUUCUAAUAUUCUAAAGUGACACUGUCUGUUUCUUAAUUUCUUCCUUGACUGUAAAGUACUUUGAUUCCAUAUGUUUUGCACUCUUAGAGUACUUAUUAUUCCCGGAGAAUAAUGUUGUUGCGGUAUUAUCACAAUAAAUCUUCAGCAGCUUGGUUAUGGUAUUGACAACCCCAAGUCUUGAAAUGAAGUUUUGCAUCUCAUAACUAAUAUUUAAAUGAUACUUUGAAUCCUUUUUCUAUCGGCGGACAAAUACUCAACAAGUUAUGAUUAAUAUUAGGUAUAUAAAGAAUAUUAUUUCCUUAUCACAUGAACUUGCUUUGAUGAUGACAUUUUCUUUUGGUUUAAGUCAUCAAUAGACCCUUAAACUUAUUUUGAUAUUUUACUUGGACCCCUCAACUAGAAUUAGUAGCUAUUAAACACCUUAUGUCACGACCCGAGCAGAGGCCCUGGCCACGACGGGCAUCCCGAACCAUGAAAGUUCGAGAGAUCCCUUAGCAUACUAUCAUAAGCACACUCCUUCAAUAAAUCAAGUGCGGAAGAUAUAAUAAGAUUCAAUGAAAAUUUAUAAUCCAAAAUGUGUCAAUAAAUUUGUAACAAUACAAUACUCAAAAUCCCAUCUACAAAGCCUCUAUUGAUAACUAAAUGUCUAGGCCGGGGCAAGGCCCUCGGAUGGAUUAUAAACUGAAAGAGUCAACAGAUGAAUAAAUUGUCUUCCGAAAGAUAGAUAGUUCACCAACUAUAUCAUAUCCCAAUGUUCUAUUGAUAUGAUAGACCAUGGGACUAUACCGCAGAACCUGAAAUAUGGGGGGUCAAUACUUAGGAAGUAUUGGUAUGAGAAAUAAUCCAAAAAUAACAUAUAUUUUAUAUAACAUAGUUGAGAGCAUUUUUGAAAACAACUUAACAUAAUAGAGUUUAAAACACAUGGACAUAAUUCAAGAGCUUCAAAAUAUUCUGGUAAAUCAUGGACUCAACUCUUUAUUUUAGUUCUAAGCUAGAUGGCACACCCCACAAACAUGAUUACUCAUGGAAUUUAUGGGUUCUAGCUCUCACCCCUAGUCGGGCCCCAGUGCUUGUAGCUACACGAACCAGACAAUAAUUACAAAUAUAUGCACGAGGGACUCGAACCUCCCAAUCAUAUACUAAGGUAACUUAAGCACCCGAUCAUGUAAUAAAAUAUGGGGGACUCAAACCUCCUAAUUAUACAAUAAGGUGGACUCGAUCUCUCCGAUCAUAAAUAAGGGAACUCGAACCCGAGCUAUUUAGACCCCCCGCAUUGACAACUAUGGUUUUGGGCAAUGGGUUAUCUGAACUCGUGCCUUCUUUGGGUAACUAUCUCACUAUCUUUAAACCCAAUUUUAAUCCUUUAAAAUCAUGGUUCAUACUAAAAAUAUUAACUCCUUUCAUGUUAAGGGCAUUUUAUAAUAGGUAUCAGCAUACCUAGACUUGCAAGCCCUCUGACAUACCCUGGGUUUUGGAACCCUAAAAAAUUUCCUAGAUUUUUGGUUUCUGAACAUCAUAGGACUUGGGGUACCAGUAGUAUGAUAAGGUACGGUUGGUAUGCUCUGGUCGUAUGCUAACCAUUGUUGGUUGAUUGGUUAGGUUGAUUUCUGGAAUGGGUACGACUUGGGUUAGUACGAGCCGUAUGGUGGUUGACGGGUCAUAUGAUUGGGUUUUCCUUCACUUAAUCUGAAACUUAGUAACUUAACUUGGAUCUGAGUAUGAGUGGCUCACCAUGGGUUGUGAGAUAGGGUAUGAGUUGUAUUUUCUAACUUGUAUAUUGGACAGUGUCAACCUUUCUAGGUUCUGUUAUAUGUACGGGUUAAGGGUACUAGUCGUAUCCUUGGAUACGGUUUGUCUUGCAUGGUCGUAUGUUGACUAGUGUGGGGGUCUAAGGUAAGUCCAAGGAUACGAGUCAGGGUACCACUCAUAUCCUAAGGUACGAAUAGUAUAGUGGAGUCGUACCCACUUGUGGGAAGUUAGACAGUUUAAGUUGGGGGUAAUCUUAACAUUUUCCCUUAUAACUCCUUAGGAUCCCACAACUUAUAUCACACCUGGGACAUGAUUUACCCUAUUAUUCUAAUCUUAAACACUUAGAAACACUCUCUAAUUCUCUCUAAGUAUCUUGGAUAAAGGAAUGCUAGGGUUUUAUCUAGAUGAUCAAUUCGGGAAUUAUUUGGUUGAUUUAUCUCCAUCAUCUUCGUAAUCUAAUUCAAGAUACUUCACUCUUAUUGUUACUUCCUACUAAAGGCAUCUUUAUAUAAUGUUUUCAUGGCAUGAUUAUUGUAUGUUUUGGGGGUUUUCAAAUAUAUAUUGGGUUUUUGGUAUUAAAUGUUUGAUUAUGGUUUUUCCACAUUUUAAUUAUGUUUUACAUGCUUUAAUAGUGGUUGGGACAAUUGGUUGCAUGAGAAUGGUUAAUUGGUAUUUGGUCUUUUUUUUUGGAAACACUAGGCCCCUAACAUAUUUGAUAAGAUGCCUAUGAGAAUACUUUUACUAUAUUAGUGGGCUUUUAAUGAAACUAUUGCAUGGUAUGGUUUGGUAAUGAAACCUUAAAUGGUAUAAAUAGUUUAAAUGGUUUAGAGUAGUUUAAAUAGUAUGUUUUGGUGGUCAUGGUUAUGGUUAAUUAAUCUUCAUUGUGGGGUACAUGGGAUUCACCCAAGCAACUUAAUAAUGGAACACUUGUAGGGUACACAAGAUUCCUUCAAGUUAACUUGAUAAUGUAUUUUAUGGGUACAUGGGAAUCCCUUUAUCUAAAAAGGCUGGCUAAGGACAUUCCUUGCAAGUUAUAGUCGGUAUGACGAUAGCACUACUUAUAUCCUUGAUUAAUAAUAAUGGUAUAAUAGUUUGGUUGGAUGGUAAUGGUUUAAAUUAGGCAAUAAUGGCAGGGUAUGAUAGCUAACCGUGAAGGUAUGAGUCCAAUGGGCGGACUCUGGAAACUCAUGUUUGCCGAUGUGAGGAGUUGGUCAUAAAGACCAUAUAUGAUACUAUGAGGUACAUGGCAAUCCUUUAAGUAUACUAUACAUAAGUAUCAUGGAGAGCGAAAGGUACUCAGGAAUUUCUUACUCUGAUGGCAUCUUUGAUUUGUGUGGCUACAUGGAUCGGGACCCGAUCAAGGGGUUACACUGGACCCAUAUAGCCCAUGGGUAGUUUUAGAAUAGUUAAGCUACACAUACCUAGGUUAAUGGUUUUAAAGGCAUAAUAAACCCAAUUUCUUUUCCUGGUAUGGUUGCAUUUAUUUAUAUGUAUGGUUGUAUGUAUAUGGUUCGUUUAUUUGGUUUUACUGGAUGAUAUUAUUUUAUCCUUAUCCUAAGUACUUGCUAGUGUUAACCCGCUAUGCUAUCCUCGGGCGGCUAUAUCCCCACACAGUGCAGGAAUCGACUAUUCUACUCCUCAUUCUUAGUGAUCAGAUUUGGGAUCGACUAUUAGAUUAAAGUGGUGAGCUUCCAUUUCAUAUCAUGGACAUCUUUACAUACUUUGGAUAUUUUACGGAUAUAUGUUUUGGCUAUGGUUGGGGGAAUUUCCUAACCGGAUAUUAUUUUUCUUUGGGUUUAAGGUUUUUGUUGAACUACUAUGGGUUGGAAUGGGUAGGAUCGAUAGUGGUGUCAUCCAUAAUAUUAGCAUUGAUAUUGGGGAUGAUGCCAUUGGAUUAAAUUUAUGAGUGUUCUAUCCUUUUAUAUUAUGUUAUGGAUAGGAACUUGGUUAUUAUUUUGGUUGCUGGAUUAUGGUUUUGGUUUGGUAAUUGGUUAAUGGUUAGGUUUGGAUGGUUGGACUCGUUUGGGUCUGUCACAGUCAUAGAUCUAUCCUAGAGUCUGGAAAUUGGAUAAAAUAUGCGAUCUUGUUAUAUGUUCGAAAUUCAUACAACUUGGUGUAUAUGUUUGUUGGUUGGUUUGGGUAUCAAGGGUGGUCUCUGAUCCUAGUUGGACUUGGUAUGCCUAUUAUGAUAGGUCUCCAGUUUGGGUCAUGUAAAGUUAGUAUCAGAGCUUUAGGUUCAUGGUCAAUUAGGAGUCCACAAAGCCGUGUUAAGUAGAGUCUCUUUUAGGGGUGUGUAGCACACCACACUCAUAAAGGAGAAGCUACAAGACAUCUAGGAAUGUUUCACUUUCUUGGUAUUCUAUUUCCAAGCUGCGAGGUCUGAGGUCCUUUCUAAUUCCCAUUUGUUUGCUUUUCAGAUCAUGCCUCGACAAUCUGAGACUCAAGGUAACUCUUUCAUCCCAACUGGGGAUAAUGUUGAAGGGAUAUGUACUACUCAGAGGAUCUAUACUUGGUCUAGGGUUCCAGUCUCUGAUAUUUUUAGAGUUAGACCGGUUGCUACUUCUACUAGUCCUCCUCAGAGUGAGGUGACUAAUUCAGAAUUUUGUCAAUCGAUUCAUGUUAUUGCUCAGUUGGUUUUUGUUCAGGUUGAGUGGGGUGCAUCUGGUGUGUCAUCUAUUGAGGCCAUAAGGGUUGUCCAGUUUAUGAAAAUAAAUCCUUUUAAUUUUACUAGUGUGAAGGUGAAGGAGGAUCCUCAGGGUUUCUUGGAUGAAAUAGAGUAAAUCUUUAGGGUGAUGCAAGCCAUAAAUGUGGAAGGGGUAAAUUCUAAGGCUUAUCAGCAAAAGGAUGUGGCUUACCGAUGGUACGAGGAAUAGGAUGAGGCAAGGGGUGAUAUUGAGAAUUCAUCUUUGUGGGAGACUUUCUCCAAUGCUUUUCUAGACUGCUUCUUUCCUCUAGAGUUGAAAGAAACAAAAAUGAAGGAGUUUGUUAAUUUGAGGCAAGGAAAGAUGUCGGUCUAGGAAUAUACCUUGAAGUUUUAUCAGUUGUCAAGGUAUGCUCUGAAAUUGGUGUUUGAUAUGAGGGCCAAGAUAAGGAAGUUUGCCUCAGGACUAUCUCGGGAGUUGAUCCUUAAAAGCAAAACAACAUUGCUGAUCAAAGACAUGGAUAUUUCCAAAUUAGUUGUUCAUAUUCAAUAGGUGGAGGAAAAAUGAGGAAACUUGCUGAGUUUGGGGAAAAAUAGAGUAAGAAGUUCAGGUUCUUUGAUCAAGGUUGUGGUCAAUAAUAAGAUGGUCGGGAUGGUGGUAAGUGGCCAAAGAAGAAGUGGGGGUGUUCUGGUUCCUUCUCUAUAGUUAGUGCUCUUUACCCAAAAUAGUCGGGUGAUAGACAUCAAUUAGGUGGUGAUAAUUUUCGGGCACAUAAUUCCCAAUAUUAGGCGAGUAGGGCUCAAUCGGAAUCAUCAUGCCAUCUUUAUCGGUUCUAUAGUAGGUUGCAUAGGGGCUUCUGUGAUGAUGGGAGGGAUAGAUAUUUCAACUGUGGUCAGCCAGGCCAUAUGCUUAAAAACUGUCUGAUUAGUAGGAUUGCUUUGGGAGUGAGUAAGGCUCUGAUUGUUUCUUCUUCUGCUCCUGCAUCAAAGGGUGUUGCAAGGCUCUGAUUGUUUCUUCUUCUGCUCCUGCACCAAAGGGUGUUGCUUCUACAUCAGUUUCUGCUCUUGGUACCAGCGUAGGAUGGAAUAGGUUAUAUGCUCUUGCUACUCGGCAAGAAUCUGAGGCAUCACCUGAUGUUGUGGGGGUAUGUUACAACUCUUUCCUCAUGAUGUACAUUGCUUACUUGAUCUGGGGUCCACACUUUCUUAUGUGACCCUCUAUAUGGAUGUGUAUUUUGGUUUUGAUCCUGAGGUUAUUUCAAAUACUGUUUUUUAUUUCUACCCUGGUAGGUGACUCUGUAAUUGCUAAAAGGGUCUAUAGGGUGUGUAUGGUAUCUGUUGGUAGUAAGGAAACCUUGGUGGAUUUGUUUGAACUUAAUGUGAUGCAUUUUGAUGUUAUUAUAGGGAUGGAUUGAUUACACUCUUGUUAUGCGUCCUUUGAGUAGGAGUUUGGUUCCUUAGCUCCUAGGGGGAGGUUUAUUUUGUAUCUUAGAGCUCAAAGGUUAAUUGCUAAGGGUCUCUCUUUUAUCUAGUUAGGUUAAAGAUUCUAACUCGAAAGGUCCUCCUUUUCAUUUGGUUUCAGUGGUGAAUGAAUUUCCCGAGGUCUUUCCAGAUGAUCUUCUUGUUGUUCCUCUGGAUAGGGAGAUUGAGUUUGAUAUUGAUUUAGUUCCGAACACUCAUCCAAUAUCUAUUCCUCCUUAUAAAAUGGCUCUGGCUGAGUUGAAGGAACUCAAGGAACAACUUAAGGAUCUUUUGGAUAAGGGUUUCAUCUGUCCUAGUAAAUCACCAUGGGGUGCACAUAUUUUAUUCAUGCGCAAGAAGGAUGGUUCCUUUCAGAUGGACAUUGACUAUAGACAGUUGAAUAAGGUGACGAUUAAGAACAACUGUCCUCUUCCAAGGAUAGAUGACUUGUUUGAUCAGUUGCAAAGUGCCAAAUUCUUUUCUAAGAUUGAUCUUAGAUCGUGGUAUCAUCAGCUUAAGAUUAGGGAGGUGGAUAUCCUAAGACGACUUUUUGACCUCGGUAUGGGCACUUUGAGUUCUUGGUUAUGUCCUUCGGUUUGACUAAUGCGCUGGCGACAUUUAUGGAUCUGAUAAAUAGGGUUUUCAUGUAGUUUUUGGAUUUGUUUUUCAUUGUUCAUAGAUGACAUCCUGGUGUAUUCAAAAUAUGAGGUGGAUCAUGCCAAUCACCUCCGUAUGGUGUUGUAGACCUUGAGGGAACAACAGUUGUAUGCCAAAUUCUCCAAGUGUGAGUUUUGGUUGAACUCUAUAACUUUUAUUGAUCAUAUUAUUUCUAGUGAGAGGAUCAUGGUGGAUCCAUAAAAGGUUGUUGUUGUUAAAAGGUGGCCUAGGCCUACGACUCCAACCAACAUUCAGAGCUUCUUGGGUUUGACCGGGUAUUACAGGCGGUUUGUAGAAAGGUUCUCGACUAUAGUUGCCCCAUUGACUAAGUUGACUCAGAAGAAGAAAAAGUUUUCUUGGCCGGAUGCUUGUGAAGGUAGUUUCGAGAAGCUUAAGGUAAGCUAACUUCGGCUCUGAUUUUUGACAUUGCCUGAAGGCACUGAAGGAUUUGUGGUUUAUUGUGAUGCGUCCUGGGACUUGGUUGCGUCUUGAUGCAACAUAGGAAUCCAAUCUUUCCAUGCAUAUAUCCAAACCAAAUACUGAAUUGUCUCCUUCUUCAAAACCGCAUUUCAACAAGACUGACAACAACAUCAGUACUCAUUUAGAUUUCAGCUUUGUGAUAGAAUGACCAUGUUCAAAAUAUUCACUGUUGUCCACCUCUUCUUUUAGGAAAAAUAUCGAGUCUUUCGAUGAAUAGGACCAAAUCAAGGCUAAUGGACUCACAAGAGCAAGAUCAGAGGUCUGGAGCUGUAUUAUAAGACAGUAAAGUUGAAGAAGAGGACCCUUUUUCAGAUGAAGAUUUACCUGAGAAAUACAAGAAAGUGAAGUUCAGUACAUUAACUGUUCUUCAGUUGGUGAGUUUAGUUUCCAUUAUUGCUCUUUUAGUUUGUAGUUUUAUAUUUAGUAUAUUGAGGGAAAACAGAGCUUUUGGACUUGAAUUGUGGAAAUGAGAAGUAACGAUCAUGGUUUUGAUUUGUGGAAUAUUGGUUUCUAGUUAGGGUAUAAGGUUAGUUGUGUUCUUCAUUGAGAGAAACUUUUUAUUACAAAAACGCAUAUUGUAUUUCGUGUAUGGAUUGAGGAAUUCAGUGUUGAAUUACAUUUGGUUGAGUUUGGUUUUGAUUGCUUGGAAGUGUAUUUUUUAUUUGAAAGUUGAUAAAAUGACCGGUGGGAAGCUUUUGCCAUAUGUGUCAAGUAUUUGGAUUUGUCUUUAGGUUGGUGCAUACAUUUCGUUGUUGAAAACUGUUGAAGAUUUGUUGUUAUUUUCUUUUCUUAGUUUAGUAAUUUUAUUUGUGAAAUUCAGUUAGAGAUAGAAUAGGAUUUUAUUAGUAUCCUAGUUGAAGGUAGUAUAGGAUUUUAUGAGUUUCCUAGUUAGAAAUAGAAUAGGAGUCUUUUUUCUAUUUAUAUUCUCAGAUGUAAAUGAAUAAACAUGUAAAAUAUUUUUUACUGUUAAACGACUGUUUUGUUAAACGACUGUUUUCUUCUUCUCUGUAUUCUAUAGAACAACAAUUGGUAUCAAGAGCCAAUUGUUUGAGGGAUCUGUGAGAUAGAAGACCCCCAAAAAUAACCCUGCGUAAAAAGUCAAUAUUGUUAUGGCUUCUAGUAAUUUCCCAAUUCCUUCACCCCCAAUUUUUCUAGUGAGAAUUAUCUAAUUUGGGAUCUCAAGAUGAGAAGAUACUUGCGAGCAUAUGAUCUGUGUGAAGUUGUAGAGGUUGGAAGAGAGGUAAAUCCUUUGCCAAAUAAUCCAACUAUGGCGCAAAUUAACAAUCACGGAGAAGAGGUUUCAAAAAACUUUAAAGCUCUCUCUUGCAUACAAUUAGCACUUUCAGAAGUAAUUUUCUCUAGAGUUAUGGCGAGUGAGAUUGCAAAGGAGGCUUGGGAAAAGUUGAAAGAAGAAUUUUAUGAAAGUGACAAGAUUAGGCAAAUAAAAGUGAUAAAUCUGAGAAGAGAGUUUUAAAUUCCCAGAAUGAAGGAUUUAGAAACUAUUGAAGAAUUCUCCAACAAGUUGAUGAAGGUUGUUAACCAAAUCAGACUUAUAGGAGAAGAGCUUACAGAUUUAAGAAUCAUGGAAAAGGUUCUUGUGAGUUUGCUGGAAAGAUUUGAAGCAAAGAUCUCCUCACUCAAUGAUUUAAAAGAUCUCACUAAACUUUCACCUUCAGAACUUGUACAUGCUCUUUAAGCUCAAGAGCAAAGAAUAUCCUUGAGGCUAGAAGAAGCUACUGAAGAAGCUACUGAAACUGCUUUUCAAGCCAAGUUCAAAGGAAAGAUUCAAAUGCAAGAGGAAGGUAAAAUCUCAGAAACUUCUACUAAUUCUAGUAUAAAUAAUCAAGGCGAUUCUCACAAUGGAGUCAAGAAGAGAGAAAACUUUCCCCCAUGCAAGUAUUGCAAAAAAAUCAAUCAUAAAGAGGAUGAUUGUUAGUUUAAGGGGAAGAAACCACCUCUCCAGUGUAGAUAUUGCAAUAAUCUUUGACAUGUUGAAAGGUUUUGCAGAGUGAAGAAGGAGAAUAACCAACAAACUCAAAAAGGCAAUGUUUCGGAAGUUGAAGAAUAUGAGGAGUUUGUGUUUACGACAAUGCAGCAACAAGAUUGAAUAAUGAAAACACAUGGUUUCUGGACAGUGGUUACACUCAACACAUGACCAACAAACAAGAAUAUUUUGUGAAGUUAGAAUCUGCCAAAGGUAGUGUCAAGUUGGCCAAUAAAACUAUGUUUGAGAUUGUUGGUAAAGGAACUAUGGCAAUUGAAUCUCCCAAAGGUACUAAAUUUAUUCAAGAUGUUUAGUUGGUACCUGAUCUUGACCAAAAUCUUUUAAGUUUUGAUCAAAUUCUAGAAAAGGAUUAUAUGUUAAUGUUCAAAGACAAAAAAUAUGUUGUUUCUAAUUCUAGCGGCCAAGAAGUGAUUACGGUUGAAAUGAUAAAAAGAAGUUUUCCUUUGAGUUGGAACUUAAAUUCUAAGCAAGUUUAUCCAAGUAGUCAAUGUGAGCAGGUUAUUGUGACCACCAAGCACAAUGAUGACGAUUUUAUUUUUUAUUCUUGAAAAAUUGAAAAUUGUUGCGCUUCAAUGGACGUUGAAAUCGAACAAAUCACUUCUUAAGAAAAUAUUCAACAUUUUCAAAACAAUAAGGAGGCUAUAACUAAGGAUAACCACAUACUAUAGCUGGGUACAUAUCUGGAUCUCCAGACUUUGGCAAUAAAAAUAGUUCCAAUUCAGACGUCACAUUUCAUGAAGAAAGAAUGAUGGAGAUGAUGGGAUAGAUGAUUGCGAUAAUGUGUCAAACUAUGAUGAUGAUGAAUGUGAUUACUUGAAUAUACAGGCACAAUUUGAUAAUGCUGAUUUGCCUGCUGGUGUUGAGGCAACGGUUUCUUAGUUAAAUAAACCUGCUUCCAGUUCAAAAAUGUCUUCCCAAGUUAGCUCUUCAAGUCAUCUAGCAAGUGCUCAUACAUCAACUCCCAUAAAUCCUGAGCAUGCAAGUAGUGGCUUUCUGCAGUUCCCUACUUUAAGUAGUACUCUGGUUUCUAGAGGGUCAAAUUCUCGUGGAAAGGAAGAGGUUUCUGAAGAUGAGGAUCUUGUAGUUUGCUUGAAGCAAGAUUCUAUGCUAGCAUUUGAAGCUCGAAAAAAGAUGAACAACAUCAAGUUAUAUGUCUGGAGGGGGUUCAUUAUGGAUAACUGUGAGGAGCUUAUGCCUGAGUACCUUGGAUUUGUGAAGGGUGUUGUGGAAUCUGAUGAUUUGCCUCUCAACAUCUCUCAUGAAAUGCUACAACAGAACAAGAUUCUCAAGGUUAUUAGGAAGAACCUUGUGAAGAAAUGUAUUGAUAUGUUCAAUGAAAUUGUCAAGAACAAGGAGGGAUUGAAGCUCGCUGAUAUAUUUACCAAAGAUCUUCCAAAAUUCAGAUUUGAAACUCUUCAUGAACAACUUGGAGUUACUAGAAAACAUCUCAAGAAGGAGUGUUGAAGUAUUGAGUUAUUUAUUGUAAUUUUCUUUUUUUAGUUUAGUAAUUUUAUUUCUGAAAUUCAGUUAGAGAUAAAAUAGGAUUUUAUUAGUAUCCUAGUUGAAUGUAGAAUAGGAUUUUAUUAGUUUCCUAGUUAGAAAUAGAAUAGGAGUCUUUUGUCCACUUAUAUUCUCAGAUGUAAAUGAAUAAACAAGAAGAAUAUUUUUUACUCUCAAACGACUGUUUUCUUCUUCUCUGUAUUCUAUAGAACAACAAAAACACUUGUUGUGAAAGUGCUAGCUAAGUCAUUUUAUUAGUACAUUUUUCGAUCGAAUUCAAGAAUCUUUGUUCAAUUAGUAUGUUAUUAAGACGUUGUCUGGGCUGCCAUUGCUUGAUAUUGAUCAGCGGGAUCAUGAGAAGGAAGAGAAUGUUAUGUCUGAAGUGAUUGCUGAUUUAAAGGCAAGCACACCACGCAACACUCCUGCGGAUUCUACUCUGAGGAUUUCUACAUUUUUUAGGGUUAUUUUCGAGAAGGAAGAAGGAAAAGGAGGGCGGAUAUUUUCGAGAAGGAAGAAGGAAAAGGAGCCUUUUUGGGAUUGUACUAUAUUUUUUGGGAUUGUAAAUAUCCCCCCAUAUCUUUGUAAAUCCUAUAUAUUGUAUAGACGAUGCAUAAUGAGAAAAUACUUCUUUAACAUAUUUUGAGUGGAGCAUCCCGUGUCCUUUCUUUACUGGUGGAUCUGAAAACUUUUACCAACUAUCUAGUGCAAAGCUUCAUUAACCAAGAUGUAUUGAACAGAGGAGAAGGAAAAAGAAGAGAAAUUAUUUUUUAUUAACUAUCAUUCAACUUGCAUUGUUACAACUAGCAUAUUUAUAUAGAUGUGUGUAUAUCUUCUAGAAGAUUCUCUCCUUAACUACAUUACACGCUCAGCUACCAGUUUACCACAGGACUCACCGACUAGCUAACAAACUAACAAACUAUCUAACUCACAUGUAUAGUAAACCAAUGCAACAGUGCAAACAGAAAAUGAUCAAAGUAGUUAUAUGAACUGAAGUUUUCAAUACUUCUCCUUAAGCUGAAAGGUGCAAAAUGUUAAUCACACCAAGCUUGCUCAAUAGUUUAGAAUGUUGAUCAUGACCUAGGUUUUUGUUAGCAUAUCAGCCACCUGAUACUGUGAAGAGACAUACAGAGUCUGCACUAAAGCACUCCUUGUAGGCACGUAAUUUUGUCCCGUUGAAAAAAAUUCUACUCCGUUAUCACACACUUUAACCUCAUCUUAUAAUUUUUUUCAAAAAAAACAAAUGAAUAACCACCCCAUCUUUUACUUAUUUAUUAAUUCCUUUUUUAUUUUAUCCAAAUAACAAACCCUAACUAAUUUUAUCUUAUCUAAUAUUCCAACAACCCACUCAAUUAAAAAUAAGACACCUAACCCUUACCCCUCCAAUUAAAAAACAACACCUCCCCCCUUCCUUUUCUUGUCCAAAAAGAGAUAUAACUAGAAGGAACCUUCUAGGAAAUUUCCCUAUGAACACCUCACUCAUGGACCCUAUUUUUUUUCAUUUGUUUUCAUGUGUUUGUGUGGUAUCUCGUGCCUUGAGCCAGGGGUCUAUCGGAAAUAGCCUUUCUACUUCAUCAGAGGUAGAGGUAUGGACUGCGUACAUCUUACCCCCCUAGAUCCCACUAGGUGGGAAUACACUGGGUUUGUUGUUGUUGUUGUUGUUGUUCUCAUGCUAACAUAGACUCCAAUCACGUGAGGGACCUCACCAUAUAUACUCGAAUAUACCUUCACUAGAGGAGAGAUAGACAUCACCAUCAUCCUUAAAAAAAAAAAAGGAAACUCUCCAUUUUUUGUUUCAAUUUUUCUGCUCAUGAUACACACAUAUACAUAGGCAAAAAAAAAAAAAUCACAUACACACUAUGAUUUUUCUUUCUUAUGGGGGGAACACAAAUACAAAAAAAUGAAUUCUUUUUCUUCUCAAGGAUAAAUUGUGCACUCAUAGAAUCGAUAGGGAGAAAAGGGGUUUUAAAAUCGAGGGAGAAAGUUGAAAAAUAGAAGGAAGAUGGUGUGAAAUUAGUUCAUUUUCUUUAGGUUUCGGUUAAAAUUUCACACUAACAGCUGAUCACUAUUUUGGGUGGUUUGUUGUCUGCAUUUAUUCACUGUUCCGGCAAUACAGUCGCCGGAAAACAUCAAGGCGUACUGAAAUUCGUUAGAACAACUAUUCGGAGUUUGGGGGUUUCAAUUUCUCGCCAUCGAUUUUGGUUCAUUUCAUCGUUGGGAUUCUGGUUCGAGAGUCUCGGUCUUGGGUUUUCUUAUUAUCAAUAAAUUCGAUCCUUUGACGGUCCAUUCCUAAACUCUCUCUCUUUAUUAUUUUUAAUGUGGCUAUGAUGUGAGUUUGGUGGUAUGGUUUUGAAUCUUUUCGUACUAUUAAUUGUGUUGCGAGAUAUGAAUGAUUCAUGUUCUUAAUUUGUCUGAACCUUCGUAGAGAGAAUAUGUUUGAUGUUAGUUUUGGGCUUUGAAUAGUGAUUUGAACUAUAGAAUCCAUUGACUUUCCGCUUAAAAAGGAUUUAGGUUUGGGAUUGUGAUUUGAUAAAAGAUGAAUAUAAAUUAGUUUUGUUUUGAUUCAUUAUGAUGGUUGUUGAUUCCUUGAUAGUAUCAUGAUAGGUCAAGCGGGGUAGGCCAAUGUAGGUUUGGGUAAGCAAGAUUUAUGAAUGGUGUUUUUGUUGAAUGAUUGAAUGUGGAAUGUGUGUUGAAUGUUUUCUAGUUUAUCGUACUUGAGAAAAAAAUGUAUUCAUUUUACCAGGGAAUGCCCCGAGGUCUUAUGUACUUAUUCACCGGUGAAUGCCCUGAGGUACCUUGUACUCGGAGGAUGUUUGUGAUGAAGGCUCGGAAUAGUAGAUCAAGCAUUGGAGCGUAGUUUACGAUUAGUGUAGGUUAGCAUAGGUUUAAUUUUAGUACCUUUUUUUUAUUUUUGGGUUGUAAUAAUUGGACUGGACAUUGUUUUGGAUUUGUUUAUUUGAUUGAUCAUUUUAUUUGUGUUUGGUGUGGUUUAUAUAUUCAUAGUAUUCAAAUCAGCCGAUAUAUUCCAUCAAGCGACCGUGGUCAAACCACGGGAUCGAGGGGUGCGUAACACCUUCCACUCGUUCGAUUGAAUUUCUUAACCGGAAUCUCUAUUCGCGGAUCAGUGUAAAAGAGUCAAAAAUAAUUUUUGAAAAAGAAUUCCCAAAGGUGACUUGGCACACCCAAUUAUGUCAAGUGGGGACUCUUUGUUUAAAUGAAAAUAAUCCUUUUUGAAACAAAAUUUUUAUUUUUUGUCACUUUAAUAAAAACCCCUUCGAACUUAAAAUGAUAUCUUUUUUUGGAGAUAAAAAAGGGGUGUGACAGCUCUAGCGACUCUGCUGGGGAUUUUUUAGAAUUCAAGCUUAUUUUUGGAGUCGUAUCGACUUUUUUUGGCAUUAUGGGUGAUAAACAUUGUUUGUGAUUAUUUUUUGUGUUAUUGUUAUCACUGUUGUGCGUUUCUGUGCUCUUUGUUUACAAUUUUUCUUUAUGUGUUACCACUUUAUAUCUGGCAUCAUUUGCAUAACCCGAGUCAAUUCUUUCUGCAACAAGUCACAAAGUGCACGUCAUGCGCACAAACUCUAGUUGAGUCAUCCUUAUUUUAGGGGGAGCUGUUGGAUGUAUCGAGUAGGCGAAAAGCAAAGCAGCCACUAUCGAUCAUAUGCUCCCCCGAAUGGCCUUGUUAGUAAAACACAAUGUAGGUCAGCCUUUAGGUCAUUCUUAUGUGCAUCAUAUUGAGACCUAGUGGGGCCCACUUGGUCCUUUGUAGGAGACUCACCUUUAAAGCAUCCCCACAUGCUAAAUGUUGCAUCUUUGAGGGUAAUGUGGUCAUUUGACGGACUGAUUCGAGGAAAGCAUGUGUUAGAAGUAAGGUGUGCUUGAAAAAAAAAAAGAGAAGUGUGUCAAAAAGGGUUUCGUAGCUUUUAAUGUUCUUUAUGGCUUUUGUUUUUCACAAUUCAAAAAUUCAAAAAGAUUUUUUACCUUUUGCACUCAUUUUGUCAAAAACAAAAACAUCAAAACUAUUUUUCUUUGUUUCUUUAGUAAGCGUCCAUAAUUUAAAAUUUUCAAAAAGAUUUCUUCUAAUAGGAGCUUUUUAUAAAAGAGGAAUGGAAAAGAUGGUAGAAGUUUUGUACAUUUCAUAAAACUGACAUAUCCAAAAAGUUUUUUUCUUUCAUAAUCGUUGGUGUCAGUUUUAUGUGAAGUGUCAAAUUGAAAAGCUCAAAAUGAUUUUAUUGACAUAUUUCAUCGUCUAUCUGUAAUCGCGUCUCUCAGGUCAAGUCUUAGUUUGGUUCUUUAAGACUUAAUUGUCUAAUCUGAACGAACUAUGCAUACUUGAUUUCUGUCCCUCAGGGUGGGAUACGUAGGCAGUCCUCGGUGGAUUCGGUAAUCUUUAUUUUGGCCUUUGUCUUAGUCUUAGCCUAGGUCUUUCACCCCGUAAUCUAGAGUUGUUAGCCAAGUAGGCUGAUUUUAUUCAGUGUUACUGUUCGAUGAAUUGGAGUCAUGAAGUGGUCUGUCCCAUCGACUUAUGUCCGUAUCAAAUUCCCAAUGGUUGGGAACCUUUUACUCUUAUCAACUUUUUGAGAUAAUGUCUUAUCUAUUAUUACAGGAUGGAUCUGUCCACAAAGUCUAGAGUCCUUAUGGUUGUCAAGGUACCCAAAAAGUUAAUCAAGUAGUGGGGCAUGUUCAAUUACUCUGAAAAGCACAAAGUUAGGAAAGUGUUAGGCAAUCUUGUAGCACUCAUGGAUCUCACACCCCGUCCGGAUCUAAUAGAAGCUGCGUUGACUUUUUAGGAUCCAAAUAAUUUGGUGUUUAGGUUCAUAAGUUGUGAAUUGACUCCUACCCUGGCAGAAAUAUUUCAUUUGUUUUAAUUGACUUAUAUGGGUUUGCAGAUGAUUUUAGCCCGCAAUCAUACUCGUAAGAGAUUUCUUCGACUUUGUGGAUUGAAAGAUAACAAGUAUAUGGGAUGUCUCAAACAAUCUUGGAUUUCCUUGGACUAUUUGUUUGCUAGAUUUGGGUCCUUAGAGGGUUUUAAAUGCUUUUGGGAUGAAUUUUGUACUACCAAAAAAGUCUGGGAACAACGUCAUCUUGAGGUUUUCUAUUUGGCUUUGUUGGGCAUCUUAGUGUUCCCGUUAGAUGAGAGAUGUAUAAAUACUCGUCUAUAAUCAGUGGUGAUAGCUUUAUUCAAGAAACAAGAUGAGGUCACCAUUGUACCAAUGAUCUUAACAGAAAUAUAUAAGGCUUUAACUGAAGUAAAAGGAGGGGUAUGGUUUUUUGAGAGGAGUAAUCUGAUAUUACAGUUGUGGAUGAUGAAGCAUUUGCAUACACCUUCUUUGAUUAAAGCAGAUGUGAUCGACCAUUGUCUGAAUGAUCGAGUGCAAGCCAUGUAAGAGAGAAUGCGUUUUGAUAAAUUUUCUUUUCCUAUGGGAGUCAAUUCCUGGAUCGAAUUUCUCAAAUCAAGAACUCCGGACAACAUUCUUUGGUCCUAUAUGUGGUUUCGUCCUAAGAAAAUCUUGAUUGGAUCUCAAAUAUAACUCUUUCUGGUUUUGAUAGGUCUUAAUUGCACUAGGCCUUAUAGUCCAAGAAGGGUGAUGCAUUAGUUGGGUAGGAUGCAAGACGUCCCCCCAAUAAUGGACCUUCUAAAGGAUGUAGAGUACUUUAAAGACCAAGACGUGGGGGAAAGAAAAUAUGAGCAAUUCUAGAAUAAUAUGAUAAAGCUAGGUGUCGAUACUCUUGAGGAAAGUCCAGGGUGCACUCAAAACUAUAUAAUAUGACUACAAUCUCUACCCUGUGGCAUUAGUAUACCCUUACCAGCCCAACUUAGAGGAAGAAUAAGGGAAGCAAUCAUGGUAGAGGACGAUGAGCAGGAAGAUUCGGGUGCCAAGGUGGAGUUUUUGAGAGUUCAGCUGUCAUGUUUGAACAUAAUUGUGGAUGGGUGUCAGAAAAACCUUUUUGGGUGUAAUCUCCAAGAGGCAGGGAUAUGGGCGAGAAUUUUAUUCCCGAGUGUCAAAGCAUCGUUGCAGGAUAUGUUGCGAAUUUUGAGUGGAAAAACGGGGACUUCACAGAUGGGUUCAUCUCAGCCAGGGACCUCACACAGAGCACUAGUUUGAAAGAACAUUUAUUAUCUUUAUUUAGUUUGAGUCUUUUAUAUUUCUGCCAUUGUAAGGUGGUUUCUGUGUUAAGUCAGAGUCAAGUUGUUUUUGAUAUUAGAGUCUUUAUUAGUAAUUUCACGUAUGUCGUCUUAGGGGACUAGAAUGUUGUUUUGUAUUUGUUGUUUAGUUUUAAAGUGGUCCUAAAUUUGAAGUAUGUUUCGUUGUUGCCUUUACCAAAAUGUUGUGAUGUUGCGUCGUUCUUUCUUUUGUUGGUUUUUCAUUUUUUUUAAAAAAAAUCAUCAAAAUCAAUCAAAAUUCUUUAAUUUGCUGGUAUUUAUGCAUAGGCGUCCCGAACUACGCAAGAUCUGAUUCAUGUACAACAUGAUACUAGGCAACCUACUUUUGGGUUCGAUCUAAUCAUUUUGUUUCUUUGUUUUUUAUUAUUUUUUUCCUCUUUUAAAUAAAAGCAAAAGCCAUAAAGAAUGAUAAAAGAAGAUAGAUAGCGAGAGAAGAAAAGAAAGAAAGAAUGAUGAGAGAAGGAAGGGAAAGAAUAGAGACAAAUACAAAAGGAGAGAGAAAUAAAGGCAAAAGAAAAGAGGUAUGGAUUGGAGGAAAGAAGAAAAUGAGCGUAGAUAGAAAUCGGGAUGAUGUUAAAAUGACCUCGCUACCCUCAAAGGCUGGUAGAAAUGAACAUGAAUCUAGGAUAAUUUUACCAAUGUGAUUCCCAUGCAUGUUGUGUGCCCUAAUCCUAACGGGAGUUGUCUUGGAUGAGCAUGUUCUUUCAGAUAACAGUGGUGGAUUUGCAGCACUCUGGCUAGUCACUGGUACUUCACUAGAUCAAAAACAAAGCUCGCCAUGGCUAGUAGGGAGAUUGAAAAUUUACUCAUUGACCCAGAUUAGGAUCCCGGGGAAGAAAGUUCAGAAUGCAAUAAUGAGGUAUUAAGACUUAGAAAACAAUUGCUAGAUCUGCACCGAGCAUGGGCUAGUGGCAUGCCUCCUCCUCUACUCCCUGAAGAUCUUGGGAAUAUCCCCAAUUGCCCACCGCUCUCUCAGGCACAAUUCUCUAUUCCUAUUGAGUCACUGGAGCACGCACCAGGAUUCACUCCGUGGCAAUAUUACCCUGGCACUUCUAGUAUGCCCCUGGCAGUUCCUCAAUGAAGGCCCAUGACUCAGCCGGCGCCACCGACAGCGCCUGUGUUCGUCGAUCUGCCACCACCUUAAGCUCCCACAUAUGCUGUGCGUCCGAUAAUAAUACUUCUUCGGUCUGCCAGAAAGCGAGUAUUGAAGGUUUUAGAUAGUCAGCAUUAUGCCCCGGAGCCUACUUUGAGAAUGAAUGAACCAUAUGGGUAUACUCAGCCACCUGCAUUUCCAUUUGAUAUGGAGAAACCUAUCAUAACAGAGAAAUAAGAGGUCAUAGCGCGGAAAUUGAAAAGUUUGGAACAGGCCAUGAGGAAUCUGAAGGGAACCGGAGGCUUAUAAGAGUGUUUCCUAUAAAGAUCUUUGCAUGUUCCUAGACGUCAACCUUUCCCUCGAUUUUAAAAUACCCAAGUUCGAGAAGUAUGCUGGGCACGGUGAUCCCUUGGCACACUUAAGACAUUAUUGCAACCAAUUGAGGGCUGCAGGGGGAAGAGAAGAGUUUCUUAUGACUUUUUUUGGCGAGAGUCUUUCUGAUCUGGCUUCAGAAUGGUUCGUCGAUCAAGAUAUCGACAAGUGGAACAGCUGGGAUGACUUAGCUUCUGAGUUUGUUCAACAUUUUUAGUAUAAUGUCGACCUGAUUCCUGACGAAAAAUCCUUGGUCAACAUGAAGAAGAAAAGCACUGAAGGCUUUAGGGAAUACACGAUAAGGUGGAGUGAACAGGACGCCAUGGUAAAGCCUCCAAUAAAGAAGAGUAAGCGGGUAGAGGUCUUCAUUCAGGCACAGGAUGAGACCUAUUUUCAAUAUUUACUUCCGGUGAUGGGAAAGUCUUUUAUUGAAGUCCUCAAAAUGGGAGAGAUGAUAGAGUACAGAAUCAAGACCAGCCGAAUAGUGAGUUUUUCCACGUUGAAAGCCACCACACAAGUGAUUCAAGGUGGAUCUGGUGCGUUCGAAGGUAAAAAGAAGAAAGAGGACGUGGCGACCAUUGUAGCUGGAACCCAUUCCUAUCCCAAAAAGUUGCCUUGCCCCUAUCUCCAAUCCCAAGUACAAGUCUACACCCAAGCUCCAUAUAUUUCUUCCCAUCAUUACUACCCUCCAUAAAACCCAUUAUAUUCCAUUCCACCACCCCCGUACCCAGUAUAUAGCAUGUAGCCAUAUGCCCAAACCUUUUCUUACCCGCAAUGGCACGCGCAAGCUCCAUAAAAUCAGCCAUCAGCUCCACCAAAUUACCAAAACCCUUCCAGACUUAGUUUCUAACCCAUUCCCGAGUACAAAAAAGAGAAGGCGGUCAAAAAUUAGUUCACACCUCUUGAGAAGUCAUAUGCUAGCUUGUUUGAUAGGUUAAUAAAUAUGAAGGUCUUAAACCCAAUUCAAGAAAGGCUUUCUAAUCCACCUCUAAGAAAUCUUGAUUAUUUGUUAAGGUGUGCAUGUUGUUCUAACAUACCGGGGCAUAAUAUUGAGAAAUACUGGCAUUUGAAGAGAGAUGUCGAUGAUUUAAUUGAUGCAAAUCAAAUUCUGGUCUAGGCCCCGGAAGUUCCAAACGUUAACCAGAAUCUGUUACCAACCCAUGCAAAAACCAAUAUGUUAGAACUAAUAUAUAAAAAAAGAGUCAUCAAGGUGUUAUAAGCCUAUUGUCAGAAUAUAGACCAAUAAGGACAAAUCAGUGAAUGUGGCAGAUUCGUUGAAAGCAAUGUCAUUAAGCCAAGAAAGAAUGGGAGAAGAUAAAGACCAAGAAAGCACAAAGAAACCCGUGAUCACGGUGCAAGGUGCCAGAAGAUAUGUUGAUUUAAGUCAGGAUAAACCUAAGUUGAUGGUGGUAGGAGCUCCGGGUAAGCCUAUCUUGAUGGUGAAAGAACCACUGGCAGUGCCUAUUUUCAUCAAACGGGUGACCCAACCUCUGAUAGUUGAUAUGAAAAAGGUCCCCUGGAACUAUAAGUGGACUUUGAUGACUUAUUAGGGGAAGGAAGUUGUGGAAGAGGUAGAUGAGAGAGGGGUUCCAACUCAGUUAGGAAGAUGCUUAGUUCCGAAAGGUUUAAGGAAGCCCAAGCCAAUCAUGAUUGGGCCUUCAUCUAUCAAAAAUCCUGUCACUGAAGAAGAAGCCGAAGAAUUUUUAAAAAAGAUGAAAUUGCCGGAGUAUUCAAUAAUAGAUCAGUUAAAGAAGACCCCUGAUCAAAUUUCCCUCUUAUCGUUGUUGUUGCAUUCCAAGGAACAUCGUGAUAUUAUAUUAAAGGUAUUAAAUAAAGCAUAUGUUCCUAGGGAGGUUAUAGUAAAUCUGCUUGAGAAAAUGGUUGGAAAAAUCUUUGAGGUUAAUCGGAUCAGCUUCUUUGACGACGAAUUGCCUAUUGAAAGUAAGGGGCAUAACCAGGGUCUUUAUAUUACAGUUAAGUAUGAAGAUUUCUGCUUCACUCAUGUCAUGAUUGACGGAGGUUUAGGUGUAAAUAUCUGCCCUAUUUCUACUUUGCAAAAGUUAAAUAUUAGUGUUGAGAGGAUCAGGCCCAACCAUGUAUGUGUUAGGGCUUUCUAUGGUGGAAAAUCAAACUCCAUUGGUGAAAUAGAACUAAUGUUGAUUAUAGGGCCUAUUGAGUUCACCAUAGAGUUUCAAGUAUUGAAUAAAGAUUUCUCUUACAAUCUGUUGUUGGGAAGACCAUGGAUCCACAAGGCCAAUGCGGUUGCAUCCACAUUGAACCAAAUGAUCAAGUUUAAGCAUGAGAGGAAAGAAGUGGUUAUUCAUGGUGAAGGGGAUUUGUCUGCCUACAAAGAUUCUUCCUUGUCCCUUAUUGAAGCAAACAAUGUAGAGAAGACAUUUGUCUAUCAAACUUUUGAUAUAGUAUCGGUGAAUCGUAUUAUUGAAGGGCAGGUUAUUUCGGGACCACAAUUGUCUUCCGUUUCUAUCAUGAUGGUGAGUGAGCUUUUGAAAUAUGGAUUUGUGCCAGGGAAUGGUUUGGGAGUGUGUCUACACGGUAUCGUUCAUCCCAUAUGUUUAAUAGAGAACAUGGGCACUUUUGGUCUGGGAUUUGAACCUAUGGCUGAAGAUUUGAAGAAGGCCAAGGGAAGGAAAAAGGAAACAUGGUCACUCCCUCGCCCAAUGCCGCUACUCAGUGAAUCAUUUGUCAAGAGCGAUGUCACGAAGCCUGUAGAAUUUGAAGUUAAAUUAGUUGAUGACUUCCAGAACCUGCUGAUUGAUAUUGAUAUGGUUGAAGCAGGAGAGGGUACCAAUAAGGCAGGCGUGUAGUUCAUAGGUCCUAAGGUCUAGCUCAACAAUUAGGAAGUCACUCCUCUCCCCGUCAGAAAGGAAUUUUGGUAGUUUAUUUUGUUUUUCUUUCUAUUUAUCUGAGUUAUUUCAGGGUUGUAAUUCAGAAUUUAGCUUGUUUACAUUCUGUUGCCAUUUGUGUUUAAACCCUCCUAUCUUUCCCUUUCAAUAAAAUGCAGUGUGCCCUUAUUUUGUGUCUAAUAUAUUUUGAUUUUUAUCUUUUUUUCUUAUAUAGUUCUCUUUAUGCUGAUUCUAAUGACAUGACAUACAUGCAGAAUUUUCAGCCUGAUCUUAAAAUCCAAACUGAUCAAGAAAUAAUGAAGCAACAGGGAGAAUAUGAUGAAGAAGAGGCACUAGAGGAAAAAGCAAAAAGUCAAAACAGUUUGAAGACAAGACGAAUCCUAAUUUGAAUGAAAAUGAGCCAAUCAAUCAAGGGAAACCAAAAAGAUGUUAGGGAAACUAAAAUCAGUGUACAUGCUUUGCCGCAACUAAAAGAUGGAAUGAUUCAAGCAUUAAUUGAUUAUAAGGAUGUCUUUGCAUGGUCUUAUGAUGAUAUGCCUGGUUUAAGCACUGAAUUAGUGGCUCAUAAAUUGCCAACUGAUCCCAUAUUUCCCCAUGUAAAACAGAAGUUGAGGAAGUUUAAAACUGAUGUAAACAUUAAAAUCAAAGAGGAAAUCAUGAAACAACUUGAAGCCAAAGUCAUUCGAGUGGCUCAUUAUCCUACGUGGUUAUCCAAUGUUGUUUCUGUCACAAAGAAAGAUGGAAAAUUUUGAGUAUGUAUUGAUUACCGUGAUUUGAACAGAGCAAGUCUGAAGGAUGAUUUUCUGCUGCCCAACAUCCAUAUUUUGCUGGACAACUGCACUAAACAUGAGGUUACCUCUUUUAUAGAUUGCUAUGCCGGAUACCACUAGAUCAUUAUAGAUGCUGAAGACGCAAAGAAGAUGGCUCUUAUCACACCAUGGGGGACCUAUUGUUAUCGAGUGAUGCCAUUUGGUUUAAAGAAUGCUGAAGCAACAUACAUGAGAGCCAUGACCACUAUGUUUCAUGAUAUGAUGCAUAAGGAGAUUAAGGUCUAUGUAGAUGAUGUGAUUAUUAAAUCAAAGAGUCAGGCUGAUCAUGUUAAAGAUUUAAGAAAGUUCUUUGAAAGGCUUCGCAGGUAUAAUCUCAAACUUAACCCGGCAAACUGUGUAUUUGGAGUUCCAUCUGGAAAUUUAUUGGGGUUUGUAGUCAGCUGUCGAGGAAUUGAAUUAGAUCCUUCGAAAAUCAAAGCCAUUCAGGAUAUGCUCCCUCCUAAGAAUAGGACUGAGGUGAUAAGUUUGCUUGGUAGACUGAACGACAUCAGCAGGUUUAUUGAUCAACUCACAACCACUUGUGAGCCCAUAUUCAAGUUGAUGAAAAAGAGUGUUGUGGUAGAAUGGACUGAAGAAUGUCAGGAAGCGUUCGACAGAAUCAAAAGAUAUUUGUCAAAUUCGCCCGUGCUGGUACCACCAGAGCUUGGUAGGUCUUUGAUCUUAUAUUUAUCAAUCAUGGGCAAUUCCUUCAGUUGUGUCCUGGGUCAACAUGAUGUCACGGGUAAAAAAGAGCAGGCUAUUUAUUAUCUUAGCAAGAAGUUCACAACUUAUGAGGUCAGGCACACUCUUCUUGAAAGGACGUGUUGUGCCUUAACUUAGGUAGCACAAAAAUUGAAGCAUUAUCUCUCAUCCUACACUACGUAUCUCAUCUCCUACAUGGAUCCUUUGAAGUAUAUCUUUUAAAAGCCUAUGUGGAAAGGUCGAUUGGCAAAGUGGCAAAUAUUGCUUACCAAGUUUGACAUUGUGUAUGUGACUUGAACCGCCAUGAAAGCUCAAGCCUUAGCAUACCAUCUUGCUAAGAAUCCCAUUGAUGAAGAGUAUGAACCAUUAAAGAUAUGUUUUCCUGAUGAAGAGGUGUCGUGUGAUGAUGAAUUCAUUAUAGAUGCUGAUCCAUAUUGGAAGUUGUUCUUCGAUGGAGCUGUCAACAUGAAAGGAGUCAGAAUAGGUGCGGUUCUUAUCUCUGAAUUGGGAAAACAUUUCCCAGUAACAACGCAACUUCAAUUUUAUUGUACCAAUAACAUGGCAGAAUAUGAAGCGUGCAUUCUUGGUUUGAGGUUAGCUGUUGAUAUGGGAGUCCAGGAACUAUUAGUGUUGGGGGAUUUAGAUUUGCUCGUCCAUCAAAUUCAAGGUGAUUGGGAGACGCAAGAUUUGAAGCUCAUACCGUAUCGACAAUGCUUGUAGGAGCUACGUAAAUGAUUUGUGUAAGUAAAAUUUAAGCAUAUUCCAAGGAUUCAUAAUGAGAUUGCUGAUGCUUUAGCCACUCUAUCUUUAAUCGAUCCAGUGCAUAUACAGAGUCAUGAUCAACAUGCUUACUAUAAUGCAGUUGAAGAAGAGCUCGAUAGAGAACCUUGGUUCUUUGAUAUCAAGUGAUACAUUCAGUCAGGAGAAUACCCAAUACAUACCACCAGCAAUCAAAAGAGGGCUUUAGGUAUUUGGCUAGUCGAUUUUUCUUAAGUGGGGGUAUCUUAUAUAAGAGAACCCCAGAUCUUAAGACUUUUGAGGUGUGUAGAUAUAAAAUAAGCCUCGGCGAUCAUGGUUGAAAUACACUCUGGAGUAUGCGGGCUGCAUAUAAAUGGUUAUGUCUUGGCCAAGAAGAUUCUUCGAGCAGGUUAUUACUGGCUUACUAUAGAGAGAAAUUCUAUUUGAUUUGUUCGAAAGUGUCAUCAAUGUCAAGUACACGGUGAUCUGAUACAUUCAUCUCCUACUGAGUUGUAUGUAAUGUCUGAUCCAUGGCCGUUUGUAGCUUGGGGAAUAGACGUGAUUGGACCGAUUGAGCCAAAAGCGUCAAAUGGGCAUAGAUUUAUUUUGGUGGCCAUAGAUUACUUCACAAAGUGGGUAGAAGCAGUAACUUUCAAGUCAGUAACAAAGAAGGCAGUGGUAUAUUUUGUUCACGCCAACAUCAUUUGUAGGUUUGGAAUCCCAAAGAUGAUUAUUACAGAUAAUGCCGCCAAUCUAAAUAGUCAUUUGAUGCAAGAAGUGUGCCAAUAGUUUAAGACCGUAUAUCAAAAUCCCACUCCAUAUCGUCCAAAGGCAAAUAGUGUUGUGGAAGCCGCCAAUAAGAAUAUCAAGAAGAUACUGCGGAAAAUGGUACAAGGGUCCAGAAAAUGGCACAAGAAAUUAAUGUUUGCAUUGCUAGGUUAUUGUACUACUGUUCGCACUUCAACAGGGGUAACUCCAUAUUUGUUGGUGUAUGGGACAGAAGCAUUCAUUCCCGCAGAAGUUGAAAUUCCCUCUCUUUGAGUUAUUGUGGAAGCAGAGAUUGAUGAUGAUGAGUGGGUCAAAACCCGAUUGAAAUAGUUGAGCUUGAUUGAUGGAAAACGACUAACGUCGGCAUGUCAUGGCCAAUUAUAUCAGAAGAGAACAAAAAGGUAGGACCCAAAAAUUUUGAAGUUGGUCAGUUGGUGUUGAAGCGUAUCCUUCCUUAUCAGGUUGAAGCAAAAGGCAAGUUCUCCCCGAAUUGGCAAGGUUCUUUUAUUGUGAAGAAAGUGUUGCCCAAUGGAGCCUUAUAUUUGAUAGAUAUUGAAGGCAAAAUGGCAGAAAUAGCUAUCAAUGCUGAUGCAGUCAAAAGAUAUUAUGUAUGAUAUUUUAUCCUUUGUUGAUUUUAUUGCAUGUUUUGUACUUGCAUUUUUGAAGAUUGAUAUGAUGAAGGAAUUUUAUUCUUCUAUCCAAACACUAUGUCAUCCUUUGUUUACCCGUUUGAGCUUAGUUUUAUUUUUCUUGCAUAUCCCUCUUUUGGAAUCAAAAUAGAGUCAAAGAUAAAUGUCAGGAAAAUAAGAAUAAGAAAGAGAUCAAAAAUAAAAGAAAAAAAUCAAAUCAAAAUAAAGAACAAGCUGAUGGAACUACGUGCGACCUGAUUCUCCUCUCUUGGGAGUGAGAUACAUAGGCUUCCCUAUUCAAGGCUCGGUCCAACCAAAUAAAGAUUUUAGCGUCACCCAGUCAACAAAAAAUUGGGGCAGGAGCUAAAAUAUUGUUGAGUUGAUUCCAAAAGUUGUAAGUCCCACCCCCACUUCAAGUGUCAUUUGAGCCUCUUGCCAUCCUUUCCUAACCUUAUCAAAAAGCCAAUCUACAACCAAAGAAAAUCCUUCAAAUUAAUCAUUGAUAAUGUUAAGGCUAAACAUGCAAUGGAUAUGAUAAUACAUUAUAGGGUACUACUUGUCUUCCUCAGCAUAAGAAAUCAGGAAAGAAAUAAAAAUGAGAGAGUCUUACUGGUGAAAAUCCUCACGGGCACCAUAAGGCGAUGGUGAGCUGAGAGAAAUAAAAAUGAGAGUCUUACUAGUGAAAACCCUCACAAUCACCAUAAGGCGAUGGGGAGUCGAGAGAAAAUAAAACUGAGAGUCUUAUUGGUUAAAACCUUUAUGGGCACCGUAAGGCGAUGGUGGGUUCGAGAAAAAAGUGAAAAGGAAAGAGGUUAUUGGCAAAAAAUCUUUCAAGAUUUUGCCAAUUGAAUGAGACGUAUGAGUCCAAUGGGUUUGAAGAAGCAGCUCAGCGGAAAGGGUAUGAACUCAACAACAAAAGGUUAAAGUUUGGGUAGAAAGAUCAGAUAGCUUAAUUCAAAAUACAUGUCAUACUUAUUGGAGUUGGUUGUCGUAUUCAGAUAAGAUUUCUUUUUGAAUAAGGGACAUUGCCCUUUUCUUUCAUUUGCAUAUUCAUAUUUUUGUCUUUUUAUGUCAUUUAUCAAAAUAAAAGUAACUAUUAUUUCUUUACAUUUUGAGUCAAUUCUGUGUCAAAACAAGCGAGAAAGGAUUUCAAAACUUGCUAUCAGUCUUUCCAAUUGUAUGAGGAAAAGCUGAGGACCAGCAUAUGAAAGAAAUAUAAUCAUAAUUCAACACAAAGCAAAGGAAGUCUAUUAACCGAUAGGCUGCUGGGUUCGUGGGAGUAUUCAGAUUUGGAAAAGGGUGCAUCUCAGAGGCAUGGUAAAAUGGAAAUUCAUUAUUUGAGUCAGAGGUCAUUUCCCCUGAUCUAGUCUGGGUCAAUGAUGCGGCAAAAAAGGGGCAAGUAUCAGCGAUUCGGAACAAAGAUGAAAGGAACGAGUGCUGGAGCAGAUGCUGAGAAGCCAAGUGUUGUAAGCCACCACUAAGUUUUAUCUGACAAAUUGUCUUUGAUGAAACAGGGGCAAAGUUUUGUUCAAUAAGUUCAGCUACCUUUGAGAAAACAUAUUUGAAGAUUUUACUUUCUAUUCAGGACCCUCCUGAAAAAUGGAAUUUUACUUUUUGUUUAGGAAUCUCCUGAAAAAUGGGAUUUUACUUUCUGUUCAGAACCCUCCUGAAAAAUGAGAUUUUACUUUUUAUUCAGGACCAUCCUGAAAAAUGAAAAUUUACUUUAUGUUCAGGACCCUCCUGAAAAAUGAGAUUUUACUUUCUGUUCAGGACCCUCCUAAAAAAUGGGAUUUACUUUCUGUGCAGGACCAUCUUGAAAAAUGACAUUUUAUUUUCUGUUCAGGACCCUCCUAAAAAAUGGGAUUUUACUUUAUGUUCAGGACCCUUCUGAAAAAUGGAAUUUUACUUUCUGUUCAGGACCCUCCUAAAAAAUGGGAAUUUACCUUCUGUUCAGGGCCCUCCUAAAAAUAAGAUUUUACCUUCUGUUCAGGACCCUCUUGAAAAAUAGGAUUUUACUUUCUGUUCAGGACCCUCCUGAAAAAUGGGAUUUUAUUUUCUGUUUAGGACCUUCCUAAAAAAUGGGAUUUUACUUUAUGUUCAGGACCCUCCUGAAAAAAUGAGAUUUUACUUUCUGUUCAGGACCCUCCUGAAAAAUUGAAAUUUACCUUCUGUUCAGGACCCUCCUGAAAAAUGAGAUUUUAACCUUCUGUUCAGGACCCUCCUGAGAAAUGAGAUUUUACUUUCUGUUCAGGACCCUCCUGAAAAAUGGGAAUUUACUUUCUGUUCAGGACCAUCCUGAAAAAUGAGAAUUUACUUUUAUGUUCAGGACCCUGCUGAAAAAUGGGAAUUUAAUUUAUGUUCAAGACCCUCCUGAAAAAUGAGAUUUUACUUUCUGUUCGGGAUCCUCCUAAAAAAUAGAAUUUACUUUCUUUUCAGAACCCUCCUAAAAAUGGGAUUUACUUUCUAUUCAGGACCCUCCUAAAAAAUGAUAUUUUAUUUUCUGUUCAGGACCCUCUUGAAAAAUGGGAUUUUACUUUAUGUUCAGGACCCUCCUGAAAAAUCGGAUUUUACUUUCUGUUUAGGACCCUCCUGAAAAAUGGGAAUUUACUUUCUGUUCAAGACUCUCCUCAAAAAUGGGAUUUUACUUUAUGUUCAGGACCCUCCUGAAAAAUAGAAAUUUACUUUAUGUUUAGGACCCUCCUGAAAAAUGGAAUUUUACUUUCUGUACAGGACCUCCUGAAAAAUGGGAAUUUACUUUCUGUUCAAGACUCUCCUCAAAAAUGGGAUUUUACUUUAUGUUCAGGACCCUCCUAAAAAAUGAGAAUUUACUUUAUGUUCAGGACCAUCCUGGAAAAGGGGACUUUACUUUCAGAAAAAAUGAAUUCUCUCUUUACCUUAAUCAUUGGUGGGAUAAUAUUGUUUCUAGUUUUUAUUUUGAUUUCAGGAGCCCGCCUGAAGAACAGGGUGAUGAAUCUGUAAGUCAAUAGCCCACCUGAAGAACAAGGUGAUGAAAUGAGAAAUUAAAGAAACUGCAAGUUAGGAAUCCACUUGAAGAACAGUGUGAUAAAAUUGAAGGACAAAAAUGGCAAGUCAGAAGCCCGCCUGAAGAGCAGGGCGAAUAAAUGAAAGUCGAGCAACAAAGCGAAGCAAUGGAAAACCAAGCAACAAGUUGAAAGAAAUUUCAAGUUAGGUGCCCGCCUGAAGAACAGGGUGAUAAAACUUAAGUCAAGAGUCAAAGAAAACUGCAUAGAUAGGAUUUUGUAAUUUUAUUUAUGUUUUAACUUGUAAUUUUUAUUUUUGAUGUAAUGACAGAGCCGCAGACCGAAACCUCGAUGGAACAUCACUCGACUCUCCAACUCGGUAUAGUCCACCUUCUUUCGAUCCUGUAAGAUACCAAGCACUUGAUUCUCUCAUAACUCGUGUAGUAGGGUGUUUGUCAAGACUCAGUUGCCCUUCUCCUUUUUGUUUCUUUCCUCGAAUAAUGAUCGGGACAAAAUUCUGUCUUCUUGUCUACUUCUUUGUAUGAAAAAACUUGGUGUUUACAUUCAAAGGGGGCAUGAUGUAGACACGUAAUUUUAUCCCGUCGUAAAUAGUUCUUACUCCGUUAUCAUGCACUUUAACAUCAUCUUAUAAUUUUUUUUUAAAGAAAAACAAAUGAAUAACCACCUCAUCUUUUACUUAUUUAUUAUUUUCUUUUUGUUUUUAUCCAAAUAACAAACCUUAACUAAUCUUUUCUUAUCUAAUAUUCCAACAAACCACCCAAUAAAAAAUAAGACACCUAAUCCUUACCCCUCCAAUUAAAAAACAACAGAUUCCCCCUCCUUUUCUUGUCCAAAAAGAUAUAUAACUAGAAGGAACCUUCUAGGAAAUUUCCCUAUGGACACCUCACUCAUGGACCCUAUUUUUUUUUUUCAUUUGUUUUCAUGCUAACAUAGACUCCACUCACGUGAGGGACCUCACCAUAUAUACUAGAAUAUACCUUCACUAUAGGAGAGUUAUACAUCACCAUCAUCUUUCAAAAAAAAAAAAAAAAAGAAACUCUCCAUUUUUUGUUUCAAUUUUUCUGCUCAUGAUACACACAUAUACAUAGGCGGAAAAAAAAAUAUCACAUAUACACUAUGAUUUUUCUUUCUUCUGGAGGGAACACAGACACAAAAAAAUGAAUCAUUUUUCUUCUCAAGGAUAAAUUGUGCACCCAUAGAAUCAAUACGGAGAAAAUGGGUUUUAAAAUCGAGGGAGAAAGUUGAAAACUAGAAGGAAGAUAGUGUGAAAUUAGUUCAUUUUCUUUAGGUUUCGGUUAAAAUUUCACACUAACAGCUGAUCACUGUUUUGGGUGGUUUGUUGUCUGUGUUUAUUCACUGUUCCGGCAAUAUAGUCGCCGGAAAACGUCAAGGCGCACUGAAAUUUGUUAGAACAGGUGUUCGGAGUUUGGGGGUUUCAAUUUCUCGCCAUCGAUUUCUGUUCGUUUCGUUGUUGGGGUUCUGGUUCGAGAUUCUCGGUCUCGGGUUUUCUUAUUAUCAACAAAUUCGAUCCUUUGAAGGUCCAUUCCUAAACUCUCUCUCUUUAUUAUUUUUAAUGUGGCUAUGAUGUGAGUUUGGUGGUGUGGGUUUGAAUCUUUUCGUACUAUUAAUUGUGCUGUGAGCUAUGAAUGAUUCAUAUUCUUAAUUUGUUUGAACCUUCGUAGUGCGAAUAUGUUUUCUGUUGGUUUUGGGCUUUGAAUAGUGAUUUGAACUAAUGAAUCCAUUGACUUUCAGCUUAAAAAGGAUUCGGGUUUGGGAUCGUGAUUUGAUAAAAGAUGAAUAUAAAUUAGUUUUGCUUUGAUUCAUUAUUAUGGUUGUCAUGAUAGGUCAAGCGGGGUAGGCCAAUGUAGGUUUGGAUAAGCAAGAUUUAGGAAUGGUGUUUUUGUUGAAUGAUUGAAUGUGGAAUAUGUGUUGAAUGUUUUCUAGUUUAUCGUACUUGAGAAAAAAAAUGUAUUCAUUUUACCGGGGAAUGCCCCGAGGUCUUACGUACUUAUUUGCUAGGGAAUGCCCCGAGGUACCUUGUACUCGGAGGAUGUUCUCGAUGAAGGCUUGGAACAGUAGAUCAAGCAUUGGACCGUAGUUUAGGAUUAGUGUAGGUUUACUUUUAGUACCUUUUUUUUUAUUUUUGGAUUGUAAUAAUUGGACUGGACAUUGUUUUGGAUUUGUUUGUUUGAUUGAUAGUUUUAUUUGUGUUUGGUUUGGUUUAUACAUUCAUAGUGUUCAAAUUAGCUGAUAUACUCCACCAAGCGACCGUGGUCGAACCACGGGAUCAAGGGGUGCCUAACACCUUCCCCUUGGUCAAUAGAAUUCCUUAACCAGAAUCUUUAUUCGCACAUUAGUUUAAAAGAGUCAAAAAUAGUUUUUGAAAAAGGAUUCCUAAAGGUGACUUGGCACACCCAAUUAUGCCAAGUGGCGAAUCUUUGUUUAAAUAAAAAUAAUCCUUUUCAAAACAAAAUUUUUAUUUUUUUUCACUUUAAUAAAAACCCUUUCGAACUUUAAACGAUAUCUUUUUUUGGAGUGAAAAAACGGAUGUGACAUUCCUAAUUUUGUCUCUAAUAAAAUGACAAUCAAUUUCUAUAUGUCUUGUUCUCUCAUUAAAGAUAGGAUUAGCUCUGUGUAGAUGACUUACUAUCACUAAGCAAUGUAACAGGUUUAGGCACAAACCUAUUUAACUCUGCAAAUGAUCCUUCUAUCCAACAUAUCCAGUCACCAACCUUCUCGUAUUGUAACAAGCAGCUCGGUUUGAGUCACACCAAAAAAUAAGUCCGUAUUUGUUUGGUUCUUCAACCAGAUACCCUGACCUACUGAGCCUUUCAAGUAUCUGAUCACCCUAUAAGCUUCUUCUAGAUGAGAUAUCCUAGUAUCUGAUCACCCUAUAAGCUGCUUCUAGAUGAGAUAUCCUAGGCUUUUGCAUAAACUAGCUCAAUUUCUGAACAAUAUAACUAAUAUCUGCUCUAGUUAUAGUAGCAUACAUAAGAUUUCUAACUACCCUUUGAUAAUGAGUUGCAUUCUUCAGAUAUCAUUACUAGUACAACCUAUGGAUUUAUCAUAUUCUACUGAUAUCAACUUAGCACUAGAUUCUAUAGGUGUAGAUACUGUCUUUGCACAAGCUAGACCAACUUCUGAGAUCAACUCUAGAAUAUACUUUGAUUUAAAAUAACUCCUUGUGAUAACCUCAAAACUUCAAUUCCCAGAAAGUACUUAUGCUUUCCUAAUUCUUUGAGCUUAAAUUGCUUGUGUAAUACUUUUUGUCUUUAGAAAUCAUACUCUCAUUAUCUCCAAUGAUCAACAGAUCACUGGAACAAAGAGCAUUCAUAGGCACUCUAAGUGAAUCCUGUAGUUAUGAGUUCUGAAUCAGUUUAAUGUUCCAUUGCCUAGAAGCUUAUUUAAGUCCAUAUAAGGACUUAAGCAACCUACAAAUUUUAUUGUGUCCCUUUGUUGAAAGCCUUCAGGUAGUUGCAUAUGCACUUCUUCAUCUAAAUCUCCCUGCAAAAAAGCAUUAUAGAUAUCUAUUUGAUACAAGCUCCAUCCUCUUGAUACAACAAAGGCAAUAACAUUACCUGGUAAUCACCAUCUUUUCUAUAGGUGAUAAUGGUCAUGGUAGUCUAGUCCUUCCUGAUGACUAUAACCUUUUGCCACCUAUCUUUCUUUGAAUCUCUCAACCUCUCUAUUUGCUUUAUACUUGAUCUUAUACACAUAUUUUUAGCUAAUGACAUUCUUACUAGGAGGUAAAUCAACCACCCCCCUUGUGAUUUUGUCCCCAAGUGAUUAAAUCUCCAACUUCAUAGCCUGAAUCCAUAUAUCAUCUUUAGAAGCUUAACCAAAAAACUAAGGUUCUACUAAUUCUGAAAAACUAUUCAUAUAUCAUUGAUAGCUAGAUGUGGUAUUCAUUUAGGAUAAGUAAUUUGCUAUUAGAUAUCUUUUACCAUUUCUCUUCCCAGGUAUAGUGUAGUCCUUUAUCUAGAUUGGUUCCUUAUCCACUCUAGAUGUUCUUUUAUGAGGAAUAGGCUCUCAUUGUCUAUGCAUGAAGGAAAUGAUUUAGUAGGUUGAACAACUGGCUGAUUUGUUGCAUCCACUGGUAGAACAGGUGUUGAAGUGCCUUGAGAUAAUUCUCCUAUAUUUAAAGUUUGAUCAUCACCAAUAUUUGCUAAAUCAGCUGACUCUUUAUCAUCGUCACUAUCUUCUACAUAUGACUUGAAUGAGUCUAUAGAUUGAUUCAGACCUUUUUUCUCAGCAAAUGGAAAAAAACUUUUCUGAAAUAUAUUAUCUUCGCUCACAAAAAACUUGUUAGAAUUCAGAUCCAGUAACAGGUAUCUCUUCUGUGUAGUGGAAUACCCCAUUAAUACUACAGGUUUAAGCUCUGUCAAAAAACUUAUCACCUUUAGGCAAUGCUGAGGCAUAGCAUAAGCAACCUGGUACCCUCAGAUGUGAUAAGGAAGGUACCUUAUAGAAUAACACUUUCUAUGGACUUUUACCAUUGAUAUCAAAUAAAGGUAAUCUAUUCAUCAGGUAGACAAUAGCUUGAACAACUAGAUCCCAGUAUCUGAUAGACAAUUGUAAUUGAAACCUGGUAGCCCUAACUAUAUUCAAGAUUUUCCAAUGUUGUCUUUCCACUAGACUAUUCUGCUGUGGUGUAUAAGAAAAAGUGCUUUGAUGCAACACACCUAAGUUCUUAAACAAGUCAUUACAUUGAGUAUUGAAAAACUCAAUACCAUUUUAGUUCUUAUAAACCUCACAUUAGUUCCAAAUUGAAAUUUAACCAUCAACAUAAUGUUUUUAAAGCAACAAUGGUCUCAAAUUUAAGCUGCAAUAAGUGUAUCCAAGAAUAUAUACUACAAUCAUCCACAAUGGUCAAGAAGUAAAACUUUUUAUCAAAAAUAAGUGUUUUAUAGGUCCCCACAGAUCCAUACGUACAGCAUCAAAACACAUGCUUGACUUAGUUUCACUGAUAGGAAAUGGCAAUCUAGUCUAUUUAUACAUGGCCUUUAUUAAUAGCUCAAAAUCCUUAUAAUGACUCAACAAGUAAGUGACUUCCAUACUUGUGUGGAUGGACGUCCAAGUCUUUUAUACCAUAGGUUGUUGUCUUGUACCACCAUGCUUUCUACCAGCUUUUCAUUACCUUCAGGUGUAUUCUCUAUUCUAUACUCACCUUUGAGGAUUUAUAAUACUUUUUUUUGUUUGCCAAUCCUCCUCACCCUACCACUGUAAAGAUCCUAAAAUACACAGAAGUCAAAGCAAAAGGAUAGAAAACAAUACAACUGUCUUGUAACCUUGGAAACUGAUAAUAGAUUCAGCUUGAAAUCUAGGACAAAUAACAAAUCCUUCAUAGUUUAUUUUGCAAAACUAGUGCCUCUCCAAUGUGUGAUAUAUCUACCUUGGCUCCAUUUGGAAGAUUCACUUUAUCCUCUCCUUCUCUAACUACUUUAUUUCUUAUGAAAAACAUAUUAUUAUUUGAUACAAUGUAAUGAGUAGCACCAGAAUCUACUACCCACUCUUGUAGCUAUACCUAACAUGUUAGCACAUUUCACCACCUAUUGAUCCUUAUUAAGAAGAUCCAUAAUCUACCAGUACUCUCCAUCAAUGAAGGUUUGACCUUUGGCUAGUAUUGCAUAAUUGAUUUCUUUGUGACCACCAUAACUAGUUGAAGUAAUAUGACCUGUAUCUCCACCAGCUAUUUGUCCAUUAAAAUUAUUAGAUAAAAAUUAAGUAUUGACUUGACCUUCAUAUUGACUUCCAAGAUGCCUAGGACCAAUGAACCUUCUAGUAUUUUGAUUAACAUAUCCAUGCAUGAAACCUUUUGAGUAUCUAUUAUUAUAAUUCACUUUCCACUUUAGUUUCUAGUUAGUAGGAUAUCCAAUUAGCUUGUAGCAAUUCCCUAUUGUAUGUCCAGUUAAAUGACAGUAGUCACACUUUUUCCCUUUGUAAUUUUAAUUUUUGGAACUCUUUUCUGAGCCUUUAUUUACCUUCAUUACAGUAGGAUCUGAUUUAUCACUUGUGAUAAAUGCACAAGCAAGUUACUGCAACUCAUCUUCUACUUUUAUAGCAUAUACCUGAUUGAGAGAAGGUGUAAUUCCUUUCAACAUAAUCUACCUGAUUUUAUAGCAUAUACCUGAUUGAGAGAAGGUGUAAUUCCUUUCAACAUAAUCUAUCUUCUGAGCCUUUAUUUACCUGCAUUGUAGUAGGAUCUGAUUUAUCACUUGUGAUAAAUGCACAAGCAAGUUACUGUAACUCAUCUUCUACUUUUAUAGCAUAUACCUAAUUGAGAGAAGGUGUAAAUCCUUUCAACAUAAUCUAUCGUCUAGCUUGGUCAUAUAAAUCAUUCAAGCCACCUAGAAACUAUAUCAACCUCAUUUGAGUAAGAUGAUCUGUAUAAUCCUUAGACCUUGGACAAUCACAUAAAGGAGCACAAAUCACCGCAUCAUAUGCAUUCCAUAAACUCUUUAGCUUAGUAAAAUAAGUAGCUACUGAAUCACAUAAUGUUUCAAUUUAUCCUUGUAAUUGAUAUAACCUCAUUCAAUGCACUUUAUUGAAUCAUUCCUUUAGAUAUCCUCAGACUUCUCGAGCAUUUAUUACAUAUACAAUCCCAUACAAUAACUCAAAACGCACUGAGCUCAUUAACCACGACAACACUAUGGGAUUGCAGGUCUCCCAUUGCUCAUGUAACUACUCUUCUCUAUUCAUUUCCUUACUACACGCACCAGUUACUAUAACACCCCAAAUCAUUAUUGACUUGAUACUACUCAUAGUUGCAAGUAUAAGUGAUUUAAAGCCUGAAAUAUUUCAAAGGGUUGAAAGACUUAGUCCUAUUUUAAGUCCUUCACUUCAAUGAAUUAUAAAUUGGUCUUCCCAACCCCGAGACAUAUAUUUUUUAGUCAAUUCAUGUUCAAGGGUGUAAAGGGCAUGUCUCAGGAAAGUUUCAGAUUAUUCAUACAUGGAUUGGGCUGUGUUUGGAUUUCAAAAAUAGUGGGUCACUGCGAUUGCACCGCAUCGAGGUGCCUAUGAUGAUAAGCCACUUGGCGCAUCGUGGUGGGUCCUAAAAAUGAUAUUUUGUUAUGAGUUUAAAUGCCUGAGGGGAAAUUAUGUCCUUUUCUAUAAAUUUCACUCGUCUAACCUCAACUAAUAACAUGAUUAGGGAAUGAAAAUCUUCAUUCCCUUCCAUAUUACUCUAAAAAAACCCUUCCAUCUUCCCUAAAGAUCAAGAAUUCAAUCCUCUAAAGUUAAAGAUUCUCAAGAAAGGUGUAAUAACCCGUACUCAUUCUAGCUUAAUUUCGUCCCUAGAAUGUCAAGGAUUAUCUUCUAAAAUGAAUACCUUUAUAUUUCAUAUAGAAUUUUCAAGAUUUAGACCUUCCAUGGUGUGGAAAAUUGAAUAAGCUUUCUAUCUAUACCAAAUUCACCCAAAUCCAACACUCAGUGAAGAAUUUAGGGAGUUUUUAGUAAGCCGUGUGUCAACUGGGCAGUCACCGCAUUGCGGUGAAGGACAAUUUCAUAAUUGUCAUUUUUUAGUGGACCUCCGCGAUAUUGGUGCAUCACGGAGACGUUGAAUUUUCCAUUUUUCAAUUUCUAGUAAGCCUACAUGAUUUCACCGCAUCGUGACAAUGAUCAAAAUGGCAUUCCAAAGGGGCACCGCGAUAGCUCCGCGUCGCGGAGAGUUUCCAAUUCCCAAUUGUCCCUUAUCCAGUGAGCCACCACGAUAGUGGUGCAUUGCGGUGGCCUAUUAAAUUGGGAUUUUAGUUUUUUUUUCCAGUUCCAUUUAGAAGUUUAAAGGGGGUGUUUUGGUCAAUUCCCAAGCCUCAAUCUGUCCAAAACAUUAGAUUAAACCCAUUCUAAGCCCAUUAUUCUCAUUAAUCAUCAAUUUUCUCUCAAACAAAACCCUAGAACUCAAAAGCUUCUUCACCAAGAAAUCACUUCCACCAUUGUUUCUCCAAGAAAGCUCAAAAUUGAGGAUUUUCAAGACAAGAUAAUCAAGAACUCAUCUUCAAGGACUCAAAUAGGAAUCAAUAAUUCAAGUUUCUUCAUCUAUCAUCAAUCAAAGUAUGUGGGGUUUAUAAACAAGGAUUUUUAUUCAUCCUUGUGCCAAAAACCAAGUUUUAAUUAUAAAUUCAUAUGGUUUUGAAUGAAUACCCAUGAGAUUUAAAUUAGGGUUCAUACCCUUUAUUGCUAUUUGCAAGAUUAUGAGAUUUCAAGUGUUUUAGAAGAUGAAUUGCAUGUCUAUUUUCAUAUUUUCAUGCCUAUUGUAGUAAUUUCCAAAUUUUGAGAUGAACUAUCAUUGUUUUCAUUAUCAAGUAUUAUUAUUAUGAUGUUUUAACAUGUAUUUGAUGCAUGGGUUAUCAAGCCCAAGUUUAUAUGUUGAUAUUUCAAGAAAGAUUAUGCUUUAAGCAUCUUAUGAUCAAAUUUAUUUUAGAUUUACAGCAAAGCUUUGAUCUUUUGAUCCUCAGCUUAGUUAUGGAAUCCACUUUAUAGAUUUAUUACAAAUUACAAAGUUCAAAUCAACUUUAUUUAUAGAUUUAAUCAGAUAAAUACAUAAUUGGUUUUAGAUAAACCCUUAUGCUAGUUUUUAAAAUAGAUUUCCAAUAGAAUGAGCAUACAGAUUUGAAGGGAGUAGUAUUUAGCACCCAACGAGAAGUGUGGGAUCAGAGUUCCCUAUCUUUCACAGAACUACGUAGCCAACGUAGGUACAAAUUAUUUCUAUUCCAAUAUGAAUGACAGAUUUAGCUUGUGAUCGAUCACAUGGACAGUAGGUUAUACUCCCUGGCAAGAGUAUGACACCUCUCCCUAUCUUGAAGUUUUCCCCUUAGAGGAACAAGAUGUUGGACUCCAUGUUAGCUCACAUGGUUUAUGUCAGUUAAGAGAACCUCCCCACUAGUUAAAGUAAAAGAUUAAUAGAAAAGCUUUUAAGAAAACUAAGUGUAAACGCUCAUAACUUUACUCAGAUUAUGCUUUAUAGAAAGAUAUUAGCUAUAGAUUUCACCUUUCAGAUUUCAGUUACAGAAGUGAGUUCUUUCUACACUUAGACAGCAUCACUUACAGACAGAACAUUAGCACAACUUUUCGAACUAAAUGUUUUGACUCAUUAGAUUUAUAAAGUAUGCUUUGCUAUUCAUGAUUUUUUAUCUUAGUAUUUCAGAUAUUCCAGCUUAUGUGGUUCAUUUACAUUUAGCAUGAAUUAUUUUAUAAAUUAUGAUGAUGAGAUGAUAUUUUACUUAUGUAUUUUACCCCCAUAUACUCAUUACAUCCUCAAAGUACUAAUCCAUAUAUAUGUCUAUGUGCUACAUUGUCUCAGAAUGUAGGUUCAGGUGCUCAGUAUCAACAACGUGAAUAGUUGAUGCAUCUUAAUUUUCAUCUGACAGUUAGUGAGUCCUCGGGAACUUAUUCAUUUAGAUUUUGCAGCUUAAUAGUUUAUAUGAUUCAGUAUUUCUUUUCUGACAAGUCAAGUUAGCUGGGUGUUUGUCCGAGUUACUCUCUAGUUAUUAGUAUUAGAGGCUUGUUAGACUGCUAGAUAUUAUUCAACUUACAGUAUUGAUUUUCAGACAUUACAUUCAGAUUGUUCUCUACUAUUUUUGACAGUUUUCGCAUUUAGUAUGACUUUUAUAAUGGUAUUUCCUUUAUUAUGAGAUUUAGAUCUAGUACAAGGCAGACAGGGUUAGCUUAAGGCUACGCAUAGUCUUGAGCACCGUGUGAUGCCUCUAAACCAGGUUUCAAGGCGUUACAAACUUGGUAUCAAAGUCUAAGUUUUAUAAGAGUCCUAGGGAGUCAGACAAACCGCAUUACGUAGAGUCUUGAUCAUGGGUGUGAAGCACGACACAUUUAUGAGCAAGAGGCUACGAAACGUUCUUAGGAAAUCAUCUCUUUCUUUCAUGAACUAUCGUGCUUAUAGUAUUUCUAUCUGCUUUUAACUCGUGCUCUUAUGUGACAGUUAAAAAUACCUCCUCGUAAAGCUAAUGCCUACAAAAAUGGUAACUAGCUACCCCAGCCCGCAGAUCCUUUGAAUGAAAAUAUAUCCCAUGGUGAGUUUAGGUCUGCCUUUCAGACGUUGGCCCUAGAUGUGACUGCUAAUGUUCAGGGAAAAAUUAGGUUGCAGUCCCACUCUAGCCGAAUAGGGAUUUAGCAGUGGCCAAAAUUAGUGAUUUCAUGAAAAUGAAUCCGCCAGAGUUCUUUAGGUCAAAAGUAGGUGAGGACCCACAACUUUAUUUAAAUAAGGUAAAGAAGAUUAACCAUAUUAUGCAUGUUUCCAACAAGAAGAGUAUAGAGUUAGCAUCCUAUAAAAUGAAGGAUGUAGCGUAUGAUUGAGUAGUGAUGUAGAAGAAUGGUAGAGGUAAGAAUGUUGCUCCUAUGAGUUGGUAAGUAUUUUAGGAUGCUUUUCUAGAGAGGUUCUUCCUACGUGAGAUAAAUAAAGCUAAGAUAGAGGAGUUUGUGAACCUGAGGCAGGGCUCGAUAACAGUGAAGGAGUACUGCCUUAAGUUUAAUCAUUUUUCUAAGUAUGCCCCUGAUAUGGUGGCUGAUCCUAGGGCAAGUAUGAGUAAGUUUGUCACUGGUGUGUCUAGUUUUGUAGUUAACGAGUGUAGGACUGCCAUACUUAUUGGAGAUAUGGAUCCUACUAGAUUGAUGAUUCAUGCUCAGCAGAUUAAAGUAGAGAAGUUGAAGGGAAGAGAGAGAAAAUAAAAAGGCUAGAAUAGGGCAGUUUGAGAUUUAUUCACAGUUUUAGAUUCAUUCUUCUAUUCCAGCAUCAUCUUCAGCUAGUGCUCCUGCUCCAGUGGUAGGCAGGAGUAGUGGGGUAAGUCUUCUAUGUACAAAUCCCAGAAUAGUGUGAGUGGUAGGCCAAGUUAUCCUCCAUGUGCUAGGUAUGGUAAAAGUCAUCAUAAUGAGUGUUUAGCUGGACAGAAAGGUUGUUAUAGUUGUGGUAAGUUGGGUCAGAGAAUUAGAGAUUGUCCGCAUGCUAAGCAGGGAAAUAGAGAUGGUCAUCCUCAGACUCAAGCUACUAGUGCACCAAUACCUUUAGGUCGCCAAGUCCCUCCUCAAGGCACAUCAUCCAGUAUCGGUGGCGAUCAGUGUCAGAUUGGUUUUAUGCUUUACCAUCCUAUCAGGAGUGGAAAGAUUCACCAGAUGUUGUUACUGGUAUGCUUCGUGUCUUUUAUCUUGGUGUUUAUGUGUUGUUAGACCCCAGGUUGAGUUUCUCUUAUGUGACCCCAUUAGUUACAGUGAAUUUUAAGAUAAGUCCUAAAAAGAUCCCUGAGCCUUUCUUGGUUUCUACCUCAAUGGGUGAGUCAUUUGUUUACAAACAAUCUAUAGAAAGUGUCCUAUCAUUUUCCUUCAUAAAAUUAUGUUAGAAGACUUAAUAGAGUUAGAUAUGGUUGACUUUGAUCUUAUUCUUCGUAUGGAUUGGCUCCAUUCUUGUUAUGCCUCCAUAGAUUGUCGCACCCAAGUGGUGAAGUUCCAGUUCCUAUAUGAUCCAGUCUAUGAGUGGAAAGGUAAUUCAGUAUCUCCCAAGAGUUGGUUUAGACCUUGGGAGAUAUUGUAAUACCCCAUACUCUUUUUAGCUUAAUUUCGUCCCUAGAAUGUCAAGGAUUAUCUUCUAAAAUGAAUACCUUUUUAUUUCAUCUGGAAUUUUCUAGAUUUAAACCUUCCAUGGUGUGUGAAAUUGAAUAAUCUUUCCAUCGAUACCAAAUUUGCCCAAAUUCGACACUCAGUGAAGAAGUUAGGGCGUUUUUUAGUAAGCAGUGUGCCAACUGGACAAUCACCACAUCGCGGUGAAGGACAAUUUCAUAAUUGUCAUUUUCCAAUGGACCUCUGUGAUAUUGACAUAUUGUGGAGAGUUCCAAUUUUCUAUUUGUCAAUUUCAAGUAAGCCUACAUGAUUUCACCGCAUCGCAACGAUGGUCAAAAUGACAUUCCAAAGGAGCACCGUGAUAGCUCCUCUUCGCGAAGAGUUUCCAGUUCCCAAUUGUCCCUUAUCCAGUGAGCCAUCGUGAUAGUGGCGCAUUGUGGUGUCCUAUUAAAUUAGGAUUUUGGUUCUCUUUUCUAGUUCUGUUUAGAAGUUUAAAGGGGUAUUUUGGUCAAUUCCCAAGCUCCAAUCCAUCCAAAACAUGAGAUUAAACUCAUUCUAAGCCUAUUAUGCUCAUUAUUCAUCAAUUUUCUCUCAAAUAAAAAUUCUAGAACUCAAAAGUUUCUUCCAAAUCAAUUCGACCGUUGUUUCUCAAAGAAAGCUCAAAAUUGAGGAUUUUCAAGACAAGAUAAUCAAGAACUCAUCUUCAAGGACUCAAAUAGUAAUCAAUAAUUCAAGUUUCUUCAUUUAAUCACCAAUCAAGGUAUGUGGGGUUUAUAAACAAGGAUCUUAUUUCAUCCUUGUGCCCAAAAUCAAGUUUUAAUUAGAAAUUCAUAUGAUUUUGAAUGAAUACCCAUGAAAUUUGAAUUAGGGUUCAUAGUCAUUAUUGCUAUUUGCAAGAUUAUGAGAUUUCAAGUGAUUUAGAAGAUGAAUUUCAUGUCUAUUUUAAUAUUUUCAUGCCUAUUGCAAUAAUUUCUAAUUUUGAGAUGAACUAUCAUUAUUUUCAUUAUCAAGCAUGAUUAUUAUGAUGUUUUAACAUGUAUUUGAUGAAUGGGUUAUAAAGCCCAAGUUUAUAUGUUGAUAUUCCAAGAAAGAUAAUGCUUUAAGCAUCUUAUGAUCAAAUUUAUUUUAGAUUUACAGCAAAGCUUUGAUCUUUUGAUCCUCAGCUUAGUUAUGGAAUCCACUUUACAGAUUUAUUAUAGGUUACAGCGUUCAGAUCAACUUUAUUUAUAGAUUUAAUUAGAUAAAUGCAUAAUUGAUUUAAGAUAAACCCUUAUGCUAGUUCUUAAAGUGGAUUUCCAACAGAAUGAGCAUACAGAUUUAAAGGGAGUAGAAUUUAGUACUGAGUGAGAAGUGUGGUAUUAGGGUGCCCUCUCUUCAACAGAACUACAUAGCCAACUUAGGUACAGAUUAUUUCUAUUCCAAUAUGAAUGACAGAUUUAGCUUGUGAUCGAUCACAUGGACAAUAGGUUAUACUCCCUGGCAAGAAUAUAACACCUCACCCCAUUGUGAGGUUUUUCCCUUAGGGGAACAAGAUUUUGGACUCCAUGUUAGCUCACAUGGUUUAUGUCGGUUAAGAGAACCUCCCUGCUAGUUAAAGUAAAAUAUUAACAAAAAAUCUUUUAAGAAAACUAAGUGUAAAGGCUCACAACUUUACUCAUAUUAUGCUUUACAGAAAGAUAUUAGCUACAGAUUUUAGCUUUUUGAUUUCUGUUACAGAAGUGAGUCCUUUCUACACUUAGAUAGUAUGAUGUACAGACAGAACAUUAGCACAACUUUUAAAACUAAAUGUUAUAAUUCACUAGUUCUAUAAAGUAUGUUUUGCUAUUAAUGAUUUUAGAUUUCAGUAUUUCAGAUAUUCUAGCUUAUGUGAGUCAUUUACAUUUAGCAUGCAUUGUUUUAUAAAUUAUGAUGAUGAGAUAAUGUUUUACAUAUGCGUUCAACCCUAUAUACUCACUACAUCCUCAAAGUACUGAUCCACAUAUAUGUCUAUGUGCUACAUUGUCUCAUAAUGUAGGUUUAGGUGCUCAGUAUCAGCAGCGUGAGUAGUUCGAGCAUCUUCAUCUACAUUCGAUAGUUGGUGAGUCCUCAUAGUUUGGGGACUUAUUUAUUUAGAUUUUACAACUUAUUAGUUUAUAUGAUUAAGUACUUCUUUUUAGAUAGUUCGAGUUAGUUGGGGGUUUGUCCCAGUGACUCUCUAGUUAUUAGUAGUAGAGGCUUGUCAGACUACUAGAUAUUAUUCAGACUUGCAGUAUUGAUUUUCAGUUAUUACAUUCAGAUUGUUCUCAGCUAUUUUAGAUAGUUUCUGCAUUUAGUAUGACUUUUAUGUCAAUAUUUCCUUUAUUAUGAGAUUCAAAUCUAGUGGAAAGCAGACAGAGUUAGUUUAAGGAUACUUGUAGUCUUGAGCACCGUGUGAUGCCUUGGGACCAGGUUUUAGGGUGUUACAAAAGGUGUCAAGAUUAGGGUUUCACCAUUCAAACUAAGAACAUAAGAUAUGUAGGACUACCCUAAACUCCAUGGGCAUAGAUUUUACUAUAUUAUCAAGAUUAAAAAUCUCUUAUUAUGUUCCCAAAGAAGAGUUUUGAUAUUGUUUCAAAAAGUAUGUGUCAUGUAAUUGUUUUAAUGAUAAUAUAUGUUGUCUUGAACCAUUUUUCAUGGAUUUGAACUAAAACUAUGUAUAUAUGUUUUCGUUUGUAUUGUUAACUUUGAAUGAGAGCAUGAAUGACAAAACUCCCUCUCCCAUUAUGAUAUCUUUGAAUGAGUGUGUUAUGGGUUGUUUAAAUGCUUAAAUUUUCUUAAAGGAAAUAAGAGGGUUAAUUCUCUUCUAACGAUUAUGGAUUUGAUAUUUUUGUGAUAUGUUGAGAGGGUGUUUUCAUAUAGUAAACAUUCAUUGUGUCAUAUUUACAAUUUCCAUGGGGUUUUGAUUAAUGCAAAUAUGAUAUGGCCACCUUAUGAUUGUACUAGUGAGCAGGGAGUUUUUUGAUAUAAAUUCUAAUGAAACUUUAAAGCAUGACUCUCUCUCUCAUAUGAAGUUUAUAAACUUUGGGUGGUCAUUUACAUGUUGAUAAAUAAAAAGGCCUAUAGAUAUGUUCUGAUGUAAUGUGAAUGACUUAUAAGUCGGGGUAUGACGGUACCCGAUGAUAUAACAUCCCAUUAAUAGAAUAAGUUUUAAAAAUUUUGAAAGCAUGAAACAUGGUUAUAAAGAGCUAAAAAUGGGCUUAAGAGAGCUAGCUGGUUACCCGAAGAAGGCAUUUGAGUGUAAGGGCUCAUUGCUGGAAACUAUGGUUUGCCGAUACACGUAUUAUCCUGAAAUGGGAUAACUAGGACAUCAUGUAUGGGUGAUGCCACGGUAUACCUGAAAGGGGGUGUACUAACUUAUGAAAACUCAAAUUCUUGCGGAAAACUUGAAUUGGGGGCUUGGCCGCCGAGUCAAUAGUGGAUCCCACAUUGCCCGUAAAAUUACAAAUUUUAGGGUGUACCGACUAGCUCAAAAGAAAAGUAAGAGUGAGUCAAGGUCAUCAGAAAUAUUUUGAAAUUCACUAAAGUAUGACCCUAUAUUUUAUAAUAUGCUCACUGUUGUUUUGAAUUGCUCUCACCUAUAUUAUAUAAAAACAUACUAUUUUGGGUUGUUUCACAUACCAGUAUAUUUGUAUUGACCCCUUUUAUUUCAGGAUCUGAGGCACAGUCUCGAGGUCCUGUUAAGCAAUAGAUCAUUGUCAGACGUUGAUAUUGGUGAGCCUCCCUUAUUUCGGAAGUCCUUGUCUUAUGUGACGUUUUUAAUUAUUUAUAGUUCAUGGUCCGAUCGGGGGCCUUGUCCCAGAUUCAGACAGAUGUUGUUUCCAAUAUUAAUAGAGAAUUCACAGAUUGGUGUUAGAUAUUUUUGAAUUUUUAUGAAUUCAUUUCAGUAUUGCUUAGUUUGAAAUACGAAGAUGACCAUUUUUCUAUUUAGUUUUUCCAUUUUUAUAUAUUAUAUGAAUUCUACUUGUUAUUGCCAGUUGAAAAAGGGUUUUCUAGACUUUAUGGUUUGGGAUGCCCAUUAUGGAUAGAGUCCCGGCUCGAGUCGUGACAAUAUUGGUUCUAGGGUGUCUUCAAAAUCGCAUGGGUAGAGUCUUUUUAUGGGUGUGUAGCGUGCUAUACUUGUAAGAGGGAAGAUACUAGGCACUUAGGAAUGUAUCUCUUUCUUCUCAUGAUUUAGUUCAUGCUAUAGAGUAUGAAUGUUCUCGAAUCAAUGCUUUCCUAUAUUUUAGAAAUUGAUAAUGCCUCCCCGAAGAUCGAAUGAGCACAAUGCUCAAGCUAAGGAUGUUUGCCCUACUCAUGAGAUGCGGACCUGUAAUAGAGGUCGUACUACAAAAUUUGUUGCUACACCAAGAGUUCCUCCAGUCCCGAUGUAAUACCUCAAGUUUUCAUGUCAUAAAUCUGUCAUCUUUUUCUCAUGAAAUCAGAUCCAUCCUAACGUAAUGGUUACUAAUAAGUUGACUCACUCGUUUCUAUCUCAUCCUUAUAACCAUUCUUAUGUCAGUGCAUGUAUUCAAGAAAUUAGCUUAGUCAUGAUAUUCAGUUCAUGUAUUAUGCUUCAGAUUCAGUUAAGCCAUUUCCUCGGUACUCUCAAUUUAACCAGUCUCAUUCGAGAACGAAUGUUCCAAGGGGGAGAUAUUGUAAUACCCUAUAAUUUUCUUAGCCUAAUUUCUCUCCUAGAAUGUCAAAGGUUGGCUUAAAAAAAUGAAUACCUUAUUAUCAUAUGAAAUUUUUCAGAUUUAGACCUUGCAUUAUGUGGGAAAUUGAAUAAGGUUUCCAUCAAUACCAAUUUCGCCCAAAUUGGAUACUCGGUUGAGAAGUUAGGGCAUUUUUAAUUUUGACAGUGACCUAGGCAGUCACUGUGUCACGGUGAAGGGUGAUUUUCUAUUUGUCAUUUUCUAGUAGACCUCCAUGAUAAGUUCAUGUUAUGGAAGGGUCCGAAUUCCCAAUUGUCGAUUUUUAGUGGCGCAAUUCGAUAGCACUGAGUCGCGCCAGAGUGCAAAUUCGCACUCGUCCUUUUCAGUAGCUUAAUGCGAUUUUACCGCGUCGCAGUGAAGGUGUAAUUGUCAUACUCUUGAUCCAUAAUUUGAAUUCUUAUGUCAUGAAUUUAAUCCUAAGCAUGUGAAGUUCUUAUUAGGUGAAUAAUAUUAAUAGAAGUCACUUAGAGCCAAGUGGAGCUAAGAACAUUAGAUUCGUCCAAAAUUUCGCAUUCGAUUCUACAAGAGUCUAAUUUAAAAAUGUAUAAUUUUUUAUAUACGUAGAAUUUUUCAUCUCAAUACCCACAAAAUUUUAGAUAAUUGAAUUAGCUUUCCAACGAUACCAAUUUAGCCUUAAUUCGAUACCCAAGCGAAAAGUUAUAGCCAUUUUCGUGUGAGGCAGUAAGCUGCCGCGAUGGUACCACAUCGCGGCAAAGAGAAAAAUUGGGAUACGGGUUAUAAAUUUUUGCUUUAAAUGAAUGAGGGGAAAUGAUUUCUUUUCCCCCCUCAGCCUAGGUCGUAAUAUAAUAAUGUAUAGCCUUCAUUGGGGCAUUAUUUUGCCUCCAUUAUCCUACUUUGCUCUUAAGAACAAACCCUAAUCAAUUCUCUUCAUGAUUCAUCCAUUUCAUCACCUUCUAUUUAAGAAAACAAUAAAGAAUUAAGCUUUCUAUUCCAAAAAGUUCAAGAAAAUCAUUCAAGAACAUCCCUAAGAACAUCAAUUUGAUUCAUUUUCUUCAAGAAACAACCUUCAAGGACACAAAUAGGAAUUCAAGUCAAAUUUCUUCUCAAUUUGAGCAAUUAAGGUAUAUGGGGUUAUGAACAAGGACAAUUCUUUCGUCCUUGUGCCCAAAAUUAUAUUUUUCAGCAAAUUUCUUAUGAUUUUAAAUUAGGGGUUAUACCCAAUUAUUAGUAUUUGAAGAUUAUGAGUUUACAAGUGAUUGAAUGUUGAAGUGCAUGACUAUUUUCAUAUAUUUAUGCGUAUAAUGCGAUUCUUCAGAUUUUUCAAUUGAGUUUUAAGCAUGAUAUUGUGAUUAUUGAUUUUAUUAUCUUGAUAUUGUUGAAGUAUUUCAAUAAGUAUAUUGAGCUUGAUGUUUUUCUAUGAACUUACAUGAAUCUAAUGAAUGGUCAUGAAGCCCUUUUUGAGUAGUGAUGUUUUGAGAACUUGUACUUUUAAGCACCCUGAGAUUAGCCUAUUUUUAGACAUUUAUACAGUAUUUGAUCUUUGGAUCCUCGGUUUAGCUAUGGAAUCCACUUUACAGAUGUAUUACAGAUUUUAGAAAUUGGACUAGCUUUGCUUAUAGAUUGAUUCAGAUAAAUGCAUAAUUGGUUUCAUAAUGAACCCUUAUGCUAGUUUUUAAAAGUGGAUUUUCAACAGAAUGAGCAUACCAAUUAAAAGGAGUAGUAUUUAGCACUGAGCGGGAAGUGUGGAAUUAGCAUGCCCUAUCUUCCACAGAACUACGUAGCCAACGUAGGUACAAAUUAUUAGAUUAUUUCCACUUCUAUGUGGAUGACAAUUACAGAUGUGAUCACUUAGCUCAGGUUAUACUCCUUGGCAAGAGUAUGAUACCUCUUCCUAUCGUGAGGUUUUUCACUUAGGGAAAUGAGACGUUUAACUCUAUGUUAGCUCAUAUGGUUUAUGUCGGUUAGAAGAACCUCCCUUACAGAUAAGCUUUUGAAAAAGUAUUUCCCUAAUAGUAAAGAUGUUCAGAAAAGAAUAACAGAAAAACUUUUAGAAAACUAAGUGUAAAGGAUCAUGAGUUUAUUCAGAUUGUGCUUUACAGAAAGAUAUUAGCUACAUAUUUCAGUUUUCAGAUUUCAGAUAUAGAAUUGAGUCCUUUUACACUUAGAUAGUAUGAUUUACAGACAGAACAUUUGUUCAGCUUUUAGAACUAAAUGUUAUGAAUCACUAGUUUUUAUAAAGUAUGUUUUGUCGUUCAUAAUUACAGAUUUUAGUAUUUCAGAUAUUCCAACUUAUGUGAGUCAUUUAAAUUAAGCAUGUAUUUUUUAAAAUUAUGACAAUGAGAUGAUGUUUUACUUAUGCAUUUCACCCCACAUACUCAAUACAUCCUCAAAGUACUAAUCUACAUAUAUGUCUAUGUGAUACAUUAUCUCAUAAUGUAGGUACAAGUUGUAGCACGUGCACCAUAUUCAGAUAGUUUGCAGCUUCCAGUCAUCAGGUGAUGAGUCAUUUUGAUUCAAGGGCUUAAGUCAGUCAUACAGUUUGAGCAAUAUUUUAUUUUUCUUUGUUCAAUCGUAUUGAUUUGGGAUAGUUAAGGGUCAUGUCCCGGCUACCUAUAGUCAAUACUAGUAGAGGCUUCAUAGACUAUCAGCAGAUUUAAUGUAUUUGAAUCCAAUGUUGUUUUGUAAAAGAAGAGUUGUAGUCAUUUUAAUUUAGUUUUGUAUUGAUCAAAUUUACAAAAGAGUUAUCUUCCGCCGAUUUCAUUCAGAUUUAUGCAUUUUAUUCAGCUACUUAUGAGUUAUGCCAGUAAAAAGGUUAGCUUGGGAUCACUUGUAGCCUUAAGUACCGUGUGACAUCUCAGGACCUAUUUUCAUAGUGUUACACCCGACUAGUCUACCUCGGGCUCCAUAGACCGGUGUUAACCAUCCCUAACCUCCUCAGAGAGAAGUUUUGAAUGCUGAGUUCCAACAAUCCAUUCAUAUGAUUGCUCAGCUUGUGGCUUUCCGAUCCUAUCGGUCGAAAGAUGUGAAUUCGAUGCCUGGUUUAUCUGAUCCACUUGGGUUGGUCAGUUUAUGAAGCUGAACCCACCUACCUUUACUGGCACAAAAAUUGAGAAGGACCCCUAAGGGUUUAUUGAUGAGCUAGAGAAGAUUUUUAGAGUUACACAUACUAAUGAGGUUGAAGAAGUUUAGUUGGCAGCCUAUCAGUUGAAAGACGUAUAUAGCCAGUGGUACAAUGAGUGGAAAGAUUUAAGGGAUGGAUAUGCUGAACCUUCUAUGUGGGGUGAAUUUGUAGAAGCUAUCCUGGAUCGUUUCUUUCCCCAAGAACUGAGGAAAGCAAAGGUCAACGAAUUUAUGAACCUGAAAUAAGGAAAGAUGAGUGUCAAAGAGUAUACUUUGAAGUUCACCUAAUUGUCCCAUUAUGCUCCAAAAUUAGUGGGAAACAUGAGAGAUCAAAUGAGAAAGUUCGCCUCUGGUCUCUCAGAUGAUAUGGUAUAGGAAUGCAAGGGAGCAAUGCUGAAUAGGGACAUAGACUUCUCCAAGUCAUCGGUGCAUAUGCAACAAGUAGAAGAGGAGAAGAAGAGGAAGGCAAAGGUAAGGGAGAAAGAAAGGCAGGCUAAGAGAGCUAGAUUUGUAGAUCAGUAUGCUAGUCAGCAGCAAGGUGACAGGUCAUACCAAAGGUUGUCCCAUAAGAAAUUUUAGAGCAAUACUCAGUCUUUACCAAGCAUACCUACACCCAGGCCUCCGAGUGAGCAGCGGUUCUAGUCGAGAGAUAGUCCUAGAGCUUAGGGUAUUCAGUCCCAGGGGAGUGUGACCCAGAUUUUUAGGUCACACCCUCAUUAUGGCAAUUAUGGAAAGAACCACCGGGAGGUGCUUGUUCAGUGAUAAAGUGUGUUAUACAUGUGGUCGGCCUGGCAAUAUUUAGAGGGACUGCCCCUCAGUUAGAGGGGAUGUUAGAGGUGUAAAGUCCCAGGAAAAUCUCAUAAACCCUCAACCUAAGGGUACUAUUUCCACUACUAGAGGUGGCCGCAACAAGUUAUAUUCUUUAUCUAACCAAAAUGAUGCAGAGACUUCUCUAGAUAUUAUUACGGGUAUGUUACAGAUUUUCUCCAAUGAUGUGUAUGUGCUACUUGAUCCCGGGUCUACUUUGUCUUAUGUAAACCCUUAUGUGGCAGUUAGUUUUGGUUUUUAAUCUGAAAAUAUUUUUGAACCUUUUUAUGUUUCCACUCCUGGUAGUGAUUUUAUUAUGGUAAGGAGAGGUUAUAGAAAUUGUGUGGUGUCUAUUUUUCAUCGUGAUACUAUGGUUGUUCUUGUAAACUGGACAUGAUUUAUUUUGAUGCUAUUCAGGGAAUGGAUUGGCUCCAUUCAUGUUAUGCUACCUUAGACUGUAGAACCAGGAAGGUCACCUUUUCUUUUCCUUAUGAGUCAGUGAUAGACUAGGAGGGAUAUUUUUUUGCUUCUCGAGGGAAAUUCAAAUCUUAUCUUAGAGCCCAUAAGCACAUAUCGAAGGGUUGUUUGUACCAUCUUUUUAAGGUCAAAGAUUCUAGCAUUGAAAGCCCUUUUCUCCAGUCUACUCCUGUAGUUAAUGAAUUCCUGGAAGUCUUUCUUGAUGACCUCCUUGGGAUACCACUUGAUAGAGAGAUAGAUUUUGGCAUUGACCUGUUGUCGAACACCCAACCUAUUUCUAUUCCCCCAUAUAAAAUAGCUCCCGCAAAAUUGAAAGAGUUGAAAGAAUAGUUAAAAGACCUUCUCGAUAAAGGCUUUAUUCAUCCUGGUGUCUCUCUCUGGGGUGAUCUUGUACUCUUUGUACGUAAGAAAGACAGUUCUUUUCAUGCAUAGAUUACCGUCAACUGAACAAAAUUAUAGUUAAGAAUAAAUACCAUCUUUCCAGAAUCAAUGAUCUUUUUGACCAACUUCAGGGUGCCCAAUGUUUCUCUAAGAUAGACCUUUAUUUGGGGUAUCAUUAUUUUAAGGUUAGGGAGGUUGAUAUUCCUAAAAGAACUUUCCAAACCCGCUAUAUUCAAUAAAAAUUCUUGGUGAUAUCUUCGGAAUGACUACUUCCCCCGCGGUCUUCAUGGACCUAAUGAAUAGGGUGUUUUGUCAGUUUCUAGAUCUAUUCGUAAUAGUCUUUAUUGACGACAUAUGGGUUUAUUCCAAGAAUGAGGAGGAUCAUUCAAGCCACCUCUGAAUCAUCCUUCAGACCCUUACAGAUCAUGAGUAGUAUGCAAAAUUUUCCAAGUGAGAAUUCUGGCUUAGCACCAUUUCUUUUCUGGGGAACAUUAUUUCUAGUGAGGGAAUUAAAGUUGACCCCUAAAAGAUUGAGGCAGUGAGAAAAUAGACCAGAACCACGACUCCGACUGAUAUUCAAAGUUUCUUGAGUUUGGCAGGGUAUUACAGAAGAAUUGUAGAGAAUUUUUCCUCCAUAGCUGCUCCACUUACUAGAUUGACUCAGAAAAAGGUAAAAUUCUUGUGGUCUGACUCAUGUGAGAAUAGUUUUGAGGAAUUGAAAGACAAGUUGACUACUACACUGGUUUGACCCUUCCUGAGGGUACAGAGGGCUUUGUUAUGUACAAUGACGUAUACCGGGUGGGACUUGACUGUGUAAUUAUGCAGCAUGGUAAGGUGGUGGCACAUGCAUCUAGGCAGUUAAAGGUGCAUAAGAAAAAUUAUCUCACCCAUGACAUAGAGUUAGUUGUUGUGGUAUUUGCAUUAAAAAUCUGGCGUCAUUAUCUUUAUGUAGUGCAUGUUAAUAUUUUUACUAAUCACAAAAGCUUGCAGUAUGUCUUCACGCAGAAAGAACUAAAUCUCAGACAGAGGUGGUGGUUAGAGUUAUUAAAGGAUUAUGACAUGAUCUUGUACUUUCAUUCGGGCAAAGCCAAUGUGGUGGAUGAUACCCUUAGUAGGUUAUCCAUGGGUAGUUUUUAUCAUGUGGAGGAGGGGAAAAGAAAUAUGGUGAAGGAUAUUCACCGACUUGUUAAUUUGGGAGUUCGACUCCUACAUUUUGAGGAUGGAAGGGUAUUCGUACAAGAGGUAGAAAAAUCUUCUUUGUGUGCGGAAGUGAAGGAAAAGCAAACCAGGGACCCCAUUUUGAUGCAGAUUAACAAGGAUGUUGGUCAACAAAAGGUAUUGACUUCUGAAAUUGGAGGUGAUGGGAUUUUGAGGUAUCACGAUAGGAUAUGUGUGUCGAAUAUGGAUGGGUUGCGAGAAAGAAUUCUUGAAGAAGCCCAUACUUCCAGGUAUGUUGUUCACCACGGCUUUACUAAAAUGUAUCAUGAUCUUAAGGCGAUUUACUGGUGGAAUGACAUGGAAAGAGAUGUUGCUAAUUAGGUGUCUAAGUGUUUGAACUAUCUACAAGUAAAGGUAGAACAUUUGAGACCAUGCGACACUUCCCAAGAGAUAGCUCUGCCCAUGUGGAAAUGGAAAAUGAUCAACAUGGAUUUUAUUACAGGGCUUCCAAGAUCUCGAAACCAAUAUGACUCCAUCUCGGUGAUUGUGGUCAGGAUGACAAAUUCUACCCAUUUCUUUUUGUAUGGACAAAUUAUUCGGGAGAUGACUAUGCUAAGCUGAACAUUCAAGAAAUAGUCUGAUUGCAUGGGGCUGUCAUGUCUAUUAUUCAGACUUACAGUAUUGAUUUUCAGAAAUUACAUUCAGAUUGUUCUCAGCUAUUUUAGACAUUUUUCGCAUUUAGUAUGAAUUUUAUGUCGAUAUUUCCUUUAUUAUGAGAUUCAGAUCUAAUGGAAGGAAGACAGGGUUAGCUUAAGGCUAAUCGCAGUCUUGAGCACCGUGUGACACCUCGGGACUAGGUUUUGGGGUGUUACAAAAGGUGUCAAGAUUAGGAUUUCACUCUUCAAACUAAGAACAUAAGAUAUGUAGGACUACCCUAAAAUCCAUGGGCAUAGAUUUUAUUGUAUUAUCAAGAUAAAAAACCCCUCAUUAUGUUCCCAAAGAAGAGUUUUGAUAUUGUUUCGAAAAGUAUGUGUCAUGUAAUUGUUUUAGUGAAAAUAUAUGUUGUCCUGAACCAUUUUUCAUGGAUUUGAACUAAAACUAUGUAUAUAUGUUUUUGUUUGUAUUGUUAACGUUGAAUGAGAGCAUGAAUGACAAAACUCCCUCUCCCAUUAUGAUAUCUUUGAAUGAGUGUGUUAUGGGUUGUUUAAAUGCUUAAAUUUUCUUAAAGGAAAUAAGAGGGUUAAUUCUCUUCUAAUGAUCAUGGAUUUGAUAUUAUUGUGAUAUGUUGAGAGGGUGCUUUCGUAUAGUAAAUAUUUAUUGUGUCAAAUUUAUAAUUUCCAUCAUCUUUUAAGUAAUGCAAAUAUGAUAUGACCACCUUAUGAUUGUACUAGUGAGCGGAGAGUUCUUUGAUGUAAACUCUAAUGAAACUUUAAAGCAUGACUCCCUCUCUUACGUGAAGUUUAAAAACUUUUGGUGGUCAUUGACAUGUUGAUAAAUAAAAAGGGCUAUAGAUAUGUUAUAAUGUAAUAUGAAUGACUUGCAAGUUGGGGUAUGACGGUACCCGAUGAUAACGUGCCCUUAAUAGAAUACAUGUUGAACGUUUUUAAAGUAUGAAGCAUGGUUUUAAAGAGCUAAAAAUUGAGAUUAAGAGAGCUAGCUGGUUACCCGAAGAAGGCAUUUAAGUGUAAGGGUUCAUUGCUGGAAAUCGUGGUUUGCCGAUAAGGGUAUUAUCCUGAAAUGGGAUAACUAGGACAUCAUGUAAGGGUGAUGUCACGGUAUACCUACAAGGGGGUAUACCAACUUAUGAAAACUCUAGUUCUUGCAGCAAACUAGAAUUGAGAGCUUGGUCGUCGAGUCGAUGGCAGAUUCCACAUAGCCCGUAGAAUUACAAAUCGUAGGGUGUACCGACUAGCUCAGAAGAAAAGUAAAGAGUGAGUCAAGGUCGUCAGAAUUGUUUCAAAAUUUACUAAAGUAUGCCCAUAUAUUUUAUAAUAUGUUCACUGUUAUUUUGAAAUGCUCUCACCUAUAUUGUAUAAAAGCAUGCUAUUUUGGGUUGUUUUACAUACCAAUACAUUUGUAUUGACCCCCUAAAUUUUAGGAUCUGAGGCUCAAUCCAGGGGUCCCGCUAAGCAGUAGAUCAUUGUCAGACGUUGAAGUUGGUGAGACUCCCUUAUUUUGGACGACCUUGUCUCAUGUGAUGUUUUUAAUUAUUUAUAGUUCAUGGUCGGACCAGAGGCCUUGACCCGAAUUCAGACAAAUGUUGUUUCCAGUAUUGAUAGAGAUUUUGCAGACUGGUGUUAGAUAUUUUUGAAUAUUUAUGAAUUCAUUUUCAUUACUGCUUAGUUUGAAAUAUGAAGAUGACCAUGUUUCCGUUUAGUUUUUUUGCAUUUAUAUAUUAUAUGAAUCCUGCUUGUGAUUGUCAGUUGAAAAGGGGUUCUCGGGCCUUCAUGGUUCGAGAUGCCCGUCGCGGCCAGGGUCUCGGCUCGAGUCGUGACAGUUACAAAUUCAAACUUCCUUUUCUCCAAUAAUGCAAUCCUUAUUGAUCUACUUCACACACCAUAAUUCUUUGAUCCAAUAAGCUUUAUUGGAAUCAAAGUAGCUCCAGACACAUCUGAUGUGCCUAUGAAUAAAGGAUCAAUGGGAUCUAUCUUAGGUGCCAUUUUCAAACUUCAUCACUAAGAAACUAGAUAUAGGAAUCAAAGUUCAGUUACAAGUAUAUCACUUUCUUACUAUAUCACAAAAAACACAACUGAAAAAUAGAGAUCUACUAUAGCAGUUUAGAGCUCAAACUAAGAACUGUAAUUCCAAAAAUUGAGCGAAGAACAGAGAUCGAAAACUCUACCACAAUAGAGAUCUAAACUCCAUAGAAUUAUUCUCAGUCUCCAUGAUCGAGCUGAAGCUCUGAUACCAUGUAAACUUUCACCAACUAUCUAGUGCAAAGCUUGGUUAACCAAGCUUUGUUGAACAGAGGAGAAGGAGAAAGGAGAGAAAUUGUUUUUAUUAACUAUCAUUCAACUUGCAUUUUUAUAGCUAGCAUCUAUAUAUAGAUGUGUGUAUAUCUUAUAGAAGCUUCUCAACUUAACUACAUUACACACUCAGCUGCCAGCUUGUCACACGACUCACCAACUAGCUAACAAACUAACAAUGAACUAACUCACAUGUACAGUAUGCCAAUGUAAUAGUACAAACAGAAAAUGAUCAUAGUAGUUAUGUGAACUGAACUUUUCAAUAGGAUCCUCUCUCCAUCCCUCUCUACUAUCUGACAUUUUUUUGUUUUACUGAAUCUUAGUGCCAGAAAGCGUUGGUUGUGACUUUAGUCACCGAAAAAAAUGAUGAAUACCGUUAGAGUGACUUUUCUGUUUUUGAUCUGAAAAAACUUUUCAAAACAUUAAGUCUUGUUUUAGUCCAUUUUGGUCUUACAGGACCACCAAUUGGUUGAAUAGUUAUGUAGAGUUGAUAUAAAAGAUCAAGAAAAUGUGUUUGAAAUUGAAGAAGUCACUCAUGUCAACAUCAUUGCAUAUAUUGAGAUACUAAAAAAUGUGUUUGAAAUUGAAGAAAUAAGUGUAUCUAUUGGUAAAAAUGGAGCUCCUGCUAGAAGUGAAAGUGUGUCUUUAGGUGGAACUAGAGCUAGUGGUUCGAGCUCUUGGUAGUUGUAAGGGUGACCUACAUUGUUCCAAGACGAUUCAUACCAUUAUGUGUAAACUAUGCAUACAUAUAAAUAUCAUGUAGAAAUUCGGUUAUAUAGAAUAAACUGAAUCCACUGACCGAUAUAAAGCCAUUUUGUGGCUAAAGCUCAGUGGAAGCGUUCAAACCUCUGCAUAUAUAUUUGAAAUGAUUUAUAUUUUUAGUUUAGUUUAAAUUGGUCCAUGCUAAAAUUGCUUAUUUGUUGAAUAUUUAUAUUUCUUUAUUUGUCUAAUAAGCUUUCUUUAUUUGAUUAUUCGUUUCAGUUAGUUUAUUCACAACUCUUUAUUUGAUUUUUUUUGUAAGCAAUAAUUUCUUUUUGUUAUAUAUAAACAGGGAAGGCAUUUGUAUUUUGCUAUAAUUUUUAGAGUUUAGUAUUUUUUUUUUUAAAUUAGUCAUCAUUGUAAACCACUAUUAAAAAUUUUUUAAAGAAAAUUUGAUAAAUUAAGUAGAUAAGGUAUUUUAAAGAUACAUGUAAAUACAUUUUUUAAUUAUUUUAUAAAAAAUAUUACCUACUUUUAAAAAAAUAAAGAAGGGCGACUUGAAAAUGACGACUUCAUUUAACGAAAGAUUUUUUUUUUUUUUCAAAAAAGUAAAGUAACGAGCAAAUAUUGCUUGUUAUUCCUACUGUCGGAUUUUAUUGUAAGAUCCCGUUGUGUCUAUCUGACACCGGUUAUAUAAAACUGAGUCAACUACCGUUGAGGAAAUGUUACAAAAUAUUCAGUUGAAAGACAGAGAAAUAACAAAAAGAAUCGACCAAGUGUGUUUUUCAUUAUACUACUGUAACUCUCUUUAUAUAGCUUUCUUUUUCUAAAAAUAUUUGCUAAAUAUAUGAUCAAGAUAAGUAGUAUUAGGGAUAACUUACUUGGGCUCGAAUUUCUUAGGUGAUAUCUUGUUAAAACAAUUUAAUUUCAUAAUAAUGUAGUGUGACAACAUCUUUAUCAUAUUACCUUUUCUUGAUUUUAUUGGAAUGUAGUGUGAGUAAUAAUUGGAACAUAAAUGAGGAGAAUUUUGUAGUACGUACAUUAGUUUUUUCUUUGAGAAAAGACAUCUUUUCUUCUCGAACUUGUCCUCCAAAUUCACUUUAGCACUUAAACUUAACUUUCGUUUACUUACCCCCCUUAACAACUUUCAAGUGAAUUAAAUUCACCCCUAAAGAUGACGUGGCAAAAAAAAAAAAGGAGCGAGUGAAUUUUUUUUUAAAGGGUCCACUUUAUUAUAUAUAUAAAUCAAGAAAGGACAUGAACUUCAUCUUCUUCGACCGGAAUGCCUCGAACGAAAAAACCUCAACCACGAACAAAAUCAACUCGAUACUAAGAAAUAGCAAACUGACAUAUUAGAUUCUCACAUAACCCGACCUUGUUUCACCCGCUCCCAUCAAAUAUGUCACGACCCGAACUAGGGCCUCGCCGUGAAAGACAUCCCAAACCAUGAAGGCGCGGAACGCCCUUCUCUAUCUGGUAAUCAUGCACAACAUUCAUAUAGUAAAAGAAGAUGUGAAAACAUAAUCUGCUACGGAAACAUAGUCAAUUUUGAAUUCAACAUAAGUGUGAAAACUGUAAAUUAACUACAUCUAAAUAACAUCUGACUCAGUCUGUGAAAUCUCUACUACAUGAAAAUCUGACAACUGCCUGAAAAUGGGACAAGGCCCCCAAUAGACCAAAACGAUAAUAAGUGUCAUAAUCUAAAAACACAGGCCUUCUGGAAUAGAGAAGGCUCACCAACUGGGCACUGCAACUUUGAUAAAAUCUAUUGCCUUUUCUGGACCUCUAGACUGAGCCUCAGAAUCUAGAGGGAGGAGGGGGGUCCAUACAGAUGUACUGGUAUGCAAAGUAAUCCAAAAUAAAGCUUUUAUAUAAAUAAAAUAAUGAGAGAGCAAAUUGUCAAAACAUCAUGCAUGAAAUAGUUCUAAAACACAUGGGCACUUUUCUGUAAAAUCAUAGAUCAUUCUGGACAAUGCAGUUUUGUUCUUCGUAUUAAUUCUGAGCUGGUGGUACACCCCUACAAUUCUAAAAUCCCACGGGCUGUAUGGAAUCCGCCAUUUACUCAGAGGGGAAGCCCCCAACCCAAGUGUGCCGCAAGGGUUGGAGUUUCUAUUCUGAUACGCCACACGGCAGUAGGCCAGUGUAAUAUAAUAUACCCGAAUCGACAAAUCACGAUUUUCGGCAAUGAGUUGUCUGAACUCAUGCCUUCGUCGGGAAAUCACCUAAGAUCUCUUUAUGCCCAAUUUUAUCCUGUUCUGAAUCAUGCAUUUUUCUAGUUUCAACAUCUGAAAAGUCUGAUUUCAAACGUGCAUUAUAUUCUAUUCUGAAUUAUCAUGGCAUAAUCUAAAUUGGUGUCAUCACACCAAGACUUUCAAGUCCUAUUUCUGAGCCAUAAUGCAUCAUGCAUAAUUCUUUCAUUAAAACACAGUUCAGACCACCCAAACAUGCAAACAAUAUGAAAGAUUUCAUGUUCCGAGAACAUAAGUCAAAACUAUGUUGAGAUUGCUCAAACAUAUGGUGGUCAUAUACUUUUGGAAAAAUCAUGCACUCUUUCAUUAUAUGAAUAUUUUCAAUAUUUAUCAAUAUGCAAAACCCUCUCUUUUGAAUUCAAAACCAUAAAUCAAUUUGAAGCAUUAAUCAAAAUAUUUCAUAUCAUGCUUUUCAAGAUACAUUCAAAACAAUCCAUAUCAUAAGAAAAUUUGAACAAUCAUACAGAGAGAGGGAUUUAUGUGCGUCAUGCUCCCAAUUCAUUCAUAAAUCAUAAAACAUAUGUAUACGUAUAUAUAAUUUCAAAUCAAUUUGGAGAAGGUCAAAAGACCAAAACAAUAUCGUUAAGAUUUCUAAAACGUGAAUGUAUUCAUAAAUCUGAAAACCCCUUCUUAAAAUCAUGAUUUUUAUGCCCAUGAGAUUUUAGGAAAACCCCGCGUACCUCGAUUAUGGAGAACAAUGGAUAAUUCUUGAAGCCUAUGGUUUGGGGAUUUCAAAUCUUCAAUCAAUUUGAAAAUCCAUGGUUGAAUCUUGAUUUAUUUGGAUUUUUAGUUUCAAACCCUUGGAAGUAUUGUUAAGAGAAUUUGUGAGAAUGUGGAUGUACUUUGGAGAAUUGGGAACUGAAUUUCGUGUUUAUGGAUGAAUAAGGAUGGGAAAAGGACCAUUUUCCCCAAAAAAAUGGAGUGUUUAAGUCACUUGGGUCAUAAUGUAUGCGGCACACAUCUUAUCACAUAAGAUAGGUUGUGCGGCACACACUUUAUCGCACACAUUAGGGUGUGAGUCGUACACCUUAUGGCAUAAGUUAGGGUGUGAGUCGUACACCUUAUCCUGGGUGAUACACUCCAAUUUGCAAAGCCAUAACUUCUUGCUCGGGUAUCGGAUUUUGGUGAAAUUAAUAUCGUUUGAAAGAUAAUUUGAAGACCUUUCAUUUGAUAUAUAGUAGGAUCUUAAUUAUUCAUAUACAGAGAGUUAUGGUAGAUUGAAGUUGACCCAUAUUUCGAUGCUCACUAAAACUCAAACGAUAGAAAAGCUUUUAACUUGACCUUGAGUUAGGGGACCUCUAUGAUCUCAAUUCAUGCUCAAAUAGAUUCCCAAAUUCCAUAAUUGAUUAACAUGCCAAAUUUGCAUAAGAUUUAAGGCUUUUGGAUCAUCUAGGCAUAGAAAUGAAAGUUUUCGUUCUAGCACGAAAUGCGGGGUGUUACAUUAUCUCCCCCUUGGGAUCAUUCGUCCUCAAAUAAUGGGAAGGAAUGUUGAAUAUUAAAGGUAUGGAAUAAUGCGGACAUGAUGUGUCUUCUAAGAAAAGAUAUAACUGAUCUAAAACAUUUAAACUUCUAUCAUGAAACUGAAUUCUGAGCUGACUUGAGUUUACUUGCUUUAAGAAGUUGAUUCAUGCUGAGAAUUUAGGAUUCCCUUGAAGCGUUCAUGAUGAAAUUAUACAUAUUAAAUCGAGAAGUGAUAACUUAUGAAAGUACGAAUCAUAAAACAACUGGACUUAAAUCGUAUCAGGGUAUUACACUGUCUGAGCUAACAUACUUGGAAAAAUUUGAAAUUGUGCGUUGAACUCUUAUAAACUGAGACAUGACUAAAUUGUUGAAUCCAAAACAUGAUGCUUGGACUAAACUGAAUUUGCAAUUUACAUGGGGAAUAGAUUAUCUCCUGGGAUGGUCAUACGCAUGAGACUUAGGAUAGUAGGACUGGGUGAAAAGGUGGAAAAUCACAGUAACUUGCCUGCCCGACUGUUAAACUGAAUUGCUAGUUAUACAGGUAGAAUUAUACUGGAACCUAUACUUAACUGGAGUAUCUAUUCACCACUCUUUCUAAAGAAGUCAUAGUAGCGUUAGGGAUCAAAAAACCUUGGGCAUGAUUUACACGAGUCACCCAACUAAGGAAUCACAACAAUGACACUACUCUAUAGCAUAGAAUAGAAUUACCAGGCCCUAGGCCAUGCAACUUCUUACUUUCAAGCUAAGCACACUUCUCAAGUAUCCCUUAACUACACUAUUCUCCUUAAUUACCAUACUCAUUGAUUCAAGUUAUAAUCCUCAUAAAUCUUUCUACAAAUGUCUAAAGUAGCUUAAAUCCUUUCACCGUGAUCAAGCCUAACUUCAAAUCAUGAAAUACAACCAAGAUACUAGUCUAAACCAUAUGAUUCAACCUUUUAUAUCUUUUUAAAGAUCACACCCUAAGCAUAACGUGCUUUACCACUUCAAUGACCAACCCUGAACUCUUACUAUGGAUUUCCUAGUGCAUAUUGCAUUCCUCCACUUACAUCCCAACAUAUCAUUCAAGCCUAUCCUUAUAACCACAUAUGAACUUUAAGGCAACAUUAAUCAAGAUGUACUUCAUAUAUUCUCUAAACCACCAUCAAUACAACUCCCACGCGCUACCCCAAGAACAUACGCACACAAAUUUCCACUAACCAUCACAUGUAUCAAAGGCUUCUCCCUAAAUCUUACUUCACACUUAUGGCCUCAUUCAAAACAAGCAUACAAUGAUCUUUCAUCAACAAGAACCAUUAACUCAUCACCACUAUUAUUACAUAAGGAGUCACCAAAAGGUUAGAACAUAAAACCUUAAAGCAUGGAAGGAUAUUAUAUGAGACUUGACACUUAGCUGAGGCCUGAGGAAUAACAAAUCAACAUCAGGGAUUUAUUAAAGUAAAUCUGAAUUGAGGGCAUACAUGGGUAUAAGCUGAUUCUCGCCAAUCAUUUGGCGUAAAGCAUGAGUUAUGAAAAGUGAGCACACAAUAACACGUAAAUACAUGAGUCAUGAGCUACAUGACCUUAAUUUGGAGUUCAUAACAUAUGGUAUGUGAUUCCAACUAUUGAAUGAACUAAAACUCCUCAUUUUAGAACUGGAAGAUAACGUGAUUCUGUAUCAUAUACAUGAACAUGAACUAUGAUCAUGGAAUUGAAACGUGUGGCAUGAGUAGGUAUUGGGAUAACUGAAAAUUACUGAGAUAAGAAUGGGUUGAGUCUCACCCUCACUUUCUGACGUUCUAUAUCAUACUACAUUACUACAAGAAUCUGAGAGCCUUACUUGGUUAUUCGUUCUAUCAUCUCCCCCUUAGCUUCAAGCCAUCAUCUUAAGUUUGAGAGAUCCCUUACUAGAUUCUAACUGAAUUACACUUACUAGACUCUAGGGUCUGGAAAACGACAAUACACAUAAUUAAUAGAACUUAACCCAAAUGACUACACAUGAAAGUGGGAAAACCCACUGCUAAUAUUACCUUCUGAGAUACACUCUAUCAUUUUGUAGCCUUAAUAGUCAUCAUAUAAUACUUGAACACUUACUAACUCCGAAUCUUCAUGAGUAUCCCCAUAGUUGAAGUGCACACUCUCUAGUGCUUCUACUCCUUUUUCUAUUAGCUCAAUCUUCAAAACUCAAAAUUAGAUUCUAACACUUAACAUGAAUAUCCCCAAGCCUUUGAUGAACCAUACUACUUCCGCCACAGUAUAUCAAUAUCACGACUCCAAACUUAUAUCUCUAUACUAUUAGAAUCAAAAUCAUAUAAGAAGGCACCACACUAUCAAUCAAAACUCCUUAACUUAGCUAUCUAGCACACUAUAUACCAUCUAACUAGUCUUUCUCCAACUAGGAACUCAAUGGUACCACUUGCCACACAUAACAUGUAACAGCCUUAGAAAAUAUCGCAACUCCAUAUAACCUUGGGCAUACUUCUACCUCAUACAUACAACAUCAUACUUCAUUACGAAUCAAAUAAACUUAAGCUCUUGCAUACACUAUUCAAACCUAUUAGAUCACUUCCAUAUAACUAGUACAUUAAUUAAGAAAUCAUCACAUCCACCUUCAUGGUCAUCAACUGAUCAAACUUAGUGUAUAGUGAUAAACAUGAUUUACAAGCCAACCUUACGCACAAUUCUCACUUGGAAACCAUGAAAUAAACAUCACGAAACACUGGUACACUAGAACUUCAUAACAACAAUAAUCGAUCAUGACCUUACAGUUUUUCUUAUCAUAACUAAUUAGCACGCAAUAUUUCAACACAUCAAGCCUACUAAUUUAUUCCCACAAAACAUACAUCAUUAAUCUCAUGUCACUAUUCUUAUAUCCACAUCCUACAUUAAAUUCAAGCCAAUGGUCUAGUAUCAAUCAUCUACCACCAAUGAAGAAGGCAACAUAAUAUACUAGUCCAUCAAAUUUGAACAUCCUAUCCAAAUACCUCAAAAAAUCUACUACAUAACUUCUCACCACUAAAAAGAAGGUCGGGGGGAGGGGGGGGGGGUUAAAGUCACAUAAUAGACAUGGUCAACCUUAAUCUUAUCUUAUAACCCCAUACAAUUUUAUCUACUUAUACGGCUUUCUCACAUCACACUUACUUACCUAAGCAUACAUUUAGACUACCUUCAAAUUCCACAAACAACCAUGAGUCUAUAGUUAUAACUUACUGGCUCAUCUAGCCAUUUUCAUACUUCAAGCAGGCAACAAUUCACCUUAACUAAUAACUCUUUCUCUACCUUCUAUUAAACUAAUACACAAGGAUGUAUCACUUCAUUACCAUCUCAAUCUCAUGUGAAAAGAUUCGACCACACAUAUAUCCAACCAACACAAGAACAAUAAGAUAAAUAACAAGUUGCUAGUGAAUCAAAAUAGGCCUCUCAUGGCUUCACUAGACUUUGAUUUUUAUGUUUUUAACAAGAAAAAAAAUAUGAGAUGAAUAACAGGGAAACUAUGCUAGUGAAUCGAAAGAGUUCCACACGGCUUCACUAGACUUUUAGUUUAAAAAACACAAUGAUAACAAGAUUACAAGAGAUAGAAACUUGAUACAUAAUAUCAAUGAUCUAAAAAUACACAUAUUACUCCGUAUAAAUAAAAAUCUGAGUCAAACACUUUUUCUCUCAGACUACCAUACAAUCCACACCUGCUACUAGCUACCACAUUCGUCUAUCACUAUAAAGGGGUAAAUUAUCAUCAAACAUCAGUCAUUCAACUAAAAUAUUUAUUUGCACAAAAGUUACCCUCACUCUAACUUCUAACUUUGUGACUUCACAUCACCAACUUCUUGGUCCAACAUCACUACCAAUACGUCAUGACACUGACACUUAACUUAUACUACUACUCGGGUGGAAAUACAGUUCCAACAUUCUGCUAUACAUCAUCCCCCUGAAGUGUGACAUCUGUAACAUAAAUUCAAAAAAUGACUGAAUACACUUAAUACUGUAUGAUAAAAAGCACGAUUUCAUUAAUAUCAAGGUUCACACUAGAACUAAUGCACUCUGAAGCACUAACAGACUCAUCUCAAGUCCUUACAAAAAUCUUAUAUGAUUCAAUCAGAAAGAACCAUACCAUUUUGACUCUAAACUACUGCCCUUGAAUUACCCCAAUAAUGAGACAUAUAUGAGCAUAUCAAGGCAAGAAAAAAAUUAAGAUAAUUGUUACUUUCGUAUGGGUGACAACAUAGCACGAAUUAGAGUAAGAAAAAGGAAUAUUCUAACUCUAUUGCAUGAACUAGAACAUGAAGAAAGAGAGACAUUCCUAAAUACCUUGUAGCCUCCUGCUUAUAAGUGUGGCGCGCUACAUACCCAUAAAUAAGACUAUACCCGACGCAAUUUCGCAAACACCCUGGGACCAUGAACCGUGCUUUGAUUCCAAGUUUGUUAUGACCCAAACUAGGGCCUGACAGUGAUGGACAUCCCAAACCAUGAAGGCCUAGAACGCCCUUCUCUAUCUGAUAAUCAUGCACAACAUUCAUAUAAUAAAAGAAGAUGCAAACACAUAAUCUUCUAUGGAAACAUGGUCAAUUCUGAAUUCAACAUAAGUGUGGAAACUGUAAAUCAACUACAUCUAAAUAACAUCUGCCUCAGUCUGGAAAAUCUCUACUACAUGAAAAUCUGACAACUGUCUGAAAAUGGGACAAGGCCCCCAGUAGACCAAAAUGAUAAUAAAUAUCAUAAUCUAAAAAGAUAGGCCUUCUGGAAUAGAGAAGGCUCACCAACUGGGCACUGCAACUCUAUCUGAUAAAAUCUACUACCUUUUCUAAACCCCUUGACUGAGCCUCAGAACCUGGAGGGAUGAGAGGGGUCAAUAUAGAUGUAUUGGUACGCAAAGUAAUUCAAAAUAAAGAUUUUAUAUAAAUAAAAUAAUGAGAGAGAAAAUUGUCAAAACAUCAUGCAUGAAAUAGUUCUAAAAUAAAUGGGCACUUUUUUGUAAAAUCAUCAAUCAUUCUGAACAAUGCAGUUCUGUUCUUCGUAUUAAUUCUGAGCUAGGUGGUACACCACUUCAAUUCUAAAAUCCCACGGGCUGUAUGGAAUCCGCCAUUUACUCAGAGGGCAAGCCCCCAACCCAAGUGUGCUGCAAGGAUUGGAGUUUCUAUUCUGAUACGCCACACGACACUAGGCCAGUGUAAUAUAAUAUACCCGGAUCGGAAAAUUACGAUUUCUGAUAAUGAGUUGUCUAAACUCAUGCCUUCUUCGGGGAAUCACCUAAGCUCUCUUUAUGCCCAAUUUUAUCCUGUUCUGAAUCAUGUAUUUUUGUAGUUUCAACAUCUGAAAAGUCUGAAUUCAAACGUGCAUUCUAUUCUGUUCUGAAUUAUCAUGGCAUAAUCUGAAUUGGUAUCGUCACACUAAGACUUGCAAGUCCUAUUUUUGAGCCAUAAUACAUCAUGCAUAAUUCUUUCAUUAAAACAUAGAUCAGACCACCCAAACAUACAAACAAUAUAAAUGAUUUCAUGUUCCGAGAACAUAACUCAAAACUAUGCUGAGAUUGUUCAAACAUAUAGUGGUCAUAUGCUUUUGGCAAAAUCAUGCACUCUUUCAUUAUAUGAAUAUUUUCAACAUUUAUCAAUAUGCAAAACCCUCUCUUUCGAAUUCAGAACCAUAAAUCAAUUUGUAGCAUUAAUCAAGAAAUUUUAUAACAUGCUUUUCAAGAUACAUUCAAAACAAUCCAUAUCAUAAGAAAAUUGGGAAAAUCAUACAAAGAGAGGGAUUCACGUGCGUCAUGCUCUCAAUUCAUUCAUAAAUCAUAAAACAUAUGCAUACGUAUAUAUAAUUUCAAAUCAAUUUGGGAAAGGUCAAAACACCAAAACAAUACCGUCAAGAUUUCUAAAACAUGAAUGUAUUCAUAAAUCUGAAAAUUCCUUUCUUAAAAUCAUGAUUUUUAUGCCCAUGAGAUUUUAGGAAAACCCUGCGUACCUCGAUUAUGGAGAAUAAUGGAUGAUUCUCGAAGCCUAUGGUUUGGAGAUUUCAAAUCUUCAGUCAAUUUGAAAACCCAUGAUUGAAUCUUAAUUUAUUUGGAUUUUUAGUUUGAAACCCUUGGAAGUGUUCUUGAGAGAAUUUGUGAGAAUGUGGAUGUACUUUGGAGAAUUGGGAACUGAAUGUCGUGUUUAUGGAUGAAUAAGGAUGGAAAAAGGACCAUUUUGCCCCAAAAAUGGAGUGUUUAAGUCCCUUGGGUCAUAAUGUAUGUGGCGCACACCUUAUCGCAUAAGAUAGGUUGUGCGGCACAUACUUUAUCGCACACAUUAGUGUGUGCAUCGCACACCUUAUGGCAUAAGUUAGGGUGUUCGUCGCACACCUUAUGUUGGGCGAUACACUCCACUUUGUAAAGUCAUAGCUUCUUGCUCGGGUGUCGGAUUUUGGUGAAAUUAGUAUCGUUAGAAAGAUAAUUUAAAGACCUUUCAUUUGAUAUAUAGUAGGAUCUCUAAUUCGAUAUAUACAAAGAUUUAUGGUUGAUUAAAGUUGACCCAUGUUUCGAUGCUCACUAAAACUCGAACGAUAGGAAAGCUUUCAACUUGACCUUGAGUUAGGGGACCUCUAUGAUCUCAAUUCAUGAUCAAAUAGGUUCCCACAUUCCAUAAUUAAUAAACAUGCCAAAUUUCCAUAAGAUUUAAGGCUUUUGGAUCAUCUAGGCAUAGAAAUGACGGUUUUUGUUCUAGCCUGAAAUACGGGGUGUUACAGAAUAUCACUGAAAUCAGACCAUAAAUAGUCAGUUCCAGUCGAUGUGGGGCUGAUUUUGUAAAUUUAGUCAAACUUGGUCGGAGCACGAACCUAAAUGAGAUCACUGCUAACAGAUUUCGAUCGAUUAUGCCUAUCUCCUACUGGUGUAGUCAAUUUUCGAUCUAUGUGAUGAAAUCCGAAAAGGAUUUGCUCAUCGAAAAACUCAACAUAACCCGUCUCUCUCUCUCAUUUCUCACUAUUUCUUCUCUCUCCCCCUCCGAUUCUCUUUUCUCAUCUCACUGUUUCUUCUCUCUCCCUCCAAUUCUCCUCUCUUUCAUCUCACUGUUUCUUCUCUCUCUCCCUCUAAUUUUCCUCUCGUUUAAUCUCUUUUCUCGUAUUUUAUGUGUUCAGCGUGUGUACGAUGUGCGUUGCCAGGGAGAAAAAGGAGAAAAAAAAAGAAGAAUGAAAAAGGGUGGGGUCUGUGAAGAAGAAGAACGAAGGGGGAUGGGUCUAUUUAUUUAUAUAAAAUAUAUAUUUUAUAAAAAAAAAUAUACUCUUUUAAAUAUAUAUAUAUAUAUAUUUUAUAUAUAUAUAAAAAUAGAAUAUAUAUAAUAUAUAAAAAGAUAGAGUGUGUGAUUAUUAAUAAAAAAGACGCGUGUGUUAUGCACUCUCCGUGUGAGAGUGGGAUUUUGAUUUUGAGGGUGAAUUUAAUUCACUUGAAAGUUGUUAAGGGGGUAAAUAGACGGAAGUUAAGUUUAAGUGCUAAAGUGAGUUUGGAGGACAAGUUCAGGGGGGAAAAGAUGGUUUUUCUCUUUUUCUUUUCUUAAUAAAAACAACUAGUGUUGGAGUCAUAGCAUUGUAAACCCAUAGCUUUGAUUUUACUAAAAAUUACACAAAUACACAACUUAUAUUUCCAAUAUUACAAAAAAUCUCAACUCCCUAAACAUAUUACAAAAAUCCCAACAUAUACACAGAAUGUUAUGUAUAUGUCGGCUAUGUUACGUAUAUUAAUAGGGNNNNNNNNNNNNNNNNNNNNNNNNNNNNNNNGGAGAGAGUGUAAUUACUUUCAAAAGGGUUGGUAUUUAUGUUAUUUAUACUUGAUUUUACUUUGAAAAAAGGUAGAUGACUCUCUAAAUUAACCAACAAUACCAACUUCUCCCAAUUUUUUAUGUCUUAGUUUAACAUUCUAUGAAGUUUAAGAAAUAAGGUGGAAGAUAUAUAUAAUGUAAAAUAAAUAGUCAAGUGGUAUUUGAUUUAAAUUGAGCAUAAAUAGAUUUACAAUAUAUAAAUUGAAAUAGAGAGUACUUAGGAGUCGUUAUGGCAUAGACAUUUUUAUUAUUUUUCGUAAAAAAAAAAAAUUUAGAAUGUUGUUUAUUUAUUCAUUGGAAUGUUAGUUUUUCUAGAUGAGUUUCUCUAGAAAGAAAAAUUACAGAAAUUGGCAUCCUUAAGACUAUAAUUACAAUAAAUAACAACACUUUUUCAAAAUUACAACUUAUAGCAAAAGUAGCAAUAUUUUACCCACUUCAUAGUAAUAGAAGAAUAUGUAUUUUUCAGUUGUGCAUAUGUAUUUAUGAGUAAUACAUAUAUAUUUGUAUAUAUAUUUAUAUAGCAACAUUUUACUUAAAUACAAAAUCAAUUUGCUAUUUUUUGUAAUUAUGAAACUGUUGCUAUAAAAGUUAUAAUUAAAGUUACAGAGUUGCUAUUUCUGAAAUUUUUCCUUUUAAGAAUGAGUCAAUCACAACAUUUUUUUUCUAAUCAUAAAAAAUUCAAGUGAAAUACAAUUUCAAUUUUUAAAUAUUUAUUUUUAACUUCAAUGUUUUUUUUUCUUGAAAUUUAAAUCAAAUUUAUGACCAAAUAACUACUUAAAUUGAUACUUCUAGUUCUCAAAUUUUUAAAUUGGGGGUUGCACUUUUUUUUUAACGUAAUGUUUUUAUAAGAAUUACAAGACAUGCAUAUUUAAGAUUUAUGAAAUUAUUUAUUUCUAAUAUGUUAUAUACAUUUAAUUAGUGUGUCUUUUUAUUUUCUUACAUAUCAUAUCUUGGCGAAGAUGAAAGAGUUCAAAACCAAUUAAAAAAAAGUUUUGUAUUAUUCUUAAAAGGCAUAAUACAUAAAUAUGACAUUAAACUUGACCCCAAAUUAUAACUUUGACCUUAAACUUUGAUAGUGCACAAAUAGGACCCUUAACUAUUCAAAACUUGAACAAAUAUGACCUCCGAUUUUGCAACCCCAAUGAGUGAGUUUCACUCGCGCCUACGUGGAAAGCUCAUCCAAUCACACGGUGCCAUAUCGUUAAAAGGGUUGACUUGGAGAGAGGUUAUCUUUGUGCAGUUUUGAAUAGUUAAAGGUCAUAUUUGUGCACUAUCAAAGUUUUACUUUUUUUUUUUUUUAAAACGACGUCGUUUUUAUUAUUAUUAUUACUAAAAAUUACACAAAUACACAACUUAUGGUUCCAACAUUACAAAAAAUCUCAACUCCCUAAACAUAUUACAAAAAUUCCCACAUAUACAUAGAAUGCUAUGUGUAUAUCGGCUAUGUUAUGUAUAUUAAUAGGGAGAGAGAGUAAAGUAAUUAAAAAAGUGGGAGAGAGUGUAAUUACUUAUUAAAGGGUUGAUAUUUAUUACUAUUAUUAUUAUUUUAUUUAUUUAUUUCUAUAGCUGCAACACCCAACUUUUUUUUAUUAAAAAAAAAAGCCAUUAACAGGGAUCGAACCGCGCAAUAGGCUGAAGGAAGCGCCCAAGAAGAGCAAAUAACACCACUGAGCUAUCUAAGUGUCUUGUUUCAUGUGGUUCAACAUUAAUAUACGUACAUAAAUAUAGAUUUUCUACCUUAUAUAUACAACGUAAUCUUUUUAUCGAGGGGGUUUGGGUGAACCCCAUGACAACCACGUAGGUCCGCCCUGCCCUGCGUUAAUUUAAUAACGUUUUGAUAACGUCAAUUUAAUAUUAACAUUUUAAUAAUUUUAAUUUGAUAACGUUAAUUUAAUAUACUACUACUACUAUCCUUAAUAACGUUAAUUUAAUAACGUUUUAUUAAAACUAUAAUUUUUUUAAUUAUUAGUAUAGUUUCAUCUUUAAUUUAAUAUUUAAAUAAAUUAUAUUUAGAUAUAUUAUAUAACAUAAAUUCGUCCUUUGCUUUAUAAUAUAUAUACAUAUCCGCGCGAUUUUUUCGUAUGAGGUUGACCUACCUAAUUAAUAAAUCUUCAAUAUUGCUCUUUUUCCUCAAUGACAAAAGAAAUUAGAUGUAAUUUUCAUCUUUGAGCCGAAAAUAAUGAAAAAAUAAUAGUGAAAAGUCAUUUAAAGGUCAUAUUUGUGCAAUUUUGAAUAGUUAAAGGUCAUAUUUGUGCACUGUCAAAGUUUAAGGUCAAAGUUAUAAAUUUAAUGUCAAGUUUAGGGUCAUAUUUAUGUAUUAUGACCUUAGAUUUUAAGUUGGACGCGCCCAAUUUUGCGUGGUGAACACGCGUUUUGCCACGUAGGAUCGCAAGUCAUAUUUGUGCAGUUUUGAAUAGUGAAAGGUCAUAUUUUUGCACUGUCAAAGUUAUAAUUUGAUGUCAAGUUUAGGGUCAUAUUUGUGCACUGUCAAAGUUAUAAUUUGAUGUCAAGUUUAGGGUCAUAUUUGUGCACUGUCAAAGUUAUAAUUUGAUGUCAAGUUUAGGGUCAUAUUUAUGUAUUAUGCCUUCUUAAAACCCCUUAUUCUUAACUUAUCAAAUAUUUAAUUAAGAGAUGAACAAGGGGAUAGUAAUUAUAGGGGAGCAUAAAGGAGAACGCGAAUGACCAUAAUAGAAUAUCUUACAAUGAGACUGAUUCAAACAAUAUUGAAUUAAUCGAUUUAAAUAUUUUGAAGUUACAAUUUUAUUUUUUGAACCUUUUAAGGCAAAUUUGUUAGGAAGGACUCCAAUUGUGAGCAAAGUACCUUCCAUUUACCACCAACCAUAAAUCAUCUAUUGUUUUAAUACUCAGUGUAAUCUAGGGGUUAAUCUAUAAUGGAUAGAGUACUAAUGGACCUUAAGAACUAUUAGUAACGUUACUAUGGAUGUGUGUGGUUGGGUAGGGGGUUAAACUUUAAAAAUCCUAAGCAAAAGAGUUAAUACAUAAAAAUGACUCUAAACUUGACAUCAAAUUAUUAAUUUGACCUUAAACUUUGAUAGUGCACAAAUAGGACCUUUAACUAUUCAAAACCUGAACAAAUAUGACCUUCGAUUUUGCAACCCCAUGCGUGAGUUUCACUCGCGCCUAGGUGGAAAGAUAAUCCAAUCACACCGUGCCAUAUCGUUAAAAGGGUUGACUUGGAGGGAGGUCAUAUUUGUACAGUUUUAAAUAGUUAAAGGUCAUAUUUGUGUACUGUCAAAGUUUUACUUUUUGUGUUAAAAAGGCGCCAUUUUUUUUUUAUUAUUAUUAUUAUUAUUAUUUCUAUAGCUACAACACCUAGCUUUUUCUUUAAUUAAAAAAUCGAAUCUGCGCAGUAGGCUGAAGGAAGCGUCCAAGAAGAGCAAAUAACACCACUGCGCUAUCUAAGUGCCUUGUUUCAUGUAGUUCAACAUUAAUAUACGUACAUAAAUAUAGAUUUUUUACCUUAUAUAUAUAACAUAAUUUUUUUACCGAGGGGGUUCGGGUGAACCCCAUGGCAACCACGUAGGUCCGCCCCUUCAUGAAUUUAAUAAUAUUUUAAUAACGUUAAUUUAAUAGCAUUGUAAUAACGUUAAUUUAAUAUACUACUACUAUCCUUAAUAACUUUAAUUUAAUAACAUUUUAUUAAAACUAUAUUUUUUUAAUUAUUAGUAUAGUUUCAUCUUUAAUUUAAUAUUUAAAUAAAUUAUAUUUAGAUAUAUUAUAUAACUUAAAUUCGCCCUCUGCUUUAUAAUAUAUAUACAUACCCACGCAAUUUUUUCGUAUAAGGCUGACCCACCUAAUUAAUAAAUCUUCAAUAUUGCUCUUUUUCCGCAAUGACAAAAGAAAUUAGAUGCUAUUUUAAUCUUUGAGCCAAAAAUAAUUUAAAAAAAUAAUAGUGAAAAGUCAUUUAAAAGACAUAUUUGUGCAGUUUUGAAUAGUUAAAGGUCAUAUUUGUGCACUGUCAAAGUUUAAGGACAUAUUUAUGUAUUAUGCCCUUAGAUUUUAAGCUGGACAUGUCCAAUUUUGCGUGUUGAACACGCGUUGUGUCACGUAGGAUUGGAGGUCAUAUUUAUGCAGUUCUAAAUAGUUAAAGGUCAUAUUUGUGCACUGUCAAAGUUUAAGGUCAAAGUUAUAAUUUGGUGUCAAGUUUAGGGUCAUUCUUAUGUAUUAACUCUAAGCAAAAAGGUACACAAAAUUACUUGAUAUAGUUUUUAUCUUCUCCAGUCUAUGACAAUUGUCUUCAUCCUAAAAUUAAAAAAAUAUAUAUUUAAUAUGCAUUACAUGCUAAGUGAAUGUGGAUGUGCAGGAUAAGUGAGUUUCUCUAUAUAAUAAGUAAAUUCUAGUUAUUUUUCUUCAUCUCAGAAUCUUGAACUUUCCACCAACUCAAAUCAUUUUCUUAUUAAGCUAGUUUUUCUAUUUUUAGAUGUUGUUGUUUUCACUAAGGCUCCUCCACUCCCCUCUCACAAAAUAUCAUUAAUUUUUUUUAUGAGUACAUCUUUGAAUUUCUUACUGUUUUCUUACGUCUAUCCCAUUAUCAUUUUGUAACUAAGUAGAUAUAAUUUUUGUAUAUAGUUCUGACUAUUGAACCUUAAGACGUAUUAGUAUCACGAAUCUGGAUGCAUUUGGUUGGGGAAGGGGGAUUAAACUUUUGAAAAUUGAAAGCAAAAAGGAACACAAAAUUUCUUGAUACUAUUUUUAGCUUCUCCAAUAUAUGUCAAUCAUACUCACUCUAAAAUAGAAAGAAAAUAUGUAAUGUGCAUUAAAUGCUAUGUAAAUGUGGAUGUGCAGGAUGGGUAGAUACGCCUUUGAGUUUCUCAAUAUAAUAAAUAAAUUCUCAUCAUUUUCUUCAUAUAAGGAUCAUGAAUUUUCCACUCACUCGUGUCAUUUUCUUACUAAGCUAUUUUCUUCAUUUUUUGAUAUAGUUGUUUUUGCUAAGACCUCUUCACUCUCAUCUCACAAAAUAUCAUUAGCUUUUUUUUUACAAGUACAUCUUUGAAUUUCUAAAAGUUUUCUUACAUCUAUCCCAUUUUCAUUUUACAACUAACUUGAUAUAAUUUUUUAUAUAGAUACACAAAAUUUCUUGAUACUAUUUUUAUCUUCUCCUCUAUCAGCCAAUCAAACUCAUCCUAAAAUAGGAAGAAAAUAUUUAAUGUACAUUAGAUGCUAGGUGAAUGUGGAUGUGUAGGAUGGUAGGUGCGCCUUUGAGUUUCUCUAUAUAAUAAAUAAAUUCUCAUCCUGAGAUAAGGAAAAAUGAUGAGAAUUUGCUUAUUAUAUAGAAAAAUUUAAAGGCAUACCUACCAUCUUGCUCAUCCACAUUCACUUAACAUCUACUGCAUAUUAAAUAUUCUCUUUCUAUUUUUGAGUGAGUAUGAUUGACAUAUACUGAAGAAGAUAAAAAUAUAUCAAGUAAUUUUGUGUAUCUUUUUGCUUAGGAUUUUCAAAAGUUUAAUCCCCCUCCCCCCCAAAUCAUAUGUAUCCAUAUUCACGAUACAAAUGAGCCUUAAGAUCCAAUAAUCCAAUCUAUAUAAGAAAUUAUAUCUAGUUAAUUACAAAAUAAAAAUGGGAUAGAAGUGAAAAAACAUUAAGAAAUUCAAGAUGUACUCAUAAAAAAAAGCUAAUGAUAUUUUGUGAGAGGGGAGUGAAGGAGCCUUAGCGAAAACAACAAAAAAUAGCUUAGUAAAAAAAUAAUUUGAGUGGGUGAAAAAUUCAAGAUUCUAAGAUGAGGAUAAAUGACGAGAAUUUGUUUGUUAUAUAGAGAAACUCAAAGAAGUAUCUGCCCAUCCUGCACAUCCACAUUCACCUAGCAUCUAAUGCACAUUAAAUAUUUUUUUUUCUGUUUUAGGGUGAGUAUGAUUGGCAUAUACGGGAGAAGAUCAAAAUAAUAACAAAUAUUUUGUGUACUGUUUUCCUUAGGAUUUCAAAAGUUUAAACCCCCCCGCCCCCCACCCUCAACCACAUGCAUUUAUAUUCAUGAUACUAAUAAGUCUUAAGGUUCAAUAGUCAGAUCUAUAUAAAUAUUUAUAUCUAAUUAGUCACAAAAUAAAAAUGAGAUAGAAGUAAGAAAAUCUGAAGAAAUUCAAAGAUGUACUUAUAAAAAAGCUAAUGAUAUUUUGUGAGAGGAGAGUUGAGGGGCCUUAGAAAAAAUAAGAAUAUCUAAUAAUGGAGAAAAUAGCUUAGUAAGAAAAUGAUUUAAGUGGGUGAAAAAUUCAAGACCCUAAGAUGAAGAAAAAUGAUGAGAAUUUGGUUAUUAUUAUAAAGAGAAACUUUAAAGCAUACCUACUCAUCCUUCACAUCCAAAUGCACUUAGCAUGUAAUGCACAUUAAGUAUUUUCUUUUAGUUUUAGGGUGAGUACAAUUGAAAUAUACUGGAGAAUAAAAAUAAUAUCAAGUAAUUUCGUGUACCUAUUUGCUUAGGAUUUUCAAAAUUUUUAUCACUUAUCCCCUCCUCCCCUCCGCCUCAACCACACAUAUUCAUACUUGUGAUACUAAUAAGUCUUAAGGUCCAAUAGUCAGAUGUAACACUCCGCACUAUCGGGCUAAAGUUUGAACAGUUCUUUCUAUGCGUAUAGACCCGAAUCCAAUGAUUUCUUUUUAAUAUAUGUGUGAUGAUCAAUCAUAUAGUGUGUGAAUACCUUCAAAUAUGAAUUGAGGUCACAAAAAUACCCAAACUCAAAGACGAGUUGAAAACGCUUCUAUCGAUUAAAUUUUGAUGAACGUCUUAAAUUGAAUCAACUUCCAUCGAAUAUAACUUCUUGUAUAGAAUGAGUUAGAGGGUCUACUAUAUACCAAAUAAAAGGUCUUCAAGUCUUCUAUCCAACUCAACUAGUUUCACCUUAAUUCGAUAGCGUAGUAGAAAGUCAUGUUCAUUUUACUUCGGAGUGUCAGACUACCAAAAAGUGACGAUGAAGCUAACGACUUGUCAACUAGGUGAUGACCAAGUUGACGAGCUGUCAACUAAGUGACGGCCCAUCAAGCCUAGUCGUCAGGCUAGGGUAGUAAGUGGUAAAAUCCAGCCCAAAAUUGAUGACCUAGGUGACGAGCCAUCACUUGAGUGAUGGGCCAUCAACCUUGAUCGUCAACUGAUGAAAUUCUGCGACUUCUUUAGGAAUAUUUUGGUCUUUUCCUCACUCUAAAAACCUUGUCAACUAAUUAAAUUGCACCUUAAGCAUUAUUAAUCAACUUUUAUUAGUUUUACAACAUCCCAAAUCCUCUCCACUCUCAAACACAAGAUCAAACUAGGAUUUUCCUCUAAGUUUAAAUUUUCAAGAAAAGGGUCAAGAUUUGAGUUCCAAUCCUCAAACUAAACAACAUAAGGUACGUGGAGUUUUCCUAAACUACAUGGACAUGGUAAAAUCUUCUUAAUUUUCUUAAAGUUUGAAAAAUCAUGAACUUACAAAAGGGUUUGAAUUUAUAUUUAGAAUCAUGCAUCAUGAAACCUUCUUGAUAUAAAUAUUUUGGUCUUGAGGCCUUCCCCCUUAAACUCGAAGGUUGAAACUUGAAUUGAGAGCAUGAAGAAUUAUAAUUCCUAUCUUGUUAUAAAACCCCUUAUUUUCAUAUGUUGUGCAUUAUUCAAUUGCAUACUGAGAAGCAUGAUUCAAAUGUCUUUACUAUUUUUUUUGCCUUGAUUUUGGAUACAAACUGAAGAAAGGGUGAUUCUUACUAAUAUAACUAAAAAGUGGUGAUUUAAAGAGAUUGUAUGGUUUGUUAUAAAAUACUUGACCACCACAUAUUUGUUGAAAUAUUGAAAAGAGAGUCUUUGCAUAAUUUGACAUAUGUUUUGAAAUACAAAUUCUUUUGAAAAUUGUUUGAGUGAUAUAGUGGUCCAAACUUUAUGUUUUGAAUGAAGAGACAGGAACUUGAUAUUUUAUGGUUUAGAGAUAUGACUUGUAAGUUUUGGUAUGAAGGUACCAAAACAGAUGAAUGUUAUAACAGAGUAAGAUUUUCAAAUUUUGAUUUCAAAAAAUCCAUGUCUUAAAGAGUUAAAAUGGUCUUAAAGAGAGUUAGGUGGUUACCCAAAAAAGGUUCGAGUUCAGAUAACUCAUAGCCUGAAACUGUGUUUUGUCGAAACGGGUUUAUUAUGUGUCCAAGAGGGACUGUAUGUUGGCCUAGUUCCCCUUGGCGUAUUAGAGAUAGAGACUCCAAUCCUUGCGGCAAACUUGAGUUGGGGGCUUAGCCGUCAAGUCAAGGGCGGAUUCCAUAAAGCCUAUGGGAUUGUAGAGUUGUAGGGUGUACCACCUAACUCAAAAGUAAAACAAAGAGUGAGUCUUGGCUUUAAAGAAAUGUUUCAAAGUCCUUAAAGUGUGCCCAUGUGUUUUCAUAUAUUAUAUGUAAAAUAUUUUAUGAAUUUCUCUCACUUAUGUUAUAUAUAAAUACAUUAUUUUGAAUUUCUUUGCGUACCAGUACAUCUGUAUUAUCCCCCUAUAUUUCAGAAUCUGAGAUACAGUCCCGGGGUCCCGCUAAGUAGUAAACUGGGUUGUCUGAAGUUGUAAUUGGUGAGCCUCCCUUAUUUCGGAAGGCCUUGUUGAUUUGACAUUGAUAUUUUAUUUUAGUUCAUGGUCCAACUGGGGACCUUGUCCCAGUAUUCAGACAAAAGUUAUUUUCAUAUUGUUAGAGAUUUCGUAGAUUGGUGUCAUCUACUUUUGAAUGGUUAUGAACUUAUAUUCGAUUUUGUUCAGUUGAGUAAGAGAAUGACCAUGUUUCCAUUUUGGCUAUGUUUUCCGUAUUUCCUUAUAGUAUAAGAGAAUGAGUUAUGCUUUCCGUUUUAGUGCAUGGGCUUUCAUGGUUCGGGAUGCUCAUCACGACCUAGGCCUCGGCUCGAGUCGUGACAAACUUGGUAUCAGAGCAUGGUUCAUGGUCCUAGGGAGUCUACGAAAUUGUGUCUAGUAAAGUCUUUCUUAUAGGUGUAUUGUACACCAAACUUAUCGGUAUUUAGGAGUUGUUUCUUAUUCUUUCAUUCUUUAGUUCGUGCUAUAGCGCCGUCCGUAUGAAAGUUAUCCAAAUUCCUUCUUUUUUCUAAUUUCAUGGGUCAUGCCUCAUUAUUGAUGCAAUACAAGUCUAAGAGUCUAGCUCCCCCGGUGAGGUGGUUCUCUAUAAUAGAGUUAUCCCUAUGAGACAGCGCAAGGGCUUGAGAGGAAUCCAUUAGUGCUUCAAGGUGUAUUGAUUCGAGUGUAUACCUUUAUCUUGAUAAAAUCGUGCUUUCAGGCCUGAGGUAUGAAGUGUAUUCAGUCCUCUUUCAAAAUUCUUAUUGCAGAUGUCAUGUAUAAGGGUAAUGAUGUGUAAUAGAAUGUUGGAACUGUAUUUCUACCCGAGUAGUAGUAUAUAUAAAAGUGUCAUGACCUAUUGGUAGUGAGAUGGUCCAAGAAGUUGGUGAUAUGAAGUCACAAAGUUAGAAGUCAGAGUGAGGGUGACUUUUGUGUAAAUAAAGAGUUUUAGUUGUAUAAUCGUUGAGUGAUGUCACACCCAUUUUUUAACCAAAAGAAAGAUUAUUUUAAGUUCGAAAAGGAUUUUUAUUAUUAAGUGACAAAAGAUUGAAAAUUUAUUUCGAAAAAGGAUUAUUUACCUUUUUUAUUCAGAGUCGCUACUUGACAUAAAUCACAUGUGUCAAGUCACCUUUGGAAAUCCCUUUUCAAAACAGUUUAACUCUAAAACUGAUCCGCGAACAGAGAUUCCGACUAAGAAAUUCAGUUGGUCAAGGAAAAGGUGUUAGGCACCCCUCGGUCCCGUGGUUCGAUCACGGUCGCUUGGUGGAUCAUAUCGGCUAAUUUGGCAUUAAGAAUGUAUAAACCACAUGAAACACAUAAAACAAGCAAACAAACACAAACGAAACGAAUCCCGAAAAAUAUAAUGUCUAGUCCAAUUAUACAGUCCAAAAAUAGAAAAAUGCAAAACUGUAAACCUACGCUAACCUACACUAGUCCUAAAGUACGCUUCAACGCUUUACCCGAUGCCUCGAGCCUUCGUCACAGACGUUCUUCCGAAUAUAAAAUCUCGCGGGGCAUACCCCGGUAAUAAAUAUAAAUUUCCUCGGGGUAUUUCCCGACCAAAUGAAUACAAUUGAGUCAAAUGCGAUAAACAAACCAUUCAACAAUCAUUUCUAACCAUCCAACAAUUCACAAUUCCUAAAUUUGCCUACCCGGCUUACCGUUUGCCUACCUAUUUCGAUUUAUCAUGAUUCUAACGCAUUUAACAUAAUCAAGGGAAUCAAAAUUGAACCAGAAUCACUUUAUCAAUCUUUCAAUCCCCGCUCCAAAUUUCUUUUCACAUGAAUAACCAAUCUCAAUACGAAAACAAACAAUCAAGCUCAGACAAUUAAAAUGCCUUGAUCAGAUUAUCAAAAUAAUAUCAUCAACCAACAUGAAUCACGUAAGUUAGUAUCAAGACAUCAUGACAAGAUAAAAAUAUAAAGAAAUAGAGUUGAAAAUUGGACCUUAAUUUGAUGCUUUAUUUUCGAUUUAUUGAUUUUUGCGAAUUGAAGGGGAGUCUUGGAGUAACUAGUAAAGUUGUUGUCAUGUGACCAGGAGGUGAAGGGUUCAAGCCUUGGAAAUAGCCUCUAGCAGAAAUGCAAGGUAAGGCUGCGUACGAUACACCCUUGUGGUGGGGUCUUUCCCCAGACACCGUGUAUAGCGAUAGCUUUAGUGCACCGAACUGCCCUUUUUUUAUUUUUGCGAAUAGAACCGUGUCCAAGAUCUCGAACCGAACCUCAACCAAUGAACAAAAUCCAACGUCGGUUNNNNNNNNNNNNNNNNNNNNNNCCACAAUCUCAACAAAAUUCAGUAAAUAGUACGCACCAUACUAAUACUCUACCCGUUAUACAGUUAUCCCAAGAUUACAAUGAGUAUUAAAACAAUAGAUGAUUAUGGUUGGUGGUAAAUGGACGGUACUUUGCUAACCACAUAGUGGCCUUCCUAAUAAGUUUGCCUUAAAGAUUCUAAAAAUAAAAUGGUAACUCCAAAAUAUUUUAACCCAUUUAUUCAAAAUUGAACUUAAAAAAUUCAAUUCAAUUCAAUUCGAAAUUAUUUGAAUUGUAAUUUCUUUAAGUCAACCAAAAUUUCAUAUCCAAUCCAAAUAAUCGGAACACCUGCCCUAGAAAAGGGUAUAGUUAUAAGUUUUCCAUUUGAAAUCAUAUCCAAAUGACCCCUUAGUAAAACUCAAACGCAUUAAUGAAAUAACAACUUGAAGGAAGUGAGCAUUUUUUCAAACCUUAUCAGUUGCUUUAAGCAAGAAAUGCAGGAAUCUUUCGUCAUCUCCCCUCUUUUUCCCCCCUAGAGAAUCUUCCUCUCUCUUCAAAACCACAAAAAAGGCAUAAUAUAUAAGUACUUCAAAUUUCGUUAUGCACAUCUAGAGUACACUUCAAUUCAUUUUUUAUUAUGUCAUUGAAUACUUCAACUUUUAAAAUGAACAUUAGCACGCGUUCAAAAUUUGUGUCACUUCAACAUUCGGUUUCCAUGAGGCACGCCGAAAAUGAGUUGAAGUAUUUAGUUGCCACUUAAGACCAAACUAAAGUGACUAGACGUACACUUUCACAGUUGAAAUGUUUAUUUGUGAAACUCACAUCAAAUAUAAAUAUUAUCUAUUUAUCUGUUAUGCCUUCAAAUGAUGAAAUAAUACGUUUCAUUCAAACUCCACAAAAAGAGAACAUUUUACCUUAGUUCCUCUGUAUACAAAUCCCACUUUAUUCAAAUUGAGGCUAAAUUUGAACACGUUUGUAUAUUGAAAGGAUAUCUUAGUGUAUUAAAACUUCCGUUAUGCACGGGAUCUAAUGAAUUCGGACCAAGAAUCUAUUAUACGUAGUUUUACCUUGUACUUCUGCCGAAGAUUGUUUUCAUGUUUUGAAUCCUCAACCUCGUAAUUACAUGACCACAACUUUACCGGUUAACUAUUUAUGUAUUAUGCCCAUAAAAAGGGGACUUUUUCAAAAAUCCCACUUUAUUCACUGCCACUGCACUGCCGAGUCUUCUUGUUCUUCUUCUUUAACUUUUGUAGUUGUUCUUUCUGGAGAGUAGUGAAAUCAUCUAGAACAAGCCAAGAAUCACUUUCCCCUUUCUCUUUUAUGAACUUCUUUUAAAUUCUUGAUAUGGAAAAACUUACGAAGUCCUUCAAAUCUCUCUCUCCUGAUAUUCAUCCCGAAGAAGAACAAGAGCAUCAAACUCUCUUGAACCAAACUGAAAAAUCCAAUCUUUCCAUGCAAAUAUCCAAACCAAAUACUGAAUUAUCUCCUCCUUCAAAACCCUAUUUCAACAAGAAUGACAGCAACAUCAGUACUCAUCAAGAUUUCAGCUUUGUGACAGAAUCACCAUGUUCACAACAUUUACUGUUGUCCACCUCUUCUUUUAGGAAAAAAUCGAGUCUUUCGAUGAAUAGGACCAAAUCAAGGCUAAUGAACUCACAGGAGCAAGAUCAGAGGUCUGGAGCUGUAUUGAAAGACAGUGAAGUUGAAGAAGAGGACCCUUUUUCAGAUGAAGAUUUACCUGAGGAAUACAAGAAAGUAAAGUUCAGUACAUUAACUGUUCUUCAGUUGGUGAGUUUAGUUUCCAUUAUUGCUCUUUUAGUUUGUAGUUUUAUAUUUAUUAUAUUGAGGGAAAAGAGAGCUUUUGGACUUGAAUUGUGGAAAUGGGAAGUAAUGAUCAUUGUGUUGAUUUGUGGAAGAUUGGUUUCUGGUUGGGGUAUAAGGUUAGUUGUGUUCUUCAUUGAGAGGAACUUUUUGUUGCGAAAACGCGCAUUGUAUUUCGUGUAUGGAUUGAGGAAUUCAGUGCAGAAUUGCAUUUGGUUGAGUUUGCUUUUGAUUGCUUGGCUGUGUAUUUUUGAUAAGAAAGUUGAUAAAAUGACUGGUGGAAAGGUUUUGCCUUAUGUGUCAAGUAUUUGGAUUUGUCUUUUGGUUGGUGCAUACAUUUGGUUGUUGAAAACACUUGUUGUGAAAGUUCUAGCUAUGUCAUUUCAUGUUAGUACGUUUUUCGAUCGAAUUCAAGAAUCUUUGUUCAAUCAAUAUGUGAUUGAGAUGUGGUCUGGGCCACCGUUGGUUGAGAUUGAUCAGCGAGAGCACGAGGAGGAAGAGAAAGUUAUGUCUGAAGUGCUUGCUGAUUUAAAGGCAAGCACACCACACAAGACUCCUACGGCUUCUACUCCGAGGAGUUCUGCAUUUUCGAUGGUUAUUUCCGAGAAGGAAAAAGAAAAGGAGGGCGGAAUCACUAUCGAUCAUCUGCAUAGACUGAAUCAGAAGAACAUUUCUGCUUGGAAUAUGAAAAGGUUGAUGAAUAUGGUUCGAAAAGGUGUGCUAUCUACUUUGGAUGAGAAGUUACCGCAGCCAAAUUAUGAGGAUGAAUCUGCUGUGCAGAUCACUAGUGGAAAAAAGGCUAAAGCUGCAGCUAAGAAGAUAUUUAACAGUGUGGCUAAGCCUGGCUCCAAGUAAGUCAUUUCAUUAAAUUGACAAGUUUAGUUUCUCUUCGAACUGUUGAUGUUAACAACAAUUAGUCGUUGCCUUCAAAUUCUUAUGUUAUAAUGCUCAAUUUGAAUUCUUUAUAUAGCUAUGCUCACACAAUAAACUAACGCUUUUCGUGCUAGUAAAAUAGAGCAGGAUUCGUUUAGCAGAAAACUAGACGCAUAGUUAUUGCCCACAAAAUUCUUUUAUAUACUAUGCUAUUACACUUUUCUGAAGUCUCUUGUUUCCGGAGGUAAUUGUUUUACCUAAUAUUUAGCGAUGUGUGAUUGACAUCAGGUUCAUCUAUCUGGAGGACUUGAUGCGUUUUAUGAGACAAGACGAGGCUGUGAAAACAAUGUGCCUUAUUGAAGGUGGGACUGAAACUUGUGGCAUAAGUAAAUGUGCUCUGAAAAAUUGGGUGGUAAGUAUAUAAAACCAAUUUGCGUCUUAUCCCUACAUCCUGAUCUGAGCUUCUUGUUGAUGUAGAGUAUAAAAGUUUGCCAAUUUUUUUUUAAGAAAGUCAACUUCUUUUCUUGGUUAGAUCAGUAGGAGUUCAUCUUCAAAGUGUAGUCGAUGGGGAUUAUGGUAUUCAUUUCAAGCCAUAGCUACAAAAUGAAGAUGGUAUUUUUUCAAGAAAACAUUGUUUUUUUGGUCUAAGUUGCAUGGAUUCUUCACUUUCGAUGUCAGAUUCUUAAUAGUACACUAAUUCUGGAGAAUCACGAAUCCAUUGAAAAUAUUUGAAGAGUCCGAGCAUAUUUUUGGCACUAGUAUGAUGGGAUUAUGAUGUUUUACUUUAUAUUUUUCUUUCAGGUGAAUGCAUUUAGAGCGCGAAGGGCUCUUGCUUUGUCUUUGAAUGACACUAAGACUGCUGUAAACAAACUUCAUCAAAUGCUAAAUGUCCUAGUGGCAAUAAUCAUAUUGGUCAUCUGGCUCCUUAUACUCCGAGUUGCCACUAUGCAUUUCUUGGUCUUUCUGAGUUCCCAGAUUCUUCUGGUAGUAUUCAUCUUCGGGAACUCAGCCAAGACGACAUUCGAGGCGAUCAUCUUUUUAUUUGUGAUGCACCCAUUUGAUGUAGGUGACCGUGUUGAAAUUGAUGGAGUUCAGGCAAGAAAUUCCUUCAUUUCGGUGUGUAUGGUUGGUUGUGUUCUAACUUGAAUACUAAAACGUUUAUUUGAUGAUUGUGCUUCAGAUGAUAGUUGAAGAGAUGAAUAUACUGACGACAGUUUUCCUAAGAUAUGAUAACCAACAACAACAACAACAACAAACCCAGUGUAUUCCCACUUAGUGGGGUCUGGGGGGGGUAAGAUGUACGCAGUCCAUACCUCUACCUCUGAUGAAGUAGAAAGGCUGUUUCCGAAAGACCCCCGGCUCAAGUCACGAGAUAUCACACAAACACAUAGUACAGCACAGAAGCAGAUGACAUAACAUAGAUACGGCACCCAUAAGGAAUAUAAAACAGAGUAAAGAAGGAAUGCAAGAAUAGCGACCCGAACUGGCCCUAAGAUAUGAUAACCAGAAGAUCAUAUAUCCAAAUAGUGUCCUAUCAACGAAGCCCAUAAGUAAUUACUACCGCAAUCCACACAUGGGAGAUUCAGUUGAUUUCUGCAUUCAUAUCUCAACUCCAAUGGAAAAGAUUUCUAUGAUGAAAGAGAAAAUAACAAUGUAUAUCUACGAUAUGUAUGUUCAUUUUUCAAAACUUUGAGCUGAUUUUAAUCUGGACUUUCUUGCAUUUUCAUGGCGUUAAGCAUAAGAAAAUGUGUUCAACAUAGUAGUCCGGGGAGGACUUUGAUUGUCAUAUUCGCCCAUGGAUCUCUUACUCUUAUCACUGGAAACAUGGAAAACAAGAUUGCUGUUAUAACUAGUAUUAGUAUUAUCGGCUUGCCGUGUAAUGGAAAAAUGCAUGAUGGAAGAGAACUUUUGACCUGCCUCUUAGCUUGAUCAUGAGAAGUUGUUGAUAUUCUUCCAUCUUUUUCUUGAUUACUUAUGGUAUGGUGUCUGCCGUGACAGGUAUAUUGAGAACAGAAGUGAUCACUG
rnacentral:lncRNA from 1 species